rnacentral:lncRNA from 1 species
GUAAAAAAGAUAACCCAACUAGGGUCAAUCAGAUCGCACUUACAGUGAACUCUGUAACAUGAAUGGAGCUAGAAAUUGGAUCAAAGAGUCCUGCUGCUUUGUACAUUUCAAGAACAAAAGCUACACAAGAGGCGGACUUCCCGUCACUGUAUACCCAAUGGUCUUGCUCUGGAGUGUAAGCAGUUCAGCAAAAGAUGACCCCCUCAUUUCAGUUUCGUGUAUUAGAUUAGGAAGAUCCAAGCCCUGUAUGCAACACAAUCGUAAGGUAGCCAUAAAGUAAAGUAAGUGUAAUUACAACCAUAUAACAUUUGUUAACAGAAUGUCAUUCAAGAGACAUUAGAUUUCAGUUGCACCUCAGUGUGCAAAACAAGAUGCAUAACGUCACACAGACAAUUGCAAAUUGAAUGGGACGGUACCUUUGUUCCUAGUCACUUGUUGAGUGCUUCAUUCCAUAUGUUCGCAGCAUAGGCUGGUUGCACUUGGUUCCAUAGUCAUAACAGAAGCAACCUACAAUAAUACAAUGCUUUCUAUAAAAUGAGUGAACGGCACUCCCAUCACGCGAAUAAAGCACCCCACAUGGUGAGCAUAUUACAUGCAUCGUCAGUCAGGCUGAUAGCAACUCUUAAGAAAAAAUGAACAAAGUCUACUAUUUUGCUGUCUUAGUAUCAUAUAGGAGGCCAUAAAAAAUGAAUAAUUGUCAAACUAAGCCAGGUUCUUUUCCAUAACGUUAGCACUCAAUAGAGUCACAUGCGAACCUGCUAUUUGGCAAAAUCACUGUUCAUUUUUUAGCCUUUUGUUUUGUUCAGUUGAAUUCAUUCGAAAUCAUGGCAUGAUUGUCUAAUUUCAACUAGAACGUGUUGUUAGGAUCUAACACACGGCUUAAUAAUAUUUCAAGGUCUAUCAAAGUAAGAGUAAAUUGCUGUUUAGCAGUCAUGUUGAGAAGCAGAAACUAUUUCGUAUCCAGCAUCUAAGAAUCUCAAGGCAUCUACAGAUAUACCUUGGAAGUAACACAAGGCCUUAGUGCUAGAAAAUCGUCUAAGGCAACUGAAUGCACCCACAAAAUAUAUAUAAACAUAUAUGCACGUGUACAAUCUCUGUACCACAUGAGCAUCUAAUGGCGCCGGAUAAUUUGCGCCGAUGGUGUCUAUCCAGCUAAAAAGCAUGUUGUGAUAACCAUAUGGUUUCCCAUUCAUAAUCUGUGCAAACUCCCAUGCAGCAGCUCAUUAAAUUUGGCUCACAUAUCAGGAUGCAGUGGAAGCAACGCAAUGUGGGGAUUUGAGUAAUCUUUGUUAAGCUUGAACUCCCACCAUUUUCCCAUGGUAACACAGCAAUGACAUCUUCUCCCUGCAAUGAUAAGAACAAAACAAAACUUGCAUAAUCUCUAUUACUAUGUUAGACUUCUGUAGCACCUGACCCCUUUACCAACACAAAGGAACAAAGCAUGUAGCAAAAACCCAAAUGUGACCAUAAAUUAAUCAAGGUCUGCCUCAAGUAAAGGACGUCAUUUCAUCAAAUUCUAACCAUAAUCAUCAUCAGUAAGUUAUCGUCUCGUGUGUAAGGAUGGUCCUGAAGUUCAGUAGAAAAAGUUCAGACACUGCAUUCCCUAUGUUACAAAUAUGAUGAUGCUCCAAUAGAGCUUCUAGUAGAAGCCUAAAUAGGAUCAGCUGCAGUUCAACAUGAACCUGAAGCAGCAUGUCAUCGUUUACUUACUCAUCCUCUCUUACAAUCAAAAGUUUCUAUGGGAGCACAAAAAGGAAAGACCUAUCUUAUUAGAGAACAUAAGAUGAGCAAGGAGAUUUAAGGACAUAGGGGCGUGACUAAAGCACGCUUAAUAUGCAAAAUGGAACAAUCUCAAUGGGAACCAUAUUUGUGAGAGAAGAAGUCCAUGAUUCGACAAAAGUCACAUUUAUAAAGUAAUCACACAGAAAUACAAUGCCCCAAAAACCUAAGGGUUCAUGAAAUGUUAGAGAAACACAGCAGAAACCCUACUUGUCCUUUUCAAUAUGUAUGAGACCACACUUUGAUAAUCAGAGGACAUUAAAGCAGUAUUGUAUGAGAGUCUUUAAUGAUGAAUGACAGAUAAGCAUAGUGAAUUUUUUUUUCUUUUUUUUGGUCGGUAAGCACAGGGAAUUAAAGAGAUGGAGAAAUAAUGACUCAAACAAUUCUGGGGGUGUUUGAAACAUUUGAACGUUUGUCUGUUGGAUAUCCCCAUAUAGGAACAAGGUGGACAGUUAUUGUGGAAGACUGGCAUACUUACAGCCAUGUUAAUAUUGUGUCUAUGCAAUUGGUUUAAAACUUUACUUCACAAUUACAAUUGCAGAGACAGCAGCAGGCAAAAAGAUUGGAUGAAAUGUCGAACAUCAAAAGUAAUCCGUCAAUGUAUGGAAAAAAAAGAACAAGGAAUAGAAAAAAAUGCUUAAAAACAAUCGCAAGGUAAUCCUUUUCCUCAAAAGGCUUUUUCUCCACUAGUAUAUAUAAAAAUUAGGCCUUCAAACUGAAAAAGAAAUACACUUACAUGCAUAACCACCCUAUAUCUGUUUCCGAAUUACCUGUUCAUUAUCAUGUCCGGAUUCACCAACCCAAAGCUUUCCUUCAGCAUCCCUUAAGCACACAGCUGUGUGACCAGCGUAUGCGCCACUGACCCAUUUCUCUAGAGUCCCAAAACCACCCCCACUUUCCACGAAUUUUUGAAAUUGCAAUGAAGUCUCCAGAGUGGAUAUCAUCAAUGCUGAUGUUUGUAACCAAGGGCUGGGGACGUUGCUCAAAUGAAGCUCCCAUAUGCUUCUUGAGAAAACCAAUGUUAGAUUUCUCCCCUCACCCGGUAUUUGAAAACAAGGAAACACAUCCCACAGUGCUUGAAGGGUCCCUAGCAUCCCAGCUUGCAUCAGAAAGAUUGACACUCCUCUACUUUUCACCUGCAAUCAAAAUAAUGGAAAAUCAAAGUUUGACAACUCGCCAAUAUGCACAAGCAAGAGCAGAAGAGAAAAAAGAUAAUUGCAGCUUACAUAUUCAAACUCAGCUUUUCCUUCCCACUCUUUGAACUCAAAUGUGUGCUCACGAGAUAAAAGAUACUAGUCCCAUGUCACGCAGUAUGGGGUUGCAAAGACAUAAAUAUCCAUACAUGUCCAGCUAUGGGCUUUGCUGACCUGGAUGAGCAAUCCAAACUCAUGGUUACAAGCCGGAUACCUACAACUAGCUGUUAGUUUCCAUAUUCAGCAGAACUAGAUGCAAAAACAAGGACUAUGAAACAUCAACACGAGGCAGUACCCACCCAAACUGGAAUAGCCUCCAUAAGAUAAUUUGAUUUUACAUCAAACGAAACAAUUGUACUUGUAUGAGCAACCAAAUCACUAAAUCCUUCUUCAACCACUUAAAACCUAGACACAAAAGACUCAAGUGACCAACCAUGGUACCAAUUCGUGGAGCUUAAUCAAAGCACAAACAAGCAGAUGAAAGGAGAAGGAAAGAAAAAAACUUAGCUAGUGACGAAAUCCACUAGAAACAUAUUGAGGUAAGAACUGAAAAAUUCCAUCACUCAGAUUCCAACAUAAAUAACCAGAAUGAGAAAAGAGGAACAGUUGGGAUCAAGUGCAUGGCCCAAACAUCGAGGAUAUUCUCUAACGUCCUUUAAAUAAGUGAUUUUCUUUCACAACUCUAUAGAUAAGUAUGACCGCACACUUCAGUUGGUAAGAAAAAUACCGUAAGUAGAUAGAAACUCUAUCCAGUUCAGAGCUUUGAAUCCAUUAGAAAAAAUCGACCUCAAAUUAACUAAAAUAGAAAGCUCAAACUAAGUUAAUCGGAAAUUGGGAAAAGCUGCCAAACGAUGGCCAUUAGACCCCAUCAAACAAACUCCUACAGCCUCACAUCUCCUAGAAUUAUCACACAAUCGAACUGCAGUGAAUUGAAUUAAGCACUAACAUUCGACCAGAGAACCUUAAAAGCUCGUGAACAGUGACUGUCUCUCCACAUUACCAAGCCGCCACAAGCUCAAACAUCCCAAAAUCUUCCAGAAUCGCACUCAAACACAAGUAUUUCCAUUCCAUUCCGUUCCCCACUAUUCACCAAACAAAAAAGAAGACUUGGAAUCAUCACUCCAGUCCAUUCCUUUCCCCAUCAUUUCCCGAUUUCAUUCCAUUCCACCGUACCAAACCCGACGUAAUAGUCAACCAGAAAACCUCAUCUUCCAAAAUGGCACUCAAAACCAAAAGGAGACCAAGCAAAAGCGACGCGAUAAAACUAAAGAACGGACCUUGAUGUGAGGCGUGCCUCCGCCGAACUUGCUCCCGGUGUUGUUGUGGAACUCCCACCAAGCGGUCGGAGGAAAAAACGGCGCCGAGGAAGGCGGGCAACAGGUGCAGGGGACGGCGAAGGGCGUUGAGGAUGGGCCAGGACAGCUGCUUCGGCAAUAGAGGGAGUAUGUUCUCCAUGGUGGAACGGUGGUUUCGCGGCUCGAGAGCGCGGGUUGAGCAGAGAGGAGAACGUGAAGAGGAAGAGAAGUAGCAGAAAUUGGCUGACGAGAAGCCAUGGAAACUGGGGGGGGAGAGAGAGAGUCAUCUCUCCAGCGACGGUCCACUUCUUUAAGUGUCUCACACUGUAAAAGGUGUAGGGGCAAGAGGAGCCACUCGUUUUGAUUAUAUCCUUGGACGCUUGGUAAUUUAGGGUGCUUAACCAGUUAAAUGAAACAUUAAAGCAUCAUUGGGGCUGAAAAUAUUAUGUAUUCUUAUAUUAUGUAUUAAUGUUGGCAAAAAUCUUAAAUUAUAUCCAUCCUGACAUUAAUGUCUCGAAUUAGUAUUGAUUUCGUGGCAAACAAAAGUUUAAGAUUUUUAGAGACGAGAGGUAUUUCCACUUCAAAUAUAAGUUUAAGUGUAGAGAUGAGCAAUUAGAAGUCUCCACAAAAGAUGUAACCCUAUGGGAAGAUAUAUUGCCUUCCCACUCUCUUAUAGCUUGCCGUUAAACUGCGGCCAUUGAUAGCGUCAAAUCGGCUUAUAUUGCCUACCCCCACCCUCUUAUAUUGUUGCAACAACUUUAGCUACACCACCUUUUCAGGACUUGGUUAACAUCAAGAGUAUUCUAUAAAUGGUGUAUAUUUUCAUUUUGUAUGAAGCUAUAUGCAUGUUGUUAGUACGAAUUUGACGUUUAGCACGUUUUCACAGUAAUCAUGCAAUCUCCCUUAUUGUUAUAUUGUGUCUUGAGUUUGAGUAGAGGUGUCAAAAUGAGUUAUUGACCCAUUUAUGGACUCAUUUAAACAUAAAUGGGUUGUUAAUGGGUCAAGCCUAUUUCCUAAAGUACCCAUAAUGAGUUUUAAUGGGUUAAGACUGAGAUAUAUGAAUCUUAAAUGGGUCAAAGAACUUGCCCAUUUAAGACCCAUUUAUCAACCCACUAAAAAUAAACUCAUUUAUUUUAAGCCAAAACCUCACAAUCUCUCUCUUCUCUCUUUAACUUUACAAAAUAUUUAAAAAAAAAACCAAAAUUAUAAUUAUUUUUUUAUUUUUCUUUUCUUUUCUUUUCUUUUUUUCUUUUUUCUGUUUUCUUUCUUCUUCCUCUGGUCGUCGGCACUGCGAUGGCCGGCGACCGGCCAGGUGAGCCUUGGGCUCGCUAGAUCUGGCGAGGCGGAGGCCUCGCCGACGUCCAGCGAGACUCGAGCCUCACUAGAUCAGGUGAGGGGGCGAGCUUGAGGCUCGCCGGCGUCCGGCGAGGGGCGAGCUCAAGCUGGCUUGAUGUUGGCGAGCCUCGAGCUCGUCGGAUCUGGCGAGGCGGAGGCCUCAUCGACGUCUGACGAGGCUCGGGCCUCACCAAUCUGGCAAGACUUGGGCUCACCAGCGUCGGGCGAGCUCGAGCUCCCUGGAUUUGGCGAGCCUCAAGCUCGUCAAUGUUGGCAAGUUGGGCGAGCUCCAGGUCGCCUGUGGCUUGCCGCUGACCAUCAUUGUGGCCAGCAGCCGACCAAAGAAGAAGAAGAACAAAAAAGAAAAAAGAAAAUUAUAUUUAAAAAUAAAAAUAAAAAUAAUUAAAAAAUUAAUUUAAAAAAAAAAUUAAUAUUCGAUUUUUUAAAAUAUAUAUUUUUAAAAUUAUAAAAAAUGUCCAUUAAAUUUGCGUUGUAUAAAACCAUUUUAGCAAUACCAUUUUAUAUAUAUAAUAAGUUUUCUUAAAUUUAAUUAAAUGGGUCGGGUAUGGAUCGAAAAUUUUGUAUUGCAAUAAACGGGUUAAAUGGAUCGAUUUAGGUCGGAUCAUUUAUGACCUGAUCCAAACCCGACCCGAUCCACCCGUUUAACAGGUAUAAGUUUGAGCCCAUGUAUGGGCCCACAACUGAAGAAUCUAUUGCUCAAAGUCACGCACAAAAUGCAGUGUUCUUUUAUUAAUUAAUGCGCACGCAAGUCUUGGACUUUUUUCUCCACUUCAUUAAUGCAAUGCAUGCACGAAUCUCCUCCUGUGUCCCUUUAUCAUUUUUCUCAUUUUUGGUUCGAAUUCCCUUUUGUCAUUGAAGGAGCUGAACGUCCAUUUGUCGCCUUCACUCCAGAGCGCCCCCUCUUUCGGACUCCCCCUGGACCAGCGAAAUGGGAAAAUUCGGCGCCAAAGUCAACGUUGGAAACGCCGGCGACGGCGACGUUCUUGAGGCCUAGCCUCAAGAUUCGAGUGGAAUUGAGAGGGUGCUUCCAUUCCAGACAGCGGUGGAGAGCCGUGACGCUCACGGAGUGAUCGAGACCCAGAGAUUGGAUCCAAGCGCAGAGGCACGCGAGUCUUUUUCGCCAUUUUCAUGGAAUAGGGGUGGACGUUGGUGAUCUGGUUGGGGAAAGGAUGGAGCGUGAGGAGGAUGGUCAGGGACGCAUAUAGGAACGGACUCGACUUAGGGUUCAGGAACGGGUUUACAAAUCGGAUUGAGGUUGCGAAAUGGACCUACAUCUUUCUAGGAUGGAGAAGUUUUUUUCAGAAAUUGUCAGACGAUUUCAGGAAUUUGAAAGAAAUGAGGAGGGGCUAGAGCACAGGGGGAAUUUUAAUUUAUUUUGGCCAAACGUUCGAGCAAUAGUUUCGAAUCACUAAGGAGUAUAUAUAAAUUUCAGUACGGUGACCUCUUUGGUUCAGAUUGGAAAAGUAGUGUGCGGUGGCCAAUGGAUAAUGAUCUCGCUGCCCUCUAGCGAUAUGCAAGGGCCUGGCAGUGCAAUAUUGUGGGCUUAGUAGGGCUUAUUUGCUGGAUAUGCAUCGAUUUCUGCCAAAUAUAUGGCAACAACCGAGUGGCAGAGGUUGUUCUCAUGGGGACCACCAGGGCCAUGGUCGCCGUCCCCUGGGAUGAUUAAUUUAAACAAUUUGUUGAAUUGCUUAAUUCGACAAUUUCGUAUUCGAUAGUGUUGACUCCGUAACUUGCUUUCUCUGAUGAUAAAUGACCAAUAUCAUGCGUUUAGACCACAGUAAGCAUCGGCUCAGAGUCAGCGGUAACAAGUCAAUGAUUGACGCCCUUGAAAGACUUCUAUCCUUCCAAAGUCUAUUUUGACUUAGGCAAUUCCAUUUGUUUCUUCACAUACAUGUUCAAAUUUUUGAGUCAGACUUUCUCAUGUGCUGAUGACUUAAUUACUGCAUGGUUAUAUUAUUAAACUAAAUAAUUUGAUAGAUUAUGAUUGAUCUUAUUAAGCCAACCGCAUUUGAUAUUUUCACGUUAUUUGGCAUACAAAAUGUCGAUAUAAAUAGUGUAAUUCCGGGGGCCGAAGUUGUAAUUGGCUCAAAGGCGAACACGUCUUCAUGAGUAACACCGUCAAACUCCUUUUGAGAUUCUUGGAAUGUCUCCUACUUAGAUAACUCGAUCAGUUUCCUCUUUUUUCUAAUAGUAUAAUUUCCCUUUAUUAAUUUCCUCUAUUUAGAUCUAGUGUAUUUCUCUACUAGUACUUCAGCUCCAGGUGAAAUAAGGGGAUUAAAUUUAUCUGGUCGAUUAACUAUCAACAUCAAUUAAGAUUUAAUUUCUUUCUAUCUCUUUUCGUAAAUAUUUAUACACGAAAUUCUUAUUGUGUAUUUUUAUCAAUAAAUUAUUUUCAUUAUUUAAUAAUUCAUAUAUUUUACCCAAAAAAAUGAUUUAAAUUAAUUUUUUAAAUACCAAUUGUUCCCACACNNNNNNNNNNNNNNNNNNNNNNNNNNNNNNNNNNNNNNNNNNNNNNNNNNNNNNNNNNNNNNNNNNNNNNNNNNNNNNNNNNNNNNNNNNNNNNNNNNNNUUCUCUAGAAUAAAUAAGUUUCUUAAGAAGGUAUUUCACAAUUUCCAAGUUGUCUUUGAAUUAAUCGAGUCUUUCUUAAAUAUCAAUCUACAUAUUGGCUUUCUAAUUGUUGAAUGGGUUUAGUACCCAUGGAUAAUAAGUAAUGCUACAAAGACCUUAGAAGACAAAAAGGAUUUUCACCCUAUAUGAUGUCAUGUGUUCUCAUUGCCCUAAGAACAUAUGUUAGCUUGUCAUACUAUCUAAUGGGCUAGGAUGCAAAAGUCACAAUAUAGCCGUAUGUAGUAUGGCCAUUAAAAAUGCAGAAUAAACAUGGUUUCUUUUUAUUAUUAUUAUUUUUUUUACGAAUAAAGUGAUUCAUUUAUUCAAAACCAUAUUGGAAAUAUAUGACAUGAAUGAUAUAAAAUGUAACAGAAAAAGAAAUUUCUUGAAAUUUUGCAAAGUCGGAGGUGCCGCUCAAAUCGAGAAGUGCGGGUGGUCCCAGCAAAGUGACGUUAAUGUACAAGAAACAAAAGGUAGGAAAAGUAAUAAGAGCAACGUGCAGAAACGACGACGGCUUGGCGUGGAACGAGCAUGGCUUUAAGCAAACACAGAAACAGCACAUCUCGCGAUAUUUUGAUGUCGCGUAUUCUUCCUCUUCUUCUUCUUUUUCUAAACUGAUAAGGCUGCUCCGGAGCCUCUCUUCAUUUUCGUUUUUUUGUUUGUUUUUUCCUCCUCAUUUUUCCAACCACAUCCUCACCAUAACGCGCCUUCUCUCUUUUGUCCCCUAGCUCUCCCACUUUCUUUCGCCCGACUCUCUCUUCUUGUCUUGCUUUCUUUUUUUGGUUCCCGCCCAAACCCUUAAUGAAAGAUUAAUUGCUGUUUAGUAUUCCAAAGUCUAGCAUUAUCGGGCCCCAUCAUCGACCUAUCAAGUUCGUUAAACUCAGUCAUCAAUGGACUGACUAUUUUGUUGAACACGAGCUGCACCACCAUGGCAAGAAAAAGAAAAGUAAAAACUUAGGCAAGGGCUCAUUGAUUUCUAACACUUGAUCAUAAAAAUUUUUGAAAAGAAAUUUUAAUAUCACUGCUUUGAGGAUGGAUGCACUCUCAACAAGUGAACCCGAGUGAUCGAAUUCAAUAAUACGACAGAAUCAUCUCAAAGAUUUAAGUUUAAUAGUUAUUUUAUACGGCGAUUAUGAUAGGAACAUGAUAAUUUCGAGCGCCUGCAAUGUGAUGUCUUGAUGUAUCAUAGGAAUGUUAAUUAGAUAUGCAAACAGUAAAGAGGCAACGGCAUACCGGCAAUGACUUGGGUAGUAACAACGCAUCUAUGAGGCCUAUCCCUUAUUCGAUUUUUUUUUAUUUCUAUUUGUUUUUGUUCAUGUUUUUUUUCUCGAACCGCUCUAAUAUGAAUUAAAUAGUAGACAUCUUAAUAUAAAUUCAACAAUAGAAUUCUCCAUUUCAUUUUUGAAUUUGAAUGAGACUUUUUCUCUAAUUUUUUUACUAAUUCAUUUAGAUUACAUUUUAUAGUAUCACUAAAAUUUUAUUAUGUAAUUUAACUUAUUGUUAUAUCAUCCAUAUAAAAAUCAAAAUAUAAUCUAACUAAAUACAAUAAAUAAAAUCAAACAAAAUCGAAAUGCUCAUUAGAGCAUGGGAUAAUCAUAUUAUCGACAUUGUAGAAAACAGAAAUUCUAAUAAUUUUUAACUACUAACUAAAAUAUGUAAUGUGUUUGUAGGUAGUAUCUCAUUCUGUUUUCUUCUCACCCACUAGCUCUAUGCGCAAUUAUUGAGCCGUGACCAUGUGAAUGCUAGACUAAAGCCUCCCCUCAGCCGGGUUUUUUCCUGCUUUUUAUGUCCUUACCUUUUUCACUAAAUCUUUGCUGAAGAUAUGGUCCAUUAUGAGGAGGUGCUAGUUUUUUUCUAUGUUGUGUCCACUUCUGACCGGAGAGGACUUACUAUUCGGAGAGCGGGCUGCGUCCAAAACUUUCACAAGAAUUGCCAUUUAACUUCACCGCGGAAAAUUUAGGGUCAGGUCGUGUAGGGUUAGUUCAUAAAAAUUCACAAUCAGGGCCGCAAUGUUAAAUGUGAAAUAAUGCAAUGGAGAGAGAGAGAUUGUGGGAUUAUGAAUGUACUUUUAUUAGGGGUCAAAUUAUCGAUGAAUCUGAUCGUUAAAUUUCAUGAAAAUGGGAAUUGGACCUUUAAAUGAAAAUUUAUGUAUCGACAAUAAUUAAUCUUACAUAUUAGUAAGUAAUUGUUUCUCUUUAAAUCAUCCCUUAGUUGAUUUUUUUUUUCUUUUUGGUCUAAAGAUCUAGACUGCAUACAAAAUUGGUCUUGUGAAUUCAUUAGUACAGGUAAUAUUCUAAAUUUGAGUCAAGAUUUAUGCAAAGUAAAUAAGCAACACUACUCACGAAGAUUUUCCUAUUGAUUUCUAGAGGCAAAAAAGAGCAAUGCUAUGCAUAGGAGAACUGGACAUAUAUAUAUAUUAAGAUGGAUAGAAAAUGAUAAGGAAAAUAGUGCGGUAGCUCUCUUAAGAAAAUUUUGUUUUUAAUUUUUUAUUUUCCUUGGAAAGUCUAGAGAAUUUGGCAAUUAAGUAAACCAUAGUUUAACAUUCCAUAAUAAUUUUCCACCUCAUUCGGUGCACUAAUUUUUUGAUAUAUUUACAUAUUUAGCACCAUUUCGGGCAAGACAAAGAAAGAUAAGUAGGCUCAAAAGUUUAUCGGGUGCACGUUCGCAUGAGUUUCCUCGUGGUUAAAGCUGAAAUUGGCUCAAAGGCGAACGCGUGUUCUUGAGUAACACUGUCCCACUCCCUUUGAUGACGAUGACAUCAGAGACAAUUACCCGACACUAUUGAAAAGAGAGAGAGAGAGAGAGAGAGGGGGGGAAGAGGUCUUAUCGUGGCUUCCAAAAGAGGCCACUUGAAAUCUCUUAAAAAAAGUGAAAGUUAUGCGAGGUGGAGUGACAUCCAUAUAAAUAGACAAAUUGCUCAUUAUUUUGUUAAUAGAUUAUUGUCUAGAAAUGAAAAAGAAAAAAAAGAUGUAAAUAGUGAAGCAAUGAGGCAGCAAUAAAAUAGGAAACUUGUCAACCCCCCAUCCAUUAUAUUAAAUUAAAAUAUUAUUAAGUCCAUUGUCGGUCUAGAAAAUAAUUUGCACAUUCCCGAUUAAGAGUUGACACGUGGAAUAAUUGACUGGCAAAAACAACUUCAAACCCACACGUCACUUAUUCACGGUAAAUGUGUAUUGAGGUUUUAACAUCGACUAUGCUUCCAACAAUAUCCAUUCAAUUACUAGGUUUUUCGGCUAACAAUGUUUCUAUAUUUAGUUUAAUAUAUUCAAAUAAUAAGACCAAACAGAUAAUAUAUUCGAAUGUUCAAAAUUUUUACCCAUGGGGGUUAAUUAGGAAUGCCAACUAUUUAAUAAAACAUUGAAAAUAUUAUUAUUUCGUAGUAUCUAGAGAAUGAAAAUAAAUAAAAAAAGUCAAAGUCAUGCGAGGGUAGAGUAAAAGCAAUCAAAUCAUUAAAGAGAGAAAAAAUCAUUUUUAUUUAUUAAAGUAAUAGGUUAUAGUGUAGAAUGAAAACAAAAAAAAAAAUAUUCAAAACAAAAAGAAGAGUAAAAGCAUGCGACGACACCUAUCUAAUGUGCCAUUGCUCCAGGAGGCCUCCACGUAGCACCCGAGUUGUCUAUUCCACCGUCCAUCUCGCCGACACGACGGACGGGAAAAAAACCCACGCCGGACCCCCCCACCCCCGAAACGGCACAUGUUGGUGUCAGCGGGAGCGUCGGACCGGGCCCCGCCCCGGUUCACGAGGAUCGCCACCGAUGAUGUGGACAUGUCGAGAAGUGGGGCAGGGUCAAAGCAACGGACGGCUUGGAUUCAGCGGGGGCUUGGUCGUUCGGCUUGUCGUACGCCUUUUCAUGUGAUCACGUGAAUUGGGCGUACUACGGUGAGGGGGAACAAGGGGAGAGGGUGGGGCCCGUUGGGCCGGGGAAUGUAGUUAGGCCAUGAUGAUGGACGGCUGGAUGGACGGAUGAGUAUUUGGUUGAUGAAAAGGAGGAAGCGCCAUAAAUCGGUGAUUUCUCGGGGUCCUGAUUCCACGCAAUUGACAGUGUGAAUGUGAAAAUUGAUCCACAACGAACACAAUCAACGCCCCCUGACCCAGCAUCUAGUGGGGAGAAGGUUGUCAUUGAUGAUUAGGCCUUGUAAAUUGGUAUUUUCAUGGUUUGAAUAUAUUUGAUAAAUUUACCUAUACAAAAGUGCUACAAUAGCCGAAGGGGAGGCCAACCGUAGUCCAACCGUAGUCCAACAGAGAUCCAUAUUAGUUUGACGUGAUAUUGCUAUGGUUGUUAUAUUUGUUGUCCGACGAUGAUAUAACGUGAAAUUAUGUUUACGAUUACGCACUUCUGUAUUGAGCCGUGAUUUCCGUGCUUUUUCUGGCGGUAAAAUAUAACAUAUCUGAGACUUUCGACAGUGUAGUUGAUUAGAAUUCAAGACUUUGACCAAGUCCAAGUCUCUCCCUUUCUUCACCAAAACCGGUUCAUUCCCAUUUCCAACAGCAGGCGAAUGCCCUUGUUUCUGUAGGAAUUGGGUUACUGCCUUCAACCAGAGGAAGAGUCUUUGCUCGAUCCCUGGAUGCUGACUGGUGCUUCAGAUUCUCAAGAGCAGUUUCUUAGCUCUACUUCUUGAUGUGCAUCUUUGCCACUUGCAUGCAUCCGAAUCUUCUUUUUCAGUCCUAACUGGUAUGUUGCUUCGUCCUCAUUCCGUCUAUAAGAAUCAAAUAAAGACUCUCCAACUGAACAUCCUUAUUUAACUGGAUCAACAAGUAGAUCUGACGGAUUCUAUACGAAAUGAAGGGUUAAAUGACCUGAAUGGAGGUGGGUGGACGUAACUGCGAGAUGCAAUAAACUUCUCGGAGAGAGACCAAGAAACAGAGAGAGAGAAGGGGCGAGAAGAGAGGGGGGAAGAGCGACAACGGUGGAUUGCAGGCCGUCAAAAGGGUCGAGCUACGCCAUAACUCGCCAUUUCCGAAUACUAGAAAAGAUUUUUUUUAGCUCUAUUUCUCAUGAAUUUGGGUUUUUUGUUUUGAAAGUUCCUUUCCGGAUCUACUUUGGAUUUGCUUUGCCGGCAACGAUUCGGUCAAAAUCCAACGAUAUUCUGAUUCCUCACAUCUCCUUGUAAUUCUAGAAUUAAUUUUUUUCGAGUUGAUAUCCAAGUUGUCUUUGAGUUGAUCGUCUGGGUCUGUUUAAUAUUAAUUUGCAGUUUGGCCUUCCCGCUUGAAUACUCGUGGAUGUUAUUACUUGCUUGAGAAUAAUGCUAUGCGCGCUAGGAAAAUAUAAACAAGAUUGGUACUUCAUAUAAAUGGGUGCGCUCUCUUUGCCCACAGGUUGAUAAUCAAGACGACACAUGCCACGAGUUGAAGAUACAGCCUGGGAAAUUCGUGAUUAGACUGGAGGCAAGAAAUGGCGUUGUCCUUACUGCAGAUGAUACUCUGGAUCAGUGCACAAGAGUGAAAAGUCACUUUCUUAAACAACCAAAAGAAGGGAUUGCCUCUUGCGCAAAAGUGCCGGAUCACAUCAGCACACUAAUGGGAUUGAUACACAAUCAGGUGGCUUUAGUACUUGUGGUAGCUACAUUAUCUGCUCGAGAAUGAUGCUAUUCACUCUAAGAAGAUAUAAAAAAAUUGGAGACAAUAUAUAAUGGGGUGCACUCUUUUUGCUUGCAGGUUCGUAACAAAGAGGAUGUAGCCUGGAAAUUCGUCGAGAGACUGGGGGAUAACAAGUGGCGUUGUCAUCACUGCACGGAAGAAUUCUCUGGAGACCUUACAGGUGUAAAAGGUCACUUGCUUACAGUCCCAAAUGAAGGGAUUUCCGUUUGCACAGGAGUGCCGGACCACAUAAGAACGCUAAUGCGGUCGUUACUUGAUGCGGUGGCUGAAGAAGAGAGCAGAGGAGCCAACAGUCAAUCCUCCAUGGAGCCACAAUCACGUCACAUGCCGACUCAACUGUCGCCUUCAUUUUCACCAGAAAGCCUCGAAUUCUUGAGACCGUUAUUACCAACACCACGGAGGGCGACCAAAAUGGCAAACUUCACCCAACAGGAUGUCAUUGGGUCAAACUCUGACCAACAAUCACAAGCGGAGCGUCAGCUUCGUCAGAGUUCAGCAAUGCCAUUAUUGGUGCAAAGUAGUCAUGGUAUGUCCACGUGAAGUUUCUUUACAUUCAUCUAGGCGUGAAGAAAAAAAAUCUAUUACAUUUUUUAUAUAAUUAACUCUAUCUAAAAUGACUCAAACUUAUCUAUUUCCACAUCGCAUCAAUUCUAAAUUACAGAGGUAUCAUUGCAUUUUCUAUAUGUCCGAUAUCACUAUAUUUUUACAGCACAGUUUAUUUCAUUUAAAUAUUUAACUUACGAGCAUGCUGAUUUUCGUUGUAGAAAUCUCUCUCUGUGAUCAAGUUCUAGAUGUUUGUUUUAUCUGUACCCAUGACUUGAUUUGAAAGUCCCAGUGUUGACUGAUCUUACGCUUGAAUAUUUUAGUGCAACCAGCUUUGGUGUCCCCUCAACAUCAAAGUGUUCUGCGUCAAUCUAUUAAUCAUGAGAUGAGGGAUACACAGCAGAAUCCAACCAUUCCUCUGGAUAAUCUAGAUACCACCCGGCAACCUGAUCUUCGUGACUCUCCACCAGAGAAUCUUGUUGAAUCUCGUGAUGUAAUUGUAAACGCUCUUGACGAAAUGCAAACGAAUGAACAGCAUAAUCCAACAGUGGGAUCAUCAUUACAAAAUGAUUUAUCCCUUGAUGUGGACCAUACAAAUCGUUUACUGGAUUGGAGUCAACCGUGUGCAGUGGAAGGCGUUCCUCUAUUCAGCAAUACAAGUCCGACCAACGCUGUUGAGCAUCCCGAUCAGCUUUACCCUAGGUGUGAUGAGGAAGAUGGAAAUGAUACCCGUUUGUUCCCCUCGCAAACUCCAAUGGACAUAGAUCCCUCAAUUGCCUCACCGCAUUCAAGUGACUCUCAUGAUAAUUUGCAAGUUCUAGAAGCAGCAACAAAUGCAAUAGCCCCAUCAUCAUCACAAGGUAUGUCUGGAUUAAUCUAAAUUGUUCCUCUUGUUCUGUUGGAUUCUUAAAUAUCCCAGAUUAAUUUAUCGAAAUCUAACAUAUGUUUUUAUACAUUAGAUUUGAACAGGGGUUAUCCAAUCAUGACCGCAUGGAGCAUCAAUGCCAAUGAUGAAGAGAUAAGAAAGCUCAAAAGAAAAGUGGAAGAACUUGACGACAAAGAAGCUGACGUAAAGGAGCAGAUGGAGAUAGAGUCUUCUUCCUCAGUUCGGAAGAAGCCGAGGAAAACAGUUGAGAAAUGGCUGGAAAAAACAGAAAGAGCAAGAAAUAAUUUCCAAAUAAUUGGCCAAGCCAAUGGGGAAACUUUGCCUCCGAAGGAACAGGUGGUGACAUUGACGAGAGAAGUGGAAGAGCUCAUAAAACAAGCGCUUCCACAAACACUACUCAUAGAGGAGAGAGAUGCCAAAGGAGUCAAAUUUUUGGAACGAAAGCUAAUAGGUGAAGCGAUUCAUGGGAACAUCGAGUUUAUUUGGGGCCAUCUGAAGAAGAAUCGUGCAUGCAAAUUGGGUAUUUAUGGAAUGGGUGGUGUGGGGAAGACAACUAUCAUGAAGCGAGUACAUGAUAGACUUCUAGAAGAUGCAACCUUUGAUGGUGUGGUUUUUGUCACCGUGUCCAAAGAUUUCAGCAUUUCUAAGUUGCAAAUUGAUAUCAGGAAGGAGCUAAAAUUUGACGUUAAGGAGGUUGAGGAUGAGGAGAAACGAGCAGCAAUGUUGGCGGAGCAUUUAGAAAGAAGGAAGAAUUGUGUAUUGAUUCUUGAUGAUGUGUGGGAACACCCACUUCUUGACCUUAAAGAGGUGGGAAUCCCUGAUAGUGCAGAUGGAUUUAAGUUGGUCUUAACCACUAGAUCCUUUAAUGUGUGCUGCCAGAUGCGAUGCCAAGAGAAGAUAAAAAUUGAGCCUCUAUCUCAAGAAGUAGCCGAGAGAUUGUUUCUGGUGGAGCUUGGAUCCAAAGGGCCACCUAAUUUGGAAAUUGCGAAGUCCAUUGUUAAAGAAUGCGUAGGCUUGCCAAUUGGAGUAAUCACGAUGGCAAGAAGCAUGCUAGGAGCGACUGAUGUGUUUGAAUGGAGGGAUGCCUUGGAGAGAUUGAAAGAAUCGAGUAUUGGGCUAAAAGAUAUGGAGAACAAGGUGUUAAUGAUUCUGAAAUUCAGUUAUGAUCGCCUUGGUGAUCCCGAUGUCCAACAGUGUUUCUUAUCUUGUGCACUUUAUCCAGAAGACGAAUUGAUUUAUAAGUUCGAGAUGGUAGAAUUCUUUAUCGACCAAGGAUUAAUUGAUGGAUUGAAUACAAGGAAGAAACAAUACGAUAGAGGCCUCACCAUAUUGAACAAACUGAUAAAAGUUUGCCUAUUGGAAGAUGAUGGGGACUAUAUGAAGAUGCACGAUUUGAUUAGAGACAUGGCAUUGCAAAUCAUGAGUGCGACUUCAAUUGUAAAAGCAAGAAAGGGAUUGAAGAGGAUUCCACUUGAGGAAUAUUGGACGGAUGCUUUGGAGAAAGUGUCUCUAAUGAAAAAUAACAUUAGCGAAUUUCCGUUGAACUUGUCACCAAAUUGCCCCAAGCUAUCAACUCUUCUAUUGGAUUAUGGCUUGCAUGAUGUGGUCAUACCUGAUUCUUUCUUCAAAAAUUUAUGUGGGCUAAAGGUUCUAAAUCUAAGUAGAAUUGAUAUGACAGAACUUCCAAAUUCCAUCUCAGACUUGGUAAACUUGAGGGCACUAUUGCUUGGAGAUUGUAUGGAAUUGCGCCGUAUUCCUUAUCUAGGGAAGCUCACAUCUUUAAGAAAGUUGGACGCUAAAAACUGUAGGAGUCUUGAAGCGCUCGAGGGUUUGGAAAAGUUGGUGAACUUGAGAUACCUUGACCUUAUUAAAACACGUAUUGAGAGAUUGCCCAAAGGAACGUUGGACCAUUUAUUAAACUUGCAAUAUCUUAAAUUUCCGGCGGUAAAUGAAGAAGACAUUACAAAAUUGGGGGCAUUGGAGACAUUUGAAUGCUACCUUAAAAAUGUGGAUGAUUUUGACAAGUGUGUGAAGGCUAUUGAGCAGAGUAAUAACACUCGCUAUUACAACCUCAUCGUGGAUCUAGGAAAACCAGAGUUUUUUGUGCAAGUAAGUGAUGAUACUCGAUGUGGGAGUUUUGAGAAUUUGGGGAGGAGAGUCAUCAAUAGGGACUGGGGUCAUGCCAUUGUGAGUGUGGGAGGCGAAUGCACCGGCAUUUUUAUUUUGAUUCCCCGAGACGUGCAGGCAAUGAUGAUGAAAAAAUGCAACGGUACAACAAAUUUGUCUAGCAUAGGUCUGCUUAAAUACCUCGAAGAGCUAGAAAUAGAAAGAUGGGAAAACAUAGGGGUGCUAUGUGGAGAACGAGACGAAGAAGUAAUUAACAUCCACGACUCCCUCGCCCGAACCCCUAUGUCUCUCCUCUUCCCGAGCCUUAGGGUUUUGAAAAUAUGGAAAUGUCCGAAGCUGAAGUAUCUCUUUGGGCAUGGGUCUAAAUCCAACCUUCCGCAUCUACGAAAGAUUGAAAUAAAUGAAUGUGAGGAAAUGGUGGGGAUAAUAGCAGCAGUUACAUCCCCACCACCACAUCUGCUCCCAUUUUUCCCUAGUCUGGAAUCGAUUAAUGUUGAAUCCUGUGGUAAAAUGAAGAGAGCGGUGGAAUCUGAGUGGAUGCCCCACUUCCCUAAUCUGAGAUGGAUCGAAGUAACCGGAUGUGAGACGAUGGAUGAGAUAAUUAGAGGUCCUCCACCAUACUUGCUAGUUGAAGGGAUUCCUCUCCAAUCUCUUAUGGUAAAAUGUUGCGAUAACAUGAGAAAGUUGUUUCCGCAUGAAUGGCUGCUCCAUCUUCGAAAUCUGCAAGGUAUCGAUGUCUGUAACUGCGAAGGAAUGGUGGAGUUGAUAAGUGGAGCAGGACAACGCCAAGAAGGAAGUAUAAUGACUCCUGUAAACAACACCCCUUCAUCCUUCCAGCCUUCAAUUUCUCUCCCAAAGCUGGAUUUGUUGUGCUAUACGAUCUACCCCAGCUGAAGAGCAUAUGCGAAGUACCAAUAAGGUGCGAUUCCAUGAAAGAAUUGACGGUGUCCAGAUGCUCAGACCUGAAGGGGAUUCCUUUGCAACUGCGAUUGCGUGAUAUUGAGGAGCUUCCGUUUUUUUUUUGGUGGAAGAUGAGGAAAGGUGGAAGACGUUGAUGUGGGAUCAUCCCGAUGCUCAAGCUAUUCUUCAACCUUAUCUCAGAAAAGGGGAAGAUGCUAUAGGUUAAUGAGUUUAAUUGAUAUACGAUUGCUUCACUUCUUAAAAGUCCUUACAAAGAUGUAGCUUUUCUGUCUAUAUAGUCAUGCAGCUCUCUAACAGUGGCCUUUUGCAGAAUUGGAGGCCAAGGGAAAGUAUCUCCAGUGACUCUGCUCUUGAAGAAAGCCCUGUUGCUCAAUCAUGCUUUCCUGCAAAAUCGACUCGAGUUACCAUAUGAAUUGACUUUUUUCGUGUGGUCAUGCUUUGUGUAAUUUGAACGCGCUUGCAUGUUUUAUUGACUACUGGAAAUGAGUCAAUUUGGUCGAUAUUUCAGUUUAGUCAAAAAAACAACAGAUCUAAGGAUUUGGGAAGCCAGGGGACUAGUAGAGUUUGUUUCCUAUCUUAUCUUAUAACUGAAAGGACAAUUUAUUCAUACAUGCUCAGGUUGAGGAUCAGCUUUACGUAUAUCUAGAAUAUGCACAUCAUUAUUGUCUUGUCAGGCGGUAGGGGAAAGUCUUUCCCCCAUUUGGUUUUGCUCCCAAGUGAUGCUGCAAGUUUACCGUAUUUUCCCCUUAUGGUUGUUUGUAAUUUCGUGGAAUGUUUUUAGAAUAAUUUUGCAUCUCCUCUCUAUAAAAUGCAAAUAACCGAUGAAAUAUGUUGAAAAUAUCUCAUACUGAUUGUUUACAAGGUUUUAAUGGGCCUUACAUUUAUAUAAUUUACCUUCGCUUGUUCAAAUUUUUAGGUCGAACUUUCUCUUAUGUGCAAAUAGCAAUUUCUACAUGAAAUGAAGAGUAAACAUGCUUCCCUUUUUUUUUCUACGAUUAAAGUGAUUAUUCUAAGAAAUAUAUAAAGUGUGACAGAAAAAGCAACUCCUUGAAAUUUUGUAAAGUCGGAGGCGCAGCUCAGAAUGAGCUAUGACUCUCGGCUGCAUUGGAUUCUCUCUUCAUUUUCGUUUUCUUUUGUUCUUUUCCUCAUUUUUUAGCCAACAUCCUAACCAUAAGGCGCCUUUUCUCUUUUCUCUCUUAUCUCCCCCCUCCCCCAUUUCUUCGUACAACUCGCUCUUCUUUUCCUGCCUCUUUUUUUUUUUUUUUUUGGGGGGUUCUCUGCCCAAACCCUUAACGAAGACAACUAAUUGGUAUUUAGUUUUCCAAAGUGUAGCAUUAUUGAGCACCAUCACCGACCAUUAAGUUCGCUAAACUCAGUCAUCAAUUAAGUAACUAUUCUUGUUUAACAAGAGCUGCACCGACGUGGCAAGAAAAAGACAAACAAAAACUCAGGUAAGAGCUCAUUGAUUUUCAAGACUCCAUCGUAAAAAUCGAAGAAAAGAAACUAUGAAUAUGUGCUGGAUUUUUCUCUGCCGCUGUGUCCUUUUUGAACCACUUUUGAUCCAGAACUCUAUCAUUUUCAGCUCUCCCUUUCUGUUCCUUUUGGUGUUUUCACGCUGCUAAUUUCCUUCGCUCACGCGCACACACACACAUGAAGGAAUGUCAUGUUGAAAGUGGCCUCCUUUCGGCCAACCAGAGGGAGGGAACGGAAGGGACUUUUACUUCGGAGAGGGGGCCGCGUCCAAAAUUCUCAUAAGAAUUCCCGUUUAAAUUCACCAAAGGAAAUUCAAGAGUCGGAUUAUGUAACAGAUUUUUUUUUUUUUUUUGGCAGUCCUACGCUAUUCCUACUCUACACUCACUCGCAGACUUGUGCCCUGCCUCUUGCAGGGCGUGGGAGUCGCAACCCAAGCUCGAAACUUACGCGUCCCUAUCCCCCAUCCCCCCUGAGGAGGUGGGGAUUUGAACCCCUCACCUCCCCCUUCCAUGUUGAAAGGGUGGCCACUGGGAUUGUGUAACAGAUUGGUUCACAAGAAUUGCGCUCUUAUUAGAAAGGGUAGUGCAUAGAAGAUGUGAGAUUACAAAUGAUUUAUAUGGGUCAAUGGUCAAAUUAUCGGUGUNNNNNNNNNNNNNNNNNNNNNNNNNNNNNNNNNNNNNNNNNNNNNNNNNNNNNNNNNNNNNNNNNNNNNNNNNNNNNNNNNNNNNNNNNNNNNNNNNNNNNNNNNNNNNNNNNNNNNNNNNNNNNNNNNNNNNNNNNNNNNNNNNNNNNNNNNNNNNNNNNNNNNNNNNNNNNNNNNNNNNNNNNNNNNNNNNNNNNNNNNNNNNNNNNNNNNNNNNNNNNNNNNNNNNNNNNNNNNNNNNNNNNNNNNNNNNNNAUAGGAUUUAGCGAAUUGACAAUGCAAAAAUUGAGAGAGAAUAUGAAGUGAUUCUGUGCACUUUUGAAACUCUGUUAGUGUACAUUCUUGUAGUUUUUCCUUGUCAAAAUAUAUUGAUUUUCAACUUUCACUAAAAUGUCGCACAUUCAAUUAGGAAGCAUAUGAUUAAUAGUCCUAAUCAGCCAAGUCACAAAACAAAUCAUAAGAGAUCUAAUGCGGUUGUCACUAAGCCUCGAAUUGGUGGGAUGAUCUUUCCCAUGGCAAGAGCGGCUAACAUCACAAACUUCAUCUUCUAGGGAUUAAGUUAAAAUAUUAUGUUUGGCACUUACGGUGUUCUUAUACUUCAUAAUAAAUAUGUUAUUUAUUUUAUCAGUUAAUCUACCCUGAACAACAUGCUAAUAUUAGUUUAGAUAAUUUGUCAAUUUGGCUAUAGCUUGGAAUAAGAGACGAUAACAAUAUAAAUUCAAUAUUGAAAACUUUUUGUUUGAUUUUUUUUUCUCGCUUUUUAGUUAUUCUUUUAGCAAUUACCGAAUAACAUCAUUCAAACCUUGUAAUGCCGCAUCUAUUUAUUUAUUUAUUUAUUUCAAUUAGUUUACGGCUAAAAUGGGCGAAUCAACAUACAUGAUUUCACCACAAAAUAAAUGGACUUUUUUUGAAAAAAAAAUUAAAAAAAGAGAUAGAAUAAUGGCUCAUAUUAGAACCAUUUACCAAGUAAUGCAAAUUAAAACCAAGUCUUAAUUUUUUUUUAUGUGUAUUAAAAAUUUCCAAUAUCAUAUCAUUUCAUUUUACACAUAAAAUGAAUAGAAUAAACAUUAAAACCCUUUGUCCAUCGUAAGAUAGAAAGUAAACAUCAAAUUUAGAUAAUCUUACUUUAAAUACUUAUGUAGCAAGAACAUACAUAAAAAAUAGAACAUAAUGCAAGAACUAAACAGUAAUAUAACGAUUGAUUUAUAUAAAGUGUCAAUAUAACAUUAUGCAAAAAUUUUAUACAUGUAAUAUGGGUUCAUAUCAAUAAAUGGAAUUUGAAGAAGUAAAUUUCUGAAUUUGUGCAACCCACGGGUCUUUGUUUACUACACAUUCCACAAAAAAUAUGCAGUCAUAAGCUACAAUCUGAUGGAAUCAUCUACCAAUAUACAAAGUUCUAUUCACAUCAUAGGAAAUGUUUUCUAGCAAUCUGAUGGCCUCGAAUAUUUUGGGGGCAAAGAUGGACACAUUUCAUUCAUAUGAGGGUACGAGUCCAUUGUGUUGUACCUUGGCAGCUCCAUUCGAUACCUACCUCGUAUUUGACAGAAUGGAAUGGAAGCUCAAUGUCAUCCCCAUAAUUGAACCACUUAGGCAAGUGGCUUGAAUUAUUCUCGAAGAACCUUAGUGAGUAAUCUUUUAUCUGCAUAAAAAACAAUGCCAUUCACAAAAUGCCAAAUGGGAUUCCUCAUGACAAAAGUUCACGCUUCGAAAGGCAAACUAGAUUAUAGUUUUCUCAAUCUUUGAAAAAAGUGACAUCCAUCUCUAGAUAGUAAGUUCAAGCAACUAGGGUCAGAAAGAUAACCCAACUAGGGUCAAUCAAUCGCACUUACAGUGAACUUUGUAACUCGAAUGGAGCUAGAAAUUAGAUCAAAGAGACCUGCUGCUUUGUAUAUUUCAAGAACAAAAGCUACACAUGAGGCAGACUUCCCAUCACUGUAUACCCAAUCAUCUUGCUCUGGAAUUGUCAGCAGUUCAGCAAAAGAUGGCCCCCUCAUUUCCCUUUCGACUAUUAGAUCAGGAAGAUCCAAGCCCUAUAUGCAACACAAUUGUAAGGUCGCCAUAAAGUAAAUUGCAAUUUGAAUGGGAUGGUACCUCUGUUCCUAGUUGCUUGUUGAGUGCUUCAUUCCGCAUGUUCGCAGCAUAGGCUGGUUGCAUUUGGUUCCAUACUGUCAUAACAGAAGCAACCUACAAUAAUACAAUGCUCUCUAUAAAAUGAGUGAACCACACUCCGAUCAUGCGAAGAAAGCACCCGACAUGGCGAGCAUAUUACAUGCAUCAUCAGCCGGGCCGAUAAAAACUCUUAAGAAAAGAUGAACAAAGUCCACUAUUUUGCUGCCUUAGUAUCAUAUAGGAGGCCAUAAAAAAUGAAUAUUUGUCAAACCAAGUCAGAUUCUUUUCCACAAUAUUAGCACUCAAUAGAGUCACAUGCUAAUCUGCUAUUUGGGGAGAUCACUGUUCAGUUUUUAGCCUUUUGCUUUGCUCAGUUGAAUCCAUUCGAAAUCAUGGUAUGACUGUCUAAUUCCAGCAAGACCAUGCUGUUAGGAUCUGACACAUGGCAUCAUUAUAUUUCAAGGUUUAUCAAAGUAAGGGUAAAUUGAUGUUUUGUAGUUAGGUUGAGAAGCAGAAACUAUUUCAUAUCCAGCAUCAAAGAAUCUCAAGUCACCUACAACACAAGCCCUUAGUGUUAGAAAAUUGUCUAAGACAAACCGAAUGCACCCACAAAAUAUUUAUAAACACAUAUGCACAUGUACAAUCUCUGUACCACAUGAGCAUCCAAUGGCGGUGGAUAAUUUGCAUCGAUAGUGUCUAUCCAGCUAAAGAGCAUGUUGUGAUAACCAUAUGGUUUCCAUUCAUAAACUAAGCAUACUCCGAUGCAGCAGUCUCAUUGAAUUUGAUUUGCAAAUCAGGAUGUAGUUGGAGCAAUGCAAUGUGGGGAUUUGAGUCAUCUUUGUUAAGCUCAAACUCCCACCAUUCUUCGCAUGGGAGCACAGCAAUGACUUCUCCCUGUAAUGAUAAGAACAAAACAAAAAAUUGCAUUAUCUCCAUUACUAUAGUGGACUUCUGUAACAGCUGUCCCCUUUACCAACACAAAAGGACAGAGCAAGCAGCAAUAACCCAAAUGUGAAUUUAAAUUUGUUAAUCAAGUUCUGCCUCGAGUAAAGGACGUCAUUUCAUCGAAUUCUAACCAUAAUCAUCAUCAGUAAGUUGCCAUGUCUCGUGUAAAGAUGGGUCUUGAAGUUCAAUAGAAACAGUUCACACUGUAUUUGCUAUUUUACAAAUAUGAUGAUGCCACAAUAGAGCUUCUAGUAGGAGCCUAAAUAGGAUUUGCUCUAGUUCAUCAUGAACCUGAAGCAGCCUGUCAUCAUUUACUUACUCAUCCUCUCUUACAAUCAAAAGUUUCUACAGGAGCACAGAAAGGAAAGACCUGUCUUAUUAGAGAAGAUAAGAUAAGCAAGGAAAUUUAAGGACAUACGGGUGUAAUAUAAGCAAAAUUAAUAUGCAAAAUGGAACAAUGUCAAUGGAACUGUAUUUGUAAGAGAAGAAGUCUAUGAUUCGACAGAAGUUACGUUUAUACAGUAAUCGCACUGGAAUCCCAUGCCCCAAAAACCUAAGGGUUCAGCAUACGACAUAUUACAGAAACACCACAGUGAGCCUAGUUGUUCUUCUCAAUUUGUACAUGACAACCCUUUUAUAAUCAGAGAAUGUAUAAGCAGCAUCAUAUGGGUGUCUUAAAAAAUGAAUGGCAGAUGAGCACAGGGAAUUGAGGAGGAGGUGUAGAAAUAAUAACUCAAACAACUGGAAGGGGUGUUUCAGAUGUUUGAACGUUUGUUUGUUGGAUAUCCCAAUAUAGAAACAAUGUGGCCAAUUCUAGCCAGUUAUCAACCGGCAGCCAUGUUAAUAUUGGUUCUAUGCAACUGGUUUAAAAAUACACUUCACAAUUACAAUUGCAAAGACAGCAGUAGGCAGAAAGAUUGGAUGAAAUGUCAAAAUUCAAAAAUAUAUACAUCAAAAGCAAUCUAUCAAUGUUUGAAAACGAAGAACAAAAAGGAGCAGAUAAAAUGCUUAACAACAAUCGCAAAGUAAUUCUUUUCCUCGAAAGGCUUUUUCUCCACUAGUCAAUAUAAAAAUCAGUCCUUCAAACUGAAAGAGAAGUGCGCUUACACGUAUGACCAACCCAUGGCUGUUGCCAAAUUACCUGUUCAUUAUCAUGUCCAGAUUCACCAACCCAUAGCUUUCCUUCAGAAUCCUUUAAGCACACAGCUGUGUGACCAGCAUAUGCCCCACUGACCCAUUUCUCUAGAGUCUCAAAACCACCCCACCUCCCUUGAAUUUUUGAAAUUGCAAGGAAAUCUCCAGAGUGGAUAUCAUCAAUGCUGAUGUUUGUAACCCAGGGCUGGGGACGUUGCUCAAAUGAAGCUCCCAUAUGCUUCUUGAGAAAACCAAUGUUAGAUUUCUCCCCCUACCUGGUAUUUGAAAACAAGGGAAACACGUCCCACAGUGCUUGAAGGGUCCUUAGCAUCCCGGCUUGCAUCGGAAAGAUUGACACUCCUCUACUUGUCACCUGUAAUCCAAAUAUUGGAAAACCAAGUGUAACAACUUCUACUAUGCACAAAGGAGCAGAAGAGAAAAAAGAUAAUUGCAGCUUACAUAUUCAAACUCGGCUUUUCCUUCCCACUCUUUGAACUCGAAUGUGUGCUCACGGGAUAAAAAAUAGUAGUCCCAUGUCACACAGUAUGGGGUUGCAAAGACAUAAAUAAUACGUGUCCAGCUAUGGGCUUUGCUGACCUGGAUGAGCAAUCCAAACUCAUGAUUACAAGCCGGAUACCUACAACUAGUCAUCAGUUCAUAUUCAACAGAACUGGAUGCAAAAACAGGGACUAUUAACAUGAAUGGAUAGUACCCACCCAGAUUGGAAUGGCCCCCACAAGAUAAUUUGAUUUUACAUCAAAGGAAACAACCAUACUUGAAUGAGCAACCAAAUCCAAAUCACCAAAUCCUUCUUCAACCACUUAAAACCCAGACACAAAAAACUCAAGUGACCAACCAUGGUACCACCAAUUCGUGGAGCUUAAUCAAGUACAAACAAGCAGAGGAAAGGAAAAGAAAAGAAACCGUGGCAAGUGACGAAAUCCACUUAAAACAUAUUGAAGUAAGAAAUGAAAGAUUCCAUGACUCAGAUUCCAACAUAAAUAAGUAGAAUGAGAAAAGAGGAAUAGUUGGGAUCAAGUGCAAAGCCUGAACAUUGAAUGAUAUUCUCUAACAUCCUUUGAAUAAUUAAUUUUCUUUCACAACUCUAUACAUAAUGGUAUGAGUGCACGCUUCAGUUGGUAAGAAAAAUACCGUAAGUAGAUAGAAACUCUAUCCAGUUCAGUACUUUUAGUCCAUUGGAAAAAAUCAACCUCAAAUUAACCAAGAUAGAAAGCUCAAACUAAGUACUGAAGUCACCAAGACUUAAAUUGAAAACUGCGAAAAGCCGGUGGCCAUUAGACCCCAUCAACAAACCGACACAACCUCACAUCUACCAGAAUUAUCAUAAAAUCGAACUGCAGCGAAUUGAAUUAAGCAGUGACAGUAGGCAAGAAAACCUCAAAAGCUGGUGAACAGUGACCAUCUCUCCACAUUGCCAAACCGCCACAAGCUCAAACCUCCCAAAAUCAUCACAGAAUCGCACUCAAACACAAGGAUUUCCGUUCCGUUCCAUUAGGUUCCCGACUAUUCAACCAAAAAAAAAACCCAAGGCUUGGGAUCAUCACUCCAGUCCAUUGCUCUCCCCGUCAUUUCCCAAUUCCAUUCCAUUCAACCGUACCUAACAGAAAACCUUAUCUUCCAGAAUCGCACUCGAAACCAAAUAGAGACGAAGCCAAAGCGACGCGAUGGAACUAAAGGACGGACCUUGAUGUGAAGCGUGCCUCCCCCGAACUCGCUCCCGGUCUCGUUGUGGAACUCCAACCAAGCGGUGUUCUCGUAGAAGCAAGCUCUUUUCCACGCCAGAGUGCCGUUGGAGGGAGAAGCGCCGCCGCCGACGAGCCAUUGGACGGCGAAGGGCGUUGAGGAUGGAACAAGAGAGCUGCCGAGAAGCUAUGGAAAUUGGGGCGGGUCUCCCCGGUGACCCGGAUCAUGUAUCAAACUAUCAAAAGUGUGAUGUGAUAAUUGUAGAGGGGGAGAGGAGCGAUUCGUUUUGAUCGUCCUUGGACGCUUGGUAAUUACUAGUUAGUGUGCCUGGCCAAGUAGAUGAAACAUUAAAGCAUAAUCGGAGCUGAAAAUAUUCUGCAUUUUUAUAUUAUGUAUUAAUUCCACUAAAAAAAUCUUAAAAUAUAUCUACGGUAGUGAUAUUAAUGUUUUAAUUUUUUUAUGGCAUAGAAAACCUUAAAAAAAAAAGGUUUGAAAUUAGUAUUGAUUUCACAUUGAAUAAAAGUUAAAAUUUUAGAGGUAACCUAAAAAUAUUUUAAUCAUUUUAGUGUAGGGAUCGGCAAUUAGGAAUCUCCACGAAUGAUCUUAGCUUGUGGGAGCACAGAUACUUCGGGCUCGUAUGGUCUGUCCUCAAGUUCUUCAGGAGUGUCCCAUCCCACCUUCUUCUAUAUAGUCCUUUAAGAGAGAGGCGAAUUUUUCUUGGCCACUAGCAUAACUCUUCCGAUCUAUACUUCUGGCUCCUCCUAAUGGAUCAGCAACAGUUAAAUAAAUUUGAUCAAUAUGGAAAGCAAGAACUUAAAUUUGCUAAAUAACCGAUGCCCAACCAAGCUCGCCGUCAAACCACGGUCAUUGAUAGCUUCAACUUCACUUAUAUUGCUUACCCGCCCUCUUCUAUCGCCACGAAGACUUUCACUAUCCCGCUUUUUUAGGACUUAGAUAACAUCAAACAUCUCCAUCGCUGCUGGAUAAAAGUUGAAACAUCAUAAAGAAGUCAAUGCUUUGAAAAACUCUUCCUUAUAGUAUUUCAUCAAUGAUGUACUUCUUAAUUUUGUAUGAAGAAAUGUGUUUGUCAUCGGUAUGGAUUCAACAUUUACCUCAACUUUGUCGUAUCCAUGCAAUUAUGGAUUCAACAUUUACCUCAAUUUUGUCGUAUCCAUGCAAUCUUUCUUACUGUGAAACUGUGUCUUGAGCUUGAGCCCGUAUACAGGAAUCUAACCCACGUUCGAAGAAUUUAUUGAUCGAAGUCACGCACAAAAUGCAGAGUGUUCUUUUAUAAAUUAAUGUGCACGCAAGUCUUGGACUUUUCUCUGCUAUCUCCUACUGUCCUAUUAUCAUUUUUUCACUUUUUUGUUUGAAUCCCCUUUUUAUCAUUGAAGGAGCUGAACGUCCAUUUUUCACGUCCACACUUAACCAAAUCCAUUGGCGCUGGUUUCGGAUUCUUGUUCGAUCAGCGAAAUGGGAAAACUCGGCACCGAAGUUGGCGUCAGGAACGAUGGCAUUCUUGAGGCCUAGCCUCAAAAUUCGAGUGGCAUGGAGAGGGUGCUUCCGUCCCAAGCUCUGCUGGAGAACGGUGACGCUCAACGGGGUGAUCAGAGGCACAUGCGUACGGGCUUGGAGCAGGACGGGCAAACGGGGCCGCUUUGGAUUGGAGUGUGAGCUGUUUCCGCCAUUUUCAUGGAACUGCGAGGGACGCUGGUGGUGUGACCUGGUUGGGGAAAGGAUGGAGCUUGAGGAGGACGGUCAGGGACACGUAUUGAAACCCACUUGACUUAAGGUUCAAGAACGGGUUUGCAAAUCGGAUUCGGCUUGCGAAAUGGACCUGCAUCUAUCUAGUAUGGAGAAGUUUUUUCCAGAAAUUGUGAGACGAUUUCGGGAAUUUGAAAGAAACAGAAGGGGCCAGAGCACAGGGCAAUUUUAAUUUAUUUUGGCCAAACGUUCCAGCAAAUAGUUUCUUCGCCUAAAGACUUCCCUUUUUUCUUCGUAGAUUUUAGCAAAGGAAGUCCAUCUGCUCUUUGGAUUCUCAGAUGCUGAUCUCUUUUUGGGCUUCAGAUUGUAAGAAAAGAGAGAAUUUUGGGCAGCACUACUUAAGUCUCUGCGUUUAUAAAGGAUUUCAAACAUGAUAUUGCUCUAACUUGUCGAUCGAAAAUGUUGUGCCUCAUAUGCUGCUUCGCUCUUUUGGAUCAAAGCAACAUGACCCCAAUUAAACUUGUUUCAACAUUAAACUAUCGGGUAUAGAAUACUUGAUCCACUUAGUAAGGGUUUUGGCUUUUUAGCCUAUAAAAUUGAUUCCAAAACAAGGUGAUCCGGUCUUGUUCCCGAUUGGAUAUUCACUCGGAACCUAUUCUUGAACCGAUUUGAACCGGUUCCAAAAAUUUGGAAUCUAUUUGCAGACCAACUCCGACGGGAACCGGCACUUGAACCUAUUUUUCGAGCAGUCCAAUUUGGUUCCUAAGUAGAACCGCUUUGGUUGCACACCGGCUACAUUGCUUUUCCAUUUUCUCUUUUUGUCCUUGGACCGAUUUGUGUCAGUGCUGCUUCAAUAGACAGCCUGCCGAGAGGCCUUCAACUGCUAUGUUGCUUGAGCAUGCUUUCCUGCGAAUUUGAAGUUGCAGAUGACUUUUUUCAUGCGCCAUACAUUGUUGCAAAAGGAAUGUUAUAUUGUAAGUGCUCAUGUUUACUUAACCAAAAAGAUUAGAAAGAGGAAGUGCAGAAAACGUUAAUGGAGGUAAUUAUAAUGCUUGAGAUCCCGAAAACAUUCGUAAGUCCAAAUGGCGGAGUACAGCAGAGACCUCAAUGAAUGAGAGUUCAACAAGAAUAAAAUGUCAUUUCACACAUAAUCAACGCAAUCAUGCGAUAAGAACUUGAUAAAAAAUUUGCCCAAGGGCUUGUCAUGGCAGGCAGACGGGAAGAGGCUUACCUGAAAGGAGAUUUACCCAAUCUUUCAUCUUUACAUCGUCUUUGACCAUCUACCACAGACUCGAACACAUCUAACAAUCGAUCCAGCUUAUAUCAAAUUACCACCGAAAUCUAAUGCAAAGAAAGAACAUUAACCUCUUUGACUCAUAUCAAAUCCCAGCCCGACAAUGGUGGUCCCCUCCUUUAGGUAUCCAAAUCUAUUCUCUCUCUUUUUUUAAGGAAAUUCUUUACAUGAUCCAAGUGCUAACAAUACUCCUGACACGACAAUUCAAUUCUUCCGAUGAGAUUAUUUCAACAUUUAUAAUAAGAAUUUUUUUUAUGAUCCUUAACGUUCAUUCCCACCACCGCACUUGAAUGGAUCCAAGAUUCACUUUUUGAGAAGAUCAAAGUCUUAAAUUAAAGGACUAUUACAUCCUCCAGAUGGAGAAAUGCACUGGAGAAGAGGAAAGAGACUUGAAAGCCCAGCUCUUCGGUGUCCACGGCCGAGCGUCCUUGAGUGAACUUCCCCUGAUUUUUAGCCCAUAACAUGUGGUGGAUUGGUUGGCGAAUUGGGCUAUUGACACUCAACAUUCAUGCGUCCAAUUCUGUUACACGGACUAGGGGGCGCAGUCGAUUGCGCGCGUGGCUGCAUUGCUUGCUGAUACGCAUCUCAAUAAAAUUUUGCUUUCGAAUUUUUUUAACUCUUUUUUUUUUUUUUUGGCGUUUGAAAAAUAAGAUGGACAUUCCCCUGCCAUGAUAUGACCCAACAAUGGACAAGCCCGUAAGCAAUUCGACAACGUUGCUUAAUCUAGAUGUCCUCUUCUGAGUGCAUUCGAGUUAUAAACAUUUGUGUACGAAGGACAUCUAUUCAUCAAAACCAAUGUUCAUAUGGAGCCAAAAAAGCACCACAUCAGCAAACACAAGCUAGAACACAAAAAAAAAAAAAAAAGAGGAAAAAGAAAUGAUGAGUACAUUAGACGUGCUACAUUUUUUUCUUAUUAGUGCAAUCAAAUACUUCGUCAGUUCCAUUCGAUUUGAGAGAUUGAAAAUAUUGAUAUGAUGUACACUAAUACAACACCAUUUUAUAAGGGUCAAAUUCCUCAGUUCAACCAAAAAAAAAAAAAAUCAAACCAUUUUAUAAACAUUUGGAAUGUAAAGGCUUAAUUCUACGUGUCUAUGCAAUUUCAACAAGUUUUUGAUCAAACUAAAAAAGUCAACUCUAGUUUUUUUUCUUGACCGAGAAAUCUAGAUCGGGCGAGGGUCGCCGGCCCUCACUCACUUUUGGCCAAGGGCUGCCAUUGGUGGGUGCCGAAACCUCGUAGUGAGGGCCGACGAUCCUCGCCUAGAAUAGUCAAGGGCUAACAGGCCCUUGCUUGCAAUCAAUGAGCCCCUAGUUGUGAUUGGCAAGAGUCGUUGACCCCAAGCCAAGGCCCAACACCCUCGCCAACCAUUCCCCCACCAUUGCCGGCCCUUCCUGGCAAUGGUGAGGCGGUGGCAAGGGCUUGCAGCAAGCCUCGCCAUUCUCGCCAUUGGUUUCCAACUUUUUUUUUUAAUUUAGCUUUUUUUAAUUUAAAUAUAAUUUGUAUAAAAAAAAAAAAGCAUAUUUGGAUCAAAAUGACGUUAUUUAAGGCUUAUGUUUCAUGUUUUAGUCACAUUAUCACCACGUAGGAGAGAGAAAACAUUUUAAAAAGUCACAUCUGCAUUUUCCUUUAACUAAGCUAGAUGGAGUAAAUGGAAGGACUUGAGUGCACUAAUUUGACAAGUUUAGGUACUUGAUUAUACUUUUUAUAAGUUUAGAACUCAAUUGAACUUUCAUGAUAAGUUUUAAAUUUCAAGUGCACUUUUUUUACCUAUUAUCCUAUUUGAAAUAAAAACCAAACCAAAAAGACCCAAAUAAUUUCGGGUCAGUUUAGGUAUUUUUGACACCACUAAAAAGAGGCGAGUUUUAUAAGAAGCAUGCGAGUCAGCUUCUAACGUAUUACACAUUUAUACCUUUCCAUUUUUUUUUCUCACCUACACACUGUAUUUUUUUUCUUCCAAGAACCUCCCCUUUUUUGUCUUGCUUGCAGGGCAUUUGUGGAAGAAAAAAUAGCAAAAUCGAAAUUUGGAAAAAAUAAUGGGGCAUUUUUGGAAGAAAAAUUUCUUGUUCCCAUUCUGCUGCACACACUUCUUAUAAAACUCUCCUGUCUCGCCUCUUAGCGUUGGCAUCACAUUUCUCUCACCAAGCAUCUAGGGGAAAUGAAGAAGAUGAAGAUGAGAAAAUUGGUGGAUAUGAUCAUAGCUUCAAGAAGGAUUGCAUCUUCACAAUGGUGCACAAAAACAUCCCUCAUCAUACUUGUUUUGUGAGAAAAUUGCGGAAAAUUAUCUAAAAAGUUCUAAACCUAUUGCACUUUUGUCAAUUUAGUCAUAAACCUUUUAACAUUGCCAAUUAAAUCCUAAACCUUUUUACUUCUUGCCGAUUCAAUCCAUCCAGCCAAUUUUGGCCGGAAAAUGCUGACGGACGCCAGCAGUGCCACGUAAGAUUGCCGGUACUGACGUUGAAAUUUUUUAAUAAUAUUUUAAUAUUUUUUUGAAUUUUUUUCUAUUUUCCCUUUGUUUUCUUUCUUUUCUUUUUGGCUUUUUUCUUUUCCUUUUCAGGUGGCCGGCCACAGGCCACAACUAGCUGGCUGGCCUCGCCUGCCACAGGGAGGCCCAAUCGGGCAAGGAGGAGCCCUUGCCUAAGCGCAGCCCGACAAAGGUCUCCUGGGUGAGGCCAACUCUCACUCAGGCCAGGGCGGCCUCGCCCUCACCGAGGCGAGCGUCAACCUCACCCAAACUAGAUCUGGAGAGGCCGGCUCUCGCCCUUGGCCGGCUGAUGCUCGCUUAGGCGAGGGCGAGCCUCGGCGAGGGCUCCCCUCACAAGAUCUGGCGAGGGCUGACCCUCGCCUAGGCCAGCGUGGCCUCGCCUAAGCGACCCUUGUCAGGCCACGCCUGGGGGAGGGCUCCCCUCGCUAGGGCUUCUUCUCUUUCGGGUUGGGCCUCAUUUGUGGUGGGCGAGGCCAGCCGGCUAGUUGUGGCCGGUGGUCGUCCACCAAAAAAGGCCAAGAAAGCCAAAAAAAAAAAAAAAACAUAAAAAAGAGGGAAAAAAACAUAAAAAAAUAUUAAAAAUAUUAAAAAGUAUUAAAAAUUAUUAAUGUCAGCGCCGCGCGGUCCUACGUGGCACCGCCAGCGUCCACGUCAGCAUUUUUCGGCCAAUAUUGACCGGAUGAACUGAAUCGGCACGAAGUAAAAAGGUUUAUGACUGAAUUGAUAAAGGUAUAAUAGGUUUAGGACUUUUUGGGUAAUUUUCCCGAAAAAAUUGCAAUACCAAACGCUAAAGUGCAAGACGAGAGACUUUUAUAAGAAGUGAAUGGAAGUGAAGGUGCUUCCAAAAAGGGCAUUUUCGGAAGGAAAAGUGCUUGUGCAGCUAAGGGGGGAAAGAGGGGAGUCUUAUAAGAACUGAGGUAAAAGUACUUCCAAAAAGGGCAUUUUCGGGAAAAAAAAGUGCUGGUCAUAAGAGCUUUAUAAAUAGUGAUAUGGCUUCUUAUAAAACGUUUUAUACGAAGUCGGAAAAGUUUUGUAAGAAGUGACGUGGCUUCCUCUAUAAGGGCGAGGCAGGAGACUUUUAUAGGAAGUCAAUGAAAGCGAAACUGCUUCCGAGAAGGGCAUUUCGGCAGGAACAGUGCCUGUGCAGCUAAGGGGGAGACAGGAGAGUUUUAUAAGAACUGAGGCAAAAGGGCUUCCAAAAAGAGCAUUUUCGGAAGAAAAAGUGCCGGUCAUGAGAGCUUUAUAAAUAGUUACGUGGCUUCUUAUAGAACGUUUCAUACGAAGUCGGGAAUGUUUUGUAGCGGCUGACUUCGUAUAAAACGUUUGACUUCGUAUAAAACGUUUAAAUGUUUUAUACGAAGUCAGGAAAUUUUUGUAAGUGACGCGGCUUCUUUCUCAUGAAAAGCCCCCAGAGGACGCCGUUCUUCUUUUAAAACUCUCCUGGCCAGCACAUUUUUUUCAAUUCACUUCUUAUAAAACUCUUGUCUCGCCCCUUAGCAUUUGGCACCGCAUUUCUCUCACAAAACAAUUCACUCAUGGGGAAUGUUUUUACGCGCCAUUGUGAAGACGCGAUCAUUCCUGAAGCUGAAGCUGUGGUUAUAUCUGGUAAUUUUCUCUUCUUCAUCUUCUUCAUCUGUGAUUCACGGUCACCCAUAGACGUUUGAGUUGAGUUUGAUUCUUAUGUUAAAAUUUACGUACUUCAUUUCCUUGAGAUUCAAUUGUUUCGCUUAGAAAGUUUGUCAACUAGGUAAGGGCUGACGAUUAAGUGUUUGUUUUUCUCGCUUUUAAGCUUGUAAAGUACAGAGAACUAGUCUUUUGAUAGUUAAAAAAAAGUACAGAGGAGUAGUCUUGUAAAGGUUGAUCAACUGGUAGAAUUGUGUGGCAAUCAUUAUGAGACCGUGAUGUAAUGCCUCUUUAUUUUUCUAAUCCAUAGAUCUAUUUCCCCUGUCUACCAUACGUAAUGAAGAAGAGGGCAGUGAAGAAGUUGAAUUACAAGAUGAAUUCGCCAUCGUCAAUUUCCCCAUUCAAGGUGGAGAUGGCAAUAUCAUACCUAAUGAAGAAGAGGGCGGUCAAGAAGUUGAAUUACACGAUGAAUUGAUUGCCAUCAUUGUCCCCAUUCAGGGUGGAGAUGGCAAUACCAUACUUAAUGAAGAAGAGGGCGGUCAAGAAGUCGAAUUACACCAUGGAUUGAUUGCUGUUGUUGUCCCCAUUCUGGAUGGUAAUGGCAAUGGUGACGGCCAUAUUGAGGAUGGCGACAACAAUGUUGGUGACAAUGAAGUGGAGCAAGAGGUGCAGGAGGUGGAGAGUGAGCAGGACGGCAGCGAGGGGGCUGGUGGUGUGGGGGCUGUUGUUGGUCCUGCCAUUGCUGGUGAUAGAGCUGGCUUUAUUGUUCUGGCAAUGGUGCUGGUCGGGGCGCUCUUCCUGUGGAAGAUGCGGCUGAUAACUUUGCUGGAGUUGCUUUUGAUAGUGGUGGUAGUAUUGGCAGUAGCCUUGCUCCUUUGGGGCAUGGAUGGGCUAAACUUGAUAUGGGUCUUAAUCCUAAGACUCAAUGUUAUCUUAGUAUGAUGAAGAGAUUGACGCGUGGAUUGCCAUGUGAGAUGUCUAGGUGGACUUCUUUGGAUGAUUUUCAGUAGAACAUUUUUGUUGCAGGAACCUCUGUUUGUAUCCUUUCUUCAUCAUGUACACAUUUGUAUCAUUACUGGUUAUGCUGUCAAUCUACUUGGCAGGAAUAAACAUGUUCAUAAUUUAUUAACAGCUGAUUGUUCUCAUAUUGGUAAUAAUUUAAGUGCACAAUAUGUAAGGAAUGGGGUAAGUAACGGCCAAUAAAAGAUUAUCCCUAAAUAUUAUGCGAGAUCUAUAAGAUAAAUUAGCAACUCUCCUUUACCACAAAACCUGAUGGCAAUUUGAUGAACUGUCAUGUUUUCUUAGGAUUAGUAUGUGCACAAGUAGUUACGGAAUCUUAACUUUCACAUAAAAGGAUGGUCAGUAAGCUUUUCUUUACCCAUGAGCUUAGCUCUCCUUUUUACAUUCAGCUGGACUCAUCAAUGAUGGAGGGUCAUUUGAUUCAAUCUUCUACGUGAUGUUGAUGCAUAUAUGAUUACGUCUAAAUAGAUGUGACAAAUGGGUGGUGGACUAGAUUGAUUUUGGAUGGGUUAUAAAUAGGUUCAAUUCAAAUUCACCCAUUUAAUUGACGUUGACCCAUUUAUUUUCUACACAAUUUAUAUGAUACAUAGCCAAUCCAAACCCACCAACAUAACUCACAAUUUUUUUUAUUAAUACCAAUUAAGCAAUUAUCAAAUUAAAAAUAAUAAAAAUUAGUAGGGAUAAAUACACUCAAAAUUCUAAACUUAUCAUAAAAGUAUAAUUGAAUCAUAAAAUUAUUAAAAUAUGUAAAGUACUAAAAUUUAUCACGAAAAUUCAAUUGAAUCUAAAAAUUUUCAAAAAUAGUAAUUUAAGGGAUUUUUUUUUUUUUCCCGUUCACAGGCUCCCCUUCUCUCUCUCUCGCUCUCUCCCUCUCUCUCUAUACUCGCUUUUUGGAAUUAAAGAGGAGAAAAAUGGAUUUUUUGCACUAACCUCCUUCCACUUCCUCUGCUUCUUCACGAACGACCAUAAACCUUCACAAACCAAUCCCUUUUUUCUCUGCCAUGCUUUAGUCGCCGUGUCCUUUGCCCCGGAUGUUGCCGGUGACACCGUGGCCCAUCUCUGAGCUCGACGGCGAGAAUUGAGCCGCCUAGAUUCAUCUCGCGCCUCUAUCUCUCUCGUCCUCCCCUUUCGACUUCGGAUGGCGCUGAUUCGAGCCAUUGAGAUAAUUUCAUCUCAGAUUCACGGCCGAGUCGAGGCCUAGAUCUGAGAUCUAGGGCUCAAUCGAGCUCCACCGAAGGCGAGGGCUCAGUCGAGCUACACCAGAGGCGAGUCUCGGAUCUCGGCAUCUUGUCGGUGCCGGAGAAAUGGAGAGAGAUUGCCGUAGUGAAGGCUUGGUUAGAGAGAGAGGUGGGUUGGGUUUCUUGGUUCAAACGUGUUAAAGAGGGAGGAACUCUGGAAGUGAAGAACCCCAGGCAAUGCGAAGAUUGCCGCAGUAUGGUUUUUUGGGUUUGGCUCCAAGAAGCAAUGAAUCAAAAUGCGUUUCGGUUCGGUUCAAAUACUCGACCUGAACCGAAAUGAUACAACACCCAUCUUUUUUACCUAUCACCCGAUCUGGAAUGAGACACGAAUCAAGAAGACCCGAAAAUUUCAGUUUGGAUUGGGCCGGGUUUUUUCUGACGCCCCCAACGAGAGGGAAGUUUUAUAAGGAGUGUGUAAGUUGCCCCUUAGCAUUGGCAUCGCAUUUCUCUCACAAAACGUCUAGGGGAGAUGAAGAUAAAGAAAAAUGCCAGAUAUAACCACGGCUUCAAGAAUGCUCGCGUCUUCACAAUGGUACCCAAAAACAUUCCCCGCGAGACUCGUCUUGUGAGAGAAAUGUGAUGCCAAACGCUAAGGAGCGAGAUGGGAGAGCUUCAAAGAAACUUGAAUAGCUACUUCAACACACCCCGGCGCCAUAUCUCCCUCUCUUUGGUUCCGUUUUCCCUUUUUUUAUUCGUGGAUUAAGUAAUCGACAAUCAAGAGUACCCUCUCCUAUUCCUCAAUCUUAAGAUGCUGUCUGUCGGGGGACGUCGGAAAAUGAAGUAUCUCUAAUCAUAAAUCAAACAAUCAUCGACCCAAAAACAUCCGACAGCUGAUCUAGCUUCUUGGGAUUGUCCUCCUUCACUGUGGACAUGACCCCUUGGAGAGCGAAGAAAAAGAACAUCCAGCAUUAGGUUGACUUCUAACUUCUCCAUAGAUGCUCAUCGCUCCCAACUCGCCGUCGGUGGAUUUGAGCUGCGCCUACAAGAUCUAGGUUUGUCGAAUUUUUUUCCUAUCAAACGAGUUAACAGCUUCAACCAUGGAUUCUAACUGUAACUUUCUCUUUCUUUCAUCCACUCUCUCUCUCUAUAUCAGCACAACCAAGUUCAUCACUCUAAACUAAGUGGCCUCAAGUUCAUCAAUGCCAAGGGCAUUAGGAGCAAGAAAUUGAAGUACCAACCUUUCUUUAAAAUUUUGUGAGACUACUACCAACUACUUUUGUCCAAUAAAAUCUCACAUGAUACAUGAUUAUGAGAUCUUAAGCCCAAACAAUUCAAGGCCCCAAUUUGCGCCCCCUCUUAUAUAGCUCAACUCUUUAGACUUAAGCCAAACUCUAGUCUACGCUUGAGGGAGAUUGGUAGAAUAUUUUAAUAAAAUCAUAUCAUCAUCUAAUAGUUUAAAUUAUUAGAAUGGUUGUAAGUGGUCUCACAAAAUAUCAUGCUUCUCCCCUUCUUGAGGGAGUUUACACAACUAAACAUGCUAUUAGAUAGUGCAAGUGUGUGGACUAUGUAUAUUUUCUUCAAAAAAGAUAUUAAAUGCAUUUCUAGCAAUAUAGGUGUUACUUAGGCUCUAUUUGUUUCACAUAAAAUUUCCUUUAAAAAAACAUUUUCCUCAUUUUCUGGCAUUUGGAUAUCUUAAGAAAAUAAGUCAACUUAAUAUAUUUUCAUAAUUAAUAUAAAACAUAUGCUUAAAUUCAGAAAAAUGAUUUCCUAUUUUAAAAAUCAAAAAUCAUUUUCCGGAAUACGGUUAGACAUUGGCGCUUGUAACUAAGAUCUUCGUGCUUGAGCAUAGGAGCCCUAAUAUUCGUGUUCGGGUCCUCAAUUGUGGGACCCAAUUCCACAAUGGCCAAGCUCAAGACUCCGAUGACCAUACUAGAUCCCUAAUGGCCAUGCCUAAUACCGUGGUGCCCACUCCUAGGUCCCUAAUGGCCAUGCCCCACUACUCGAUUUUCAAGCCUAGGUCCAUCGAGACUGGGACUAGUUCCUUGAUGGUUGGGCCAAGGUCUACUAAGGCUAAGCCUAGGUCCCUUGAUGCUUAGCCCAAGACCCCGAUGGUCAUGGCUAAGUCCUUGGCAGUCUUGCUUGAGUACUCAGCUCCUACACCAAAAUCAUCGAUGCUUGAGCCUAGGUCCAUCAAGGCCAAACACAAGUCCACAUAGGUUGAGCAUGGGUCCUGGAUAGCCAUGUUGGGGUACUUGAAUCUCGUGCUCAAUUUACUAGCUGUCAAGCCUUGGUCCAUUAAGGUCAAGCCUAAAUUCAAAGAGGACGAACCUGGGUCGUCAGUGGCCUUGCCCGGGUGCUUAGCUCUCAUGCCCACAUCAUCGGCACUUGGACAUUGGUUCAUCAAGGCCAGGCUCGAUUCUAUGGCAAUCGGGACCAAGUCCCUUGAGGCUAAACAGAAGACACCUUAGUACCUGUGCCUAGGUCCCUGGUGGCCGUGUCCAAGUCAUCAUUACCCAAGCCUAGGACCCUCAUUGCCUAGGUACCUCGAUCCCUGCUCAAGUCAAUGGCGCUCAACCUCAGUUCCUCGACAACUGAGCUCGAUUUCCAUGUGGUCGGGCCAAAGAUCCCAAUGUCCAUGCAUGGAUACUCGGCUUCUAUGUCUAUGUCACUGGUGCAUGGGCUGGGUUCAUCAAAGCUAAGUCCGAGACCUUGGUGCUCAUGCUUGAGUUCCAGUGGUUACACUUGAGAAAGCCCAGCUCCUGCAAUUGAGCCCCUAGUGAGUAGGUAUCCCUCGGCUAGGUAUCCCUUAUAUCACAUGAAAAAUGAAUAUCUCUUUGGGAAAAUAAAACCAAGUUCUUCUUUGUAAAAAAUAAUUACCAAUUCAUGUUCAUAUUUCAACUGAACACUGACAAAUAUUGCCUUUUCCCUAGAAAAUAACUUAUUAUAAGGCUUUUUUUUUUUUUUUUUGGGAAGGUCAAAUCUUUUAUGAAACAAAUGAACCNNNNNNNNNNNNNNNNNNNNNNNNNNNNNNNNNNNNNNNNNNNNNNNNNNNNNNNNNNNNNNNNNNNNNNNNNNNNNNNNNNNNNNNNNNNNNNNNNNNNNNNNNNNNNNNNNNNNNNNNNNNNNNNNNNNNNNNNNNNNNNNNNNNNNNNNNNNNNNNNNNNNNNNNNNNNNNNNNNNNNNNNNNNNNNNNNNNNNNNNNNNNNNNNNNNNNNNNNNNNNNNNNNNNNNNNNNNNNNNNNNNNNNNNNNNNNNNNNNNNNNNNNNNNNNNNNNNNNNNNNNNNNNNNNNNNNNNNNNNNNNNNNNNNNNNNNNNNNNNNNNNNNNNNNNNNNNNNNNNNNNNNNNNNNNNNNNNNNNNNNNNNNNNNNNNNNNNNNNNNNNNNNNNNNNNNNNNNNNNNNNNNNNNNNNNNNNNNNNNNNNNNNNNNNNNNNNNNNNNNNNNNNNNNNNNNNNNNNNNNNNNNNNNNNNNNNNNNNNNNNNNNNNNNNNNNNNNNNNNNNNNNNNNNNNNNNNNNNNNNNNNNNNNNNNNNNNNNNNNNNNNNNNNNNNNNNNNNNNNNNNNNNNNNNNNNNNNNNNNNNNNNNNNNNNNNNNNNNNNNNNNNNNNNNNNNNNNNNNNNNNNNNNNNNNNNNNNNNNNNNNNNNNNNNNNNNNNNNNNNNNNNNNNNNNNNNNNNNNNNNNNNNNNNNNNNNNNNNNNNNNNNNNNNNNNNNNNNNNNNNNNNNNNNNNNNNNNNNNNNNNNNNNNNNNNNNNNNNNNNNNNNNNNNNNNNNNNNNNNNNNNNNNNNNNNNNNNNNNNNNNNNNNNNNNNNNNNNNNNNNNNNNNNNNNNNNNNNNNNNNNNNNNNNNNNNNNNNNNNNNNNNNNNNNNNNNNNNNNNNNNNNNNNNNNNNNNNNNNNNNNNNNNNNNNNNNNNNNNNNNNNNNNNNNNNNNNNNNNNNNNNNNNNNNNNNNNNNNNNNNNNNNNNNNNNNNNNNNNNNNNNNNNNNNNNNNNNNNNNNNNNNNNNNNNNNNNNNNNNNNNNNNNNNNNNNNNNNNNNNNNNNNNNNNNNNNNNNNNNNNNNNNNNNNNNNNNNNNNNNNNNNNNNNNNNNNNNNNNNNNNNNNNNNNNNNNNNNNNNNNNNNNNNNNNNNNNNNNNNNNNNNNNNNNNNNNNNNNNNNNNNNNNNNNNNNNNNNNNNNNNNNNNNNNNNNNNNNNNNNNNNNNNNNNNNNNNNNNNNNNNNNNNNNNNNNNNNNNNNNNNNNNNNNNNNNNNNNNNNNNNNNNNNNNNNNNNNNNNNNNNNNNNNNNNNNNNNNNNNNNNNNNNNNNNNNNNNNNNNNNNNNNNNNNNNNNNNNNNNNNNNNNNNNNNNNNNNNNNNNNNNNNNNNNNNNNNNNNNNNNNNNNNNNNNNNNNNNNNNNNNNNNNNNNNNNNNNNNNNNNNNNNNNNNNNNNNNNNNNNNNNNNNNNNNNNNNNNNNNNNNNNNNNNNNNNNNNNNNNNNNNNNNNNNNNNNNNNNNNNNNNNNNNNNNNNNNNNNNNNNNNNNNNNNNNNNNNNNNNNNNNNNNNNNNNNNNNNNNNNNNNNNNNNNNNNNNNNNNNNNNNNNNNNNNNNNNNNNNNNNNNNNNNNNNNNNNNNNNNNNNNNNNNNNNNNNNNNNNNNNNNNNNNNNNNNNNNNNNNNNNNNNNNNNNNNNNNNNNNNNNNNNNNNNNNNNNNNNNNNNNNNNNNNNNNNNNNNNNNNNNNNNNNNNNNNNNNNNNNNNNNNNNNNNNNNNNNNNNNNNNNNNNNNNNNNNNNNNNNNNNNNNNNNNNNNNNNNNNNNNNNNNNNNNNNNNNNNNNNNNNNNNNNNNNNNNNNNNNNNNNNNNNNNNNNNNNNNNNNNNNNNNNNNNNNNNNNNNNNNNNNNNNNNNNNNNNNNNNNNNNNNNNNNNNNNNNNNNNNNNNNNNNNNNNNNNNNNNNNNNNNNNNNNNNNNNNNNNNNNNNNNNNNNNNNNNNNNNNNNNNNNNNNNNNNNNNNNNNNNNNNNNNNNNNNNNNNNNNNNNNNNNNNNNNNNNNNNNNNNNNNNNNNNNNNNNNNNNNNNNNNNNNNNNNNNNNNNNNNNNNNNNNNNNNNNNNNNNNNNNNNNNNNNNNNNNNNNNNNNNNNNNNNNNNNNNNNNNNNNNNNNNNNNNNNNNNNNNNNNNNNNNNNNNNNNNNNNNNNNNNNNNNNNNNNNNNNNNNNNNNNNNNNNNNNNNNNNNNNNNNNNNNNNNNNNNNNNNNNNNNNNNNNNNNNNNNNNNNNNNNNNNNNNNNNNNNNNNNNNNNNNNNNNNNNNNNNNNNNNNNNNNNNNNNNNNNNNNNNNNNNNNNNNNNNNNNNNNNNNNNNNNNNNNNNNNNNNNNNNNNNNCCCUUCUUCUUCUUCUUCUUUGCCCCCUCUCUUGUUUUGUUAUAGAGGUAUGUUUGACUAAAUCGUUCGAUCAUUCUUGCUGGUGAUCUUUUUCUUGAGGGGAACUCAGAAACUGACCUUUCUUCUUCCUUUCAAUUUUUCUGGUCUUCAAAUUCCGACGACUAUUAUCCACUUCUCAUUCUACGAGUACUUUUGGAUUUUAGGCGACCCAUCAAUAGUUGUCCUUGGUUUUGCUCCCCAUCGCAAUUGUGAAUAAAGGGCUCAGUACACGAGACAAAUCGGCAAAAUAUUUAAUAGAACCUGUAUCAAAGAUGACACGUUUUCUACACAGUAAUCGCCAAUUCACAUUCCAGAAGGAAUCUACCACUUGAAAUACUAGUUCAGAAACUGACAAAAAUAGAGCUACAAGCCUACAACUCUCUUGCUUUCCUUCAUCGCCCGCGCACUCACCUCAUAUCCACACCCACAACAAUGAACUUUUUUUAUCACUCUUCUUCUCUUUCUUCUACCAGUUCUUUUUCUAUUAAACUGGAGAAGAAGUUCAUCAAGAAAGCUACCUCCGGGUUCAUUGCAAAUCCCCAUUAUAGGCCAAAGCCUUGGCCUGCUCCGAGCCACAAGGACAAAUGCAGGAGAAAGAUGGCUUCGAUAAAGAGUGAGGAAAUAUGGACCAAUCUUGAAGCUCAUUCUCUUGGGAAGACGGAUGGCGUACACUCAAUGGACAAGCAGCAAACAAUCUUGUAUUCUGCGGAGACAGCAGCAAGAUUGCCAACAAGCAAACAUCAUCCAUCCGCACGAUUCUGGGAGACUGCAAUCUAUUGGAAGUCAGUGGCCAAGAUCACAGACACGUGAGAGACUCUCUGAUGUCGUUCUUGUGACCAGAAUCCCUGAAGCAGUACGUGGGGAAAAUGGAUGAAGAAAUCAGAAAGCACAUCGAAUUGCACUGGCAGCGCAUGGAAAGAGCUGUGGUAUGUCAAUAUUCUGUAAAACUCCCACUGUUGCCUUGAUCUGUUUGAGAUAUAUCCAAUACAUAACAAGUUUAAGAUACAUAUGGCGUAUGCACUCAUUCUCUCAUAUAACUGGUGUUCACACUUGUAUGGCCUCCGCAUAUAUCGACUAAGAGAAUGAAUGCAUAGAUUAAAAGUGCAAAUAAUCUCUUCAAUAAACAAAAGAAGAGUAAAUGACACUAGUGUUUUGAUUUUUCCUAUAGGCAUGGCCCCUGAUGAAAAACCUUACAUUCAACGUUAUAAGCUCUCUUAUCUUCGGUGUUGAGGAAACAUCUGAAAGAGAGAAUUCUUGCAAAAUUUUCAAGAAAUGAUAGAGGCAAUGUGGUCGAUACCAGUAAAGCUGCCAUUCACACACUACACUAGGAGCCUCUGUGCAAGCUCUAGGGUCCAAGAUCUGUUGAAGGAGCUUGUAGCCUUGUACAGGAGAAGAAAGCAAAAAUAGAGCAGCGCAUUGCCACUCUUUAUCAAGACUUGAUCACGUGCCUGUUAAGUAGGCAUGAUGAAGAAAAUAAACAAGUUGUGACUGACAAGGAAAUUUUGCACAAUAUCAUGCUAAUCAUGGUUGCAGGACAUGAUACCUGUUCUGAUGACUUUUAUGCUGCGUCUUCUAUCAAAGAAUCCCUCUGUUUAAAAAGCUGUUCUUCAAAGUACACAUCCUCUAUUUCCGGCAUCUUUUUAGAUUUGCCGAAUCUGCAUAGGGAUUCCUGCAGCCCAAAAAGGAAGGAAAACAAAACUAAAAGAUGAAUUUGUUAAUUAAUGAAUCUAUUUUGCUGAUGGAAAAUGGAUGACUUGCCAAAUGUAAGAAAAGUCAAUACACAAAUUAUUCGAAGUUUCCGAAGUCAGAUGUCAACUUUAAUAACAAAGCUCAAAAGCAUGUUCUUCCCCCUUAUUGCAAUUCAUAAGCCUCUCUUGCUUUUGCAGAACAAGAAGAGAUAGCAAAAAGCAAGACUUCGAGGAUGGUUCCACCUGUUUUUGCUAGCUUCAGGAUAGCCUUCAAGGAUACCUCAUUCCUAAAGGCUGGCAAGUAAGGAUGCUUGUAACUUUUCCUAUCUCUUCAAAUACUUGCAUUAUCUGCUAUUUAUUCUCUCUAUCUGUGAAACCAGUCGCUUAAUAUACCUUUGGAACUUAACAUGUGAUUUAGAUCUUCUAGGCAUCAAGCAUGACACACAUGAUGAGAGCAUAUUCCUGGAGCCAUCAAAGUUUGAUACUGCUAAAUUUGAAAACCAGAAGAUAGUACCACCCUACAGCUUUAUUGCUUUUGGAGGAGGGCCUUGCAUAUGCCCAGGAAACGAAUUUGCGAGGAUUGAAAUCUUUGCUACAAUCCAUUAUUUGGUCACUCAGUACUCUUGGGAGUUAUGUUCAGAUGAUCAUUACAUGAGGGACCCAUGCCAGUACCUACUCAAGGACUACUGCUUUGGAUUGUGCCUAAGAAACAGAAAUGAUCUUUCCUUGACCAUCCAGGACUUCAACUAUGCCAGCUUUUCAGGACUUAGCUACAUCAAACAUCCCCAUUAGUGGAUAAAAGUUGAAACGCCAUUAACCCAAGAAAGAAGCCAGUGCUUUUAGAAACUCUUCUGGAUAACAUAACAAAGUGUAUUCUGCCAAUGGUGUAUGCUUUCAUUUUAUAUGAAGCUAUAUGCAUGUCAUCAUUACAAAUUUAAAAUUGAGCUUGACUGCCCAGUAUUCAUGCAAUUUUCCUUAUCUUAGCCCCUCCAGAAACUAUCAACGCUUGCUAUAUUAAUAAAACCAAAUGCUGUUUGAACAGAAAAAGGCCUAAUUUUUCUUUUGCUCUUCCAAUUUCUUUGGGUUGGUUUGAAUCUGAUUUAAUUUUUGUGUUUUUCCCUUCUUUCUUGCUUUUUACCUAACAAACCAUGAUAUUUCAACAAACAGUGAUGACAAAGCAUCAAAUUAUGACAAGGAGAUUCAUUUAUAUUGAUUGAAUCAUGCAAUAGUGAAGGUAAAAUUAUUUAUAUUAGUUGAAAGGUGAUCAUUCUUGACAUGGAGUGACAGCAAAAUACUUUCGUACUUUCUCUUUGUAAAGUGAAUAUUGUUUUACUCUUUUAUUUGAAAUCUAACAUGUAGAAAGUAAUUAACUAAGCUAAAUAAUAUAGAGUAAUUUGAGAAAUGGCAAUAUCUAUCCGAAUUCCGACAUGUCAACACAUUGAACUUUGAUGUAAUUAGAUAUAUCUGUGCACGUCAUACUCUAGUAUUCCAUUGAAUUACACCAUAAAUGCUUGAGUAUAUAUUUUGAUACUCAACCCAGUGUGCUUGCUGGUAGUCAAUAUUCACAAAGUUAAAUAAGAGAAUUACAGUGCAGAAAAUCAGCACAUCUUUGGCAGAUUCAACUUAGAAAUAAUUAAGAGGCAAAGGACCUAUAGGUUCUUAAGUCUUUGCAGAACUAGCGAAGAGCUCAAAAAUGCCAAGGCAGGCGAUUGGGAUGCAUGAGAUUCUGCAAAACCUUGAGAAGUGCAAAAGACAGGGGACAGCAGAGACAAAUGAUCAAUGCAAUCAACAGGCACAAAUGAUCAAUGCAAUCAUGCGAUAUGAACUUGAACAGAAAAUUGCCCAAGAGCUCAUUAUGUCAGGGCAAGCUGGAAGAGGCUUACCCUGAAGUGGAUUUACCCAAUCUUUCAUCUUUACAUCAUCUGUGAUCAUCGACCAUCGACUCAAAAACAUCUAACAGUUGAUCCAGUCCCUCCGGACUGCCCCCAACCGCCUUCAUUGCGUAGAUGGCCCUCUCGAGAGUGGACAAACAUCCAGCCUUAGGCUGCUAACUUCUCUGGACAAGCUCAUCACCUCCAAAUCCAACUUCAGAUGAGGCGACGGCUUCAACCAAGGAUUCUCGCUGUACAUUCUCUUCGCCUUCAUCCACGUGCCGUCCAGCACGAUCAAGUUCCUGACUUUGAACUCGGCUGCCUUGAGUUCAUCAAUGCUGAGCGCAUUCUUGGUCGGAAACAGAAGUACGAACCCGCGCGGCACCUCAAGUACGAAUUCCACAGAUUCUUCAAGCUCCAAGCUCGAAUUCGAUACAAGGUUUUGCGAUUUCCUAAUCACAAAUCCAUUCGACAGAACGUAUCGAGGCCCGGAGAUCGGAUUCGGGCGCAGAGACACGUGCGCGCCGGCUUGGAACAGGACGGGCAGACGUGCCGCAUCGGAUUGGUGGAGCGAGCCGUUUCCGACAUUUUUGCGGAGCCGCGGCGGGCGGUGGCGGCGAUCCGGCUGGGGAAGGAGGGAGCUUGAGGAGGAGGAGGGUGGCCGGGGACGCGUAUCGAAACGGGCUCGGAUUCAGGUUCGGGAACGGGUUCGCGAAUCGGAUUCGGGUUGUGAAAUGGACCCGCAUUUCCCCAGAAAUUGGGAGAUGAUUUUUGGGAAUCUUGAGAGAAACGGUAGGGGCCAGAGCGGGCAGUGGCGCUGUUUGGCCAAAACGGUCGAGCAAAUGGUUUUGAAUUUACUAAUGAGCGUGCCAGCGGCGGCCUCUAUGAUUCAAAUCCGAAAAAUAGUGUGCAUAGGCCAAUCGAUGACUGCCGCCAUCAGGUGAGGCUGAAUAUCAUGGCGGCGACCAAGUGGUGGAGAUUGUUCUCGUGGGUUUAUCAUGCUAUGAGACGGCAACCAUUGUAGCAAUGGUCGAAAUCAGGAUGAUGAAUGACCGAAAUCAUGCAUCUAGACACAGUAAGUAUCCACUUAGAUCAAAUGGUCAACAAGUUAACAAUUGAGGCCUUGAAGAUUUUAGCAGAGGAAGUUGAUAUGUUCUUUAGAUCCUUGGACGGCGGUUGCAUUUGCGCUUCAGAUUGUAAUAGCAGCCUCAGGGUUCCUCCUUUCGAAGUCUUCUGAGUAUGUAUCACUUAGACAUCCUAAGCUUCAUAUCAGCUGCUAAUAAUGCUGCGAAACUUCACAUAAAAUUGCCUUCUUGGAAUUUGCAUGAGUAGUGUCCAAUUUCAACCUAGUGAGGAACUUUUUGGCCAAAAAAAAAAAGAAAAAAUAAUUGGUUGAUGUUUCAAAUUAACCAAAGGACGAUGGAUCUAAAUAUCUAAGAAACUAAAGGACUAGCAAAGUCUACUUCCUGUUCGACUUAGAACUGAAAGGAAAAUUUAUAAAAUUUAUUAUUAUGAUUGAUCUUUCCAAAAUGUUGCCUCCUAAAGAAAAGGGAGAAUUUUGGGCGAUACCGCGUUUAAUUUGUUUGUGUUUAGAAAUGAUUUCGAACAUGAUAUUGCAUAAACUUGUUGAUUGAAAAUGUUGUGCCACACACGUUACUACUUGCUCUUUUGGAUCAAACCAACUUGACAUGGAUUGAACUGUUUCAACAUUAAACUAUUCAAAAUAUUUGAUCUGCUUACUGAUUUUAUCAUAUUUGGAAACACGGGCGGGCAAGUUUUCUUUUUGCCCUUUGUUGUCAAAAGAAGAAGAAAGAAUUGCAUAGCUAUCACCUCUAUUUUGACAAAUAUAGUAGCUUCCCAUGUCUGGGAUAAGACGAUGAAACUCGCAAGGGUUCAUCCUAAGUCGGCUUGUGCUUCGUACAAUGUCUUGUAACCGACUUGUUAGCUUAGUACCCCGAUUACCUUAUACUCCUUUUCUUCAAUUAUUAUUUUAAUACACAGAGAGAGGGCCAAUGCUGAGGUCUUGAUGAGCACCGACUACCCUUGAGCAACCACUUCAACACUUCCUGGAAGAGAGAGGAAACACACCUCCUUCUCUUCAUUUCCAUUUUCCUAUUAUUUUGUUUUUUUUUUUUUUGUGGUCUUUGCCUUUUAUUUUUUUAAAAUUUUUGCCUUUUUUUUUAUAUGUCACAUUAGCGCCAUGCAUUCUCAAAAUUUUUAGAAAUGUCAUAUCUCCACUUUCCAUCACUUAAAUUGAACGCAUCUAAUAACUUGAUUGCUUUAAUUAAAUUAGUUUACAACUUCAUAUUACUUUUAUCAUAAGUUCUAGAACUUAGGUGCCCAUAUUAAAAGAAAUGAAAGAAACGUCGAAGAUAGAGAGAGACAAGGGGCUGGUCUUGUGUCCGGUUCAUUCCGGGUCAGCAAGUCGAUAAUGUCACUAGCCAUGAAUUAUGGAGGAACUUGAUUUCAUUAACAGAGAAAAGCUGAAGGACAUAUUUCCUUUUUUCCCCCGAGAAUGACAGCACGUGAAUUCGGAGGAAGCUCCUAGAGGCACGGUCUGUCCUUAAGCCACACGUUAGAUAUAUUAUUGGUAAAUGGUAAUGAACAUCAUAGUUUCUUAUGGAAUGAUCCUCGGCAUCCUCAUGGGGUGUUGUUUGGAUGUUUAUCCCAAAAAACUAAUUUAUGAUGUUGCACUGGGCCUGAACUCUCUAGUUGCUGGUGUCAUUUGUAGAGAUGAGUGGGUUUGUCCUCCAGCAGGAUCAAAAUUGUUUGUGCAUAUUCAAGCAGCCAUAUGUGGAACGAUCUUUCUCCUGCUCUGCUUUUGAGGGUAGAGCAAUUUUCAAAGGAAAUUCCUCUGGAUGCUUCACCCAGGCAGAUGCUAGGAAGUGGGUAAGGGAUAAAAUGCAGAAGAUCUAAUCCAAGUUUGCAUAAAUUCAGCGUUGUAGCUUGGCUUGCUAUCUUGAACAGGCUGCAAACCUUGGAUGGGAUAAAAAGGGGGUCCUCCAUUGAUGACAAAUGUGUCUUAUGCUAUUCUUCCCAAGUCUAGGAAACCUUUGUUUUUUAGGGUGCCUUCUCAAAGGAUGGAGAUCUCUAAUGGGUUUGGUUAAAGUUUGUUGGAACGUUAAUAAUUGGGAUAGAAUGAGUUCUUUAGAGCUUGUAGAGGGAGGUCUUUGACUAAAAUCGUAUUGAAACUCAUUUGGAAUGGUGCCAUCUACUCUAUUUUGGGGAUAGGAAUGGAGUUUUUCACAAUCGUGCUGCUCCUCCGUCUGAUGGAGCUGUUAAAGUGGCGGUCUUUGGUGUGAGACUCCGCAUCAAGCUGUGGUAGGAAACAAAGAGUCUUUCGAAUGAUGCAGAGAAAGCUCUGUAUAUGAUAUUUUGGAUUGUUUGUUAAGUCUGGGCGUUUUCUGUUGUUCUUUCUAUACGCUUCAUAUACUAACCCGAAAAAAAGAGCUAACGGAAUUAAUUGCAAGUUGGAGGAUUUCAUAGCACAAAAAUGAUAAAGCAAGACCGUAUCUCAAUAUUGAGAUAUGGUUUUUUUUUUUUUAACCGACCAAAAAACAAAAGACCGUAUCUCAAUAUAAGAUUUGCAUUUACGGGAUUGGUUCUUAUUUUCUUUUUAUGGUUUCCAGUGCCACUCACCACGUGCAUCUUUCCAUGGAGGUUGGACCUGGCGGCUAGUUCCUUGAUGUUGGUCCGGUCCUAUAAUCCGAAAAGUCCUUUCCUGACUGCCAUUGACUCUGUUUUUCCAUUUCAUAAAAAUGCCCGACUUUUGAUCUUUCUCGAGUACCCCAAAAGCCUGACAAAUCCAUAAACUCCUGAAAAUUUAAACUGGCAACCUCCUGAAAUUCCUGACGCUAAUCCCUUCCGUGGUCCAGAUUGCCAGAGCAGCUUUGGUCCUUCCUUUUCAUCUAUGUUUGCUACUUUGGAAUUUCCAAUUUCGUCGGUUCUUGUCUAUAUCUGCUAUUUACCCACUCUGAGGGAUCCUCAGGUGGUUCUGCUUACUGGGUGAUAUUUCUUUCGUUUUUUUUUUUCGGUUGGAUGGUUACUAAGUGAUUGGGAAAGGGUUUAGUAUGGUUUCUUUUUUAUACAUGCAGAUCUUGGCUGACUUCAUUCUUUUCUAGUUAGCUCGAAGUUGUCUCCUCUCUCGUAGCUCAGAAUAAGUGAUGCCUAGAGAGGUUGAUCCAUUUCGGAGGCAUGUGGAGGUUGUGGCGAACAAGUGGAAGUGUAAGUUUUGUGGCAAGGAUUUUGGUGGAAGUGCUACAGGGAUCAGGGCACACCUCGUGGGGGCUCUGGGCUAUGGUAUUAAACUAUGCGAGAGAGUUGAUGAGCAUGUGGGAUCCCAAGCUUUGAUAUUGAUGAAAGGUAAAAGUGUGGCGGAUGCAACCAACAGGGUAUGGGCCAAAUUGUAGUCCUUGGUAGUGACCAUGCUUCGAGUCCCCAUAGUAUGCAGGACUUGAAUCGAAACGUCCCAGAGCAACCAUCUUGCCAUUGGCAGAAUGGAAGUGUUGCUGGUGCAGCUUCGUAGAUUGUCAGCAUCAAGAGACCUUGUGUCUCGUUGGCAUGCCAGUGGGUGAUGCAGAAUUGCCCCCGCAAGGGCCGCAACCCAAUGGGUCAAUUCAACGCUUGAAUGAUGAACAUGGAAACGAAAAAACUUCAUCUCUCCAGCAACCUGCAACCGAUCCCUUGGCUUCGAUUUUUCUUGAUCCAAAGUUAACUACCAGAGCUUUUUGAUCAGUUUAUUGAUCUGGAGACGAGGUAUGAACAACGGAAUAGUAGAGGGCCAUCACCAUUGCAAAGUCAUCGAUCCCUUAAUAACAGCGUGACAAAUGGGUUGCAUCAAGUCAACUAGACCUGGUGGUGCUGCGCCUGGUCCCCGUCUCAGUGACACAAGUACAAUUGGCACUCCCCAGCAUCCCAAUCAAACUCAUUUGGGCUUUGAUGAACAAUGGAGAGGUGAAAGCGCUCCAUGUCCGCAAAUAUCUUCAGCAGAGUGGGUGUCUUGUCUUCUCGAUAUGCCCUAUCAGCCACAGCAUUCCAUUCCAUCUUGUUAUUCUGAGGAAAUGCCAAUGAAUGACCUGCAGAAUUGAACGGGUGCAUCGUCGUCACAAAAUGAUCAAUCCCUUGACGUUCAAAUUGUUUGCAACACUGCAAUUAAAUCCCUAUUGCCGAAGUAGUUCCGCUGUCCAAUGCUACAAGUGUAACCAAUGCCGUUGAGCAUUUUAGUCAACAUCCACUUCUUAUAUGUGAUGAAGAAUGUGAAAAUGAGAGUAGUUCCUUUCCCUCACAAGCUUCAAUGGACAUAUCUCCGCCAAGUGUAUUACAGCCUUUCACUGGCCCUCAUUCUUUUGAGAAACUGGACGUAGAUUCCCAAGUUCCACAGGGCGGAACUAAGAAGGCCCAUUGUCAUUACAAGGUAUGCCUUGAAGUGAGCCUUCUCUUCUCUUUUCUACUGUCUCCUAUUUAACAUCUCCCACGUUUUCCUAAUUAUAGGUGUAUCCUUGAAUGUUUCAUAUGUGCACUUUCUCUUAUUUUUUAAUGAUGAUAUUAUAUGAGAAUAUCAAACAGACGUAGAUGUUAGUUUCAGUGUAGAUGUUUUGUGGGAUUAAGUCUAGAUUUUGACUCUACUUACGCUUGUGGCUNNNNNNNNNNNNNNNNNNNNNNNNNNNNNNNNNNNNNNNNNNNNNNNNNNNNNNNNNNNNNNNNNNNNNNNNNNNNNNNNNNNNNNNNNNNNNNNNNNNNNNNNNNNNNNNNNNNNNNNNNNNNNNNNNNNNNNNNNNNNNNNNNNNNNNNNNNNNNNNNNNNNNNNNNNNNNNNNNNNNNNNNNNNUUGAUUACAUGUUUCCCACAAGCUCCGAUGGACAUAUCUGUGAGUAGUCCAUCAUCACCGCAAGGUACAUGUUAAUUCAUCUAAACUGAUCCUUAUGUAUCCUGAUGUUACUUAAUUAGGGAGAAGCAUGAAUGCUUACAUUAGGAUCUAACACGUAGAAUUCUUGAUUCACAAUCAGCUAUUUAUAGAGUCAUCCAAACGCUGGCAACUUCGAAAAUAAUGGAGCCUUGAAAAGAAAGGUAGAACGACUCUACAAUAGAGAAGCUGACAUAAAGAAUGAUAUAGAAUUUGCUGCAUCUCUAUCUCUGAAGAAGCGGAGAAUAGAAGUUGUGAAUUGGUUGACAAACGUGGAAACGCAGAGGAAAAAUUUCCAAAGUCUUAACCAGCGAGCGCAGAAAAUUUGCGACCACAAUAACAGGUGGAUAUGUUGAUGGAAGAAGCGGUAGGCCUUAUCAUAAAAAGCAAAUUUCCAGAAGGACCGUUUGAGGUGGGAGAUGCCAAAGUCAAUAUAUUAUUAGAACGAAAGUUGCAGGGAGGAAAGGCAUUUGACACAUACUAAGAAGAUCUUGCGGUAACUAAUAGAGGAUCGCAUAUCAUGAUCAGGCAUUUACGGUAUGGGGGGUGUCGGGAAAACAACCAUUAUGGUGCACAUACAUAAUAGGCUCCUAGAAAAAGAAAAUCAUAUUAAUGCAUUGUGGAUUGCUGUGUCACAAGAUCUCAACAUACAUAAGUUGUAAGGUGACAUUCAGCUAAUAUAUUCAAAAAAAAUUUCAUGCAUGGGUGUUAAUUUGGAUAAUGCUAACUAUUUAUAAAACAUGAAAAUAUAUAUNNNNNNNNNNNNNNNNNNNNNNNNNNNNNNNNNNNNNNNNNNNNNNNNNNNNNNNNNNNNNNNNNNNNNNNNNNNNNNNNNNNNNNNNNNNNNNNNNNNNCUCGUGUUUUUGGGUCAUUAAAAAAAAUAAAAAUCUUUCUUUAGCAACUUCUCAAAUUGGUAAAUUGUUGAACGGAUGAUAUUAAGGAGCAAAUCAUUAAAAUGUGGGGGCCAUAAUACAUAUGCCUAAUGUGGCGCUACGCGUCAACUUGCUCUAUCUAUUUGGAGAAUAAAUUCGGCUUUCGACGAUAAAUUUUUUCCUCGAGUUGCGCAUGCAUGUCCAGGAACAAAUGGGAGAAGAGAGAUACAUCGUCCAACUAAUGCUAGAAAUAAGAAAGGAUUGAUGUGGUAAAUGACUUUACAAAAUAAUAUGGUAAAUUCUAAGUAUUUAUUUGAGUCAAUAUAUAUUUGAAAACUCAAUAGUAUCUCGUCACUUCAUGUUAUAUAUCAUUUAAUAUGUCAAAUCUCGAACAUUGUACUAAUAAAAUCACUCUAAAACUCAAUUAGACCAGCUCCAAGUGAGCACCUCAAAGGUAAGAACUUGAGUUCACUUAUGAUUAUCAAGGCCCAUUGGUAAUAAAUAAAUAAAUAAAUAAAGGAAAAGGGUGAGAAAUAUCAUGUGGUGUCGCCGGCGCUGACGUGGAUAAAAUUUAUAAUUUUUUAAUAAUUUUUCAAUUGUUUUUCUUUUAUCAUUCUCCGUACCCCUUGGCUAAUGAGGUUGUCGGCUGACCAUCGUUGGCCAUAGGCCGGUCAGGGUGACGGCCCUUACGCCUUUGUCGACCACAGGUGAGCACGUCGGCCCCCCUAGAUCUAGGCGAGGGCCUAAACCCUCACUUGUUGGCCGAUGAGAGCCUUCGUGCCCUCAGCAGCCACAGGCGAGGACGUGAAGGCCUUUGUUCGUGGCGGGCAAGGACUGCAACACCAUAAGCGAGGCCGUUGUGGCCAUCACUUGGAUUUGGGCAAAGGCAUUGUGCCCUCGCUUGGAUUUGGGCGAGGGCCACCGUGCCCUCACCCACCACGAGCGAGUGCUACCACGGCCUCGUUUGCGGCUAACGAGGGCGUAGAAGCCUUGGCUAGCCAAUGGGCAAUGAUUUCAACCCUUGCCUAGGUUUGGGUGAAGGCCCACGUCCUUGUCGAGCGCAGUGGCCCUCACUAGUGGCUGUUAAUGGUGCGGGGACCCUUGCCUCGACCAGCCUGUGGCCGACGAUGGUUGGCUGGCGACCUUGUCGGCCAAGGGGCUAAGGAGAAAGAAUUUUUAUUUUUAUUUUUAGAAAAAGAGAAAAAAAAAAUGGAAAAAAAAAUAUUUAAAAAUUAUAAAAUUGGUGUACGUCAGCAUCGGCAAUUUCUAGCUUAAACUUGUUGGAUAUAUUGAAUUGGUAUCAAUAUGAAAAUGAUUAGAAUUAAAUUGAUCAAAUGAAAAGUUUAUGACUGAAUUGGUAUUAAUGCAAAAGGUUUAUCACUUUUUUUUGUUACUUUUCCCUCAAAAUAGGUCACUUGAAAUCUCAUUUGGUUUCGUCUCUAAAAGAAAUGAAAGUUAUGUGAGGUCGAAUGGCAUCCAUAUAAAUAGACACAAAUUGUUCAUUAUUUUGGUAAGAGGUUAUUGUUUAGAAAUGAAAAAGAAAAGGAUAAAAAGGUGAAAGCAUGAGGUGGCAACUUAAUAAGCCACAAGUCAACUCUCCAUGCACUAUAUUAAAAUGAGAUUUUAGUAGGUUAAUUGUUGAUAUAAAAAAUAAUUUGCAUAUUCACAAUUAGGCGCUGACAUGUGGAAGAAUUCAAUUACAAAAAUAAUUUCACAUACACACGUCACUUGUUCAUAGUAAGUGUGUAAUGGGGCUUUAAACACUACGUAUCUAAUAAUAAACAAUUAGCUUACUAGGUUAUUUGGUUAACUAUUUUUCUUUAUUUAGUUUAACACAAUAUUUCACUAUUAAUUAAUUAGACCAAAUAGAUCGCAUAUUCAGAUAUUCAAAAUUUUCAUGCACGGGGUUAAUUUGGAUAAUGUUAACUAUUUAUUAGAAUAUUGGAAAUAUAUUAUUUCGUAGAAGGUAAGCAGGAAAAAAAGAAAGAAAGCUAAAGAUACAUGUGGCGGAGUAAAAACAAUCGGAUCUUUAAGAAGGGAAUAAAUCAUUUUUAUUAUUUUAGUAAUAGGUUAAUAUGUAGAAUGGAAUAGAAAGGAUAUAAAAAAGCGAAAGCAUGCGAGGACAACAAUGUAGGGGGCAACAUGCCAAUUCUCGAUAAGGCCUCCAUCUCAUGGAUUCUCCUUCAUGUGGCACUGGAUUUUCUUAUUCAAGUGGUUAAAGAUGCGACAAAAGCUUUAGUUGAAAUAGUUUUUGGGAUUACGACCCAAAAGAAAAAAUUAGUUUUUGGGACAACGAGGGAUCUACCUAACACGGCAUCAGAAAUUCAGCAAAUUAAUAAUCUAAGCAGCAGCCGUGGAAAUUCGCUCAGUUUUUUUUUUUUUUUUUUUUUUGAACGGAACGAACAUAGUAUUAAGAUGAAAAGGCCUUACAUCCCGCGGCUAGAGCAUCCGCGCAUAAAUUCGCUCAGUUUACGUUGCAUAUUUGGCGAUUCUCUUUUGCAGGAGACAAUAGCUCGAGAUGCUAACGUGGGCAAGGGUUCAUGAUUGGAGUAGUCUGCAAUAAAAUAAAGCAUAUAUGGACCCUUCAACAGUAUUGUUGAUCAGGAUUCAAGACUUUGAACAAUGCCAACUCUCUCUCUCUCUCUCUCUCUCUCUCUCUCUCUCUCUCAUUAAAAAAUAAAGAAAUGACGAAGAAAAGACGGAGACAUUUCCUGCGCGCGUUCUUAGCGACUGUUGCGUUGUCUCUUAUGGCAAAAUUCCUUGUGACUCUUCACCAAAAGCUGUUCAUUCCCACGUGCAGCAGCAGGCCUGUGCCUUUUGUUUCUCUGGGAGUUUGCUGGAGUCCUGGACGCUGACCAGUGCUUCAGAAUCUCAAAAACAGCUUCUUAUUUCUACUUCUUGAUUUGCAUCUUUGCCACUUACAUGCAUCCGAAUCUUCUUUUUCGGCCCUAACUGGGAUGUUGCUUCGUCUUCAUCUUUGCCAUUUUCCAUUUGUAAAAAUUAAGGAUAAACUCUCCAACUGUCCUUAUUUAACCGGAUCAAAUAUAUGCGCAUCGGACAAGUAAAUUUGAUGGAUUUUAUGUGAAACGAAUUCUGUCGGGUUGAAUGAUCCGGAUGUAAUUGGGUGGACGUAGGUGUGAGAUGCAAUAACCUUCUGUGAAUUUUCUGAUGGCAAACAUAUACACGUGCUUUGAUUUUCUUUUUAAAGUCGAGAUUAUGCUUCAUCGUAUUUUACAAAUCAUUUUUCUAUGCAUGAAAGUUGCUCCGUGUUUGGGUCAUCUACAUAAAUUAAAGAUCUAGGCUUGAUCAGUUUAUGAGGAUUUAUAGAAUGUUCCAUGAUCUUCCAAGUAAUCGGGUUUUGUGCUUAUGUCUUUGGGUAAAAAAACGGUCUUUCUUCCGCAACUUCUCAAAUUGGUAAAUUGGUAAAGGGAUGAAAUUAAGGAGAAUAGCCUUAAAGUAUGGGAGAAAAAAAAAGAAUUGUACUGUCCAUGUUAUUGACAUCAUAAUCUUUAAAAAUCAAAACUAUUUAGGGUACGUAACUGAAAUGAUAUCUGUACCUUGCGAAGGGUAACUUACAUGCUCUUUGGUGGUUAUAUUGUUUGUUUCCAUGUGUUUGUAUUUUUCUCCAUGACAUUAUUCAUUUGUUCUCUUCCUUAACAAACAGAACAUCACAGUAGUGGAUACAUUAGAAUGACACAAAAUUUUGGAUAGAAGAUAAAAGGGGAAAAUGAGUACUUUUUUUUUUAUCGGAAUAUUUUUAAAACAAUGCAAUAAAUUCUAACUGAUUCUUUUAGUUAAUUGAUGUAUUUCAAUGUUCAAUGAGAUUCUGUCACAUCAUUUUACAAAUCAUUUUAGUGUAUUAAAUCUCUAAUAUUAUACUAAAUAAAGCACUCUAAAUUCAACUACACCAACUAUAAGGGAGCACUCAUCGAAUUAACAAGAACUCGAGUUCACUAAUGACUAUUAAGGCGCAUUGGUGAAAAGGAAAAGAAAAAGGCAAAGGAAGGCAAAGGGGGAAAAAAAGAGGGUUGGGGGCAGGGGUCUCAUCGUCUCAUUAUAUUUCUCUGAAAGAAACAGUACGGAGAGAGAUCGAGAAAUACAGAGAGAGGGGAAGAGCGACGACAGUGGAUUGCAGCCUGUCCAAAGGGAAUCACCAUUUUCGAACCCUAGAAAACAGAUUUUAGCUCUAUUUCUCACAAAUUUUGUAGUUUUGUUUUAAAGUUAACAUCUGAAUCUCUUGUGGAUUUUGCUUCGCCAGCAACGAUUCGGUCAAAAUCAAACGAUAUUUUGUUUUAAAAUUAAUUCUGACAUUGAUUUUUUUUUCUUUAGAGUAGAUUGGGUCUUUCUCAUGUAAAAAAUAGCAAGUUAUACUUGGGUCUGUCCGUAGCUUUUCUUAAUAUUAAUCCAAUUUAAUGGAAAUUAGUAGAUGAUAAAUUUGUCACAAAUUCACAAGUUUUGGGUUUUUGGUGUAAAAAUUGGUUUGAGAUAAAUUUGUUAUAUGCGUAUUAAUUUGGAAUAUUUCCUAAUAUUAACAUUAUUAGUGGUUCUUUUAGUUUAUAGAUAGAAAAUUCGGUCGCCACUUUUCAAGUCAUUUUAAUGUAUCAAAUCUCACUCUAAAUACUAUUGAGGCACGUUAUUAAGGGGUCUAAUCGUCUCAUUUGAUAGGGAAUUUGCGGAAGAGAACAGUGCUGGUCAUGUGAGCUUUACAAAUGGUGAUGUGGCUUCUUAUAAAACGUUUUAUACAAAAUCAGGAUGUUCUGUAAGAAGUGACGUGGCUUCUCAUAUUGGGCAAGACAGGAGGCCUUUAUAAGGGGUGAAUGGAAGCCUUUAUAAGGGGUGAAUGGAAGCGAAAGUGCUUCCUUAAAGGGUAUUUUCGGAAGGAAGAGUGCUCGUGCAGCUGGAGGGAGAGACAUGUGAACUUGGAGGCCAAAGUGCUUCCAAAAAGGGCAUUUUCGGAAGAAAAAGUGCUGGAAAUAGUGAUGUUGGCUUCUUAUUAAACGUUUUAUACGAAGUCAGAACUUUUCUGUACCGACAAAAAAAGAAGAAGAAGAAAAGCUCUGUAAGAAAUGACGUGGCCUGACUCCGUCAGGAACGUUUAAAUGUUUUAUACGAAGUCAGGAAAGUUCUGUAAGAAGUGACGUGGCUUCUUAUAUAUAAACCCCAACAGCUUCGUAAACCCGAGAAAAUAUUGGGUGGUCCGGGACCACCACGUCAGCGUGGUCCCCGGCCACUCACGAGGUGCCAUGUGGAGGGGUGGGCCCCACUUGGUGUCCUCUUCGCUUUUUCUCUUGCUCCUCGACGCAGUGCUCCUCUCUCUCCUCUCUCUCUCCCAAAUAACUCUCGGCUGAUGGCUCGGCUCGGCUCGGUUGGCAGAAGAAAGCACGGGUCAAUGGAUAAUAAAUGCGCAGCCCUCCCGCUUAAAAUUUCUCUCUCCUCACUUGAAUAUUUUCUGGGCUCUCUCUCUCCUCGCGGACGAGCUGCACUUCCUCUGUUUCCUUCUCAGCGUAUCCCACCCCCUCCGCCUCCGCCUCCCCAAAAAGCCUCGCCGGUCCGUCGCCUCCUCCAAGAGCCCCGCCAAUCGCAGCUGGUUCCCGAUCCCCUUUGCUUCCGACUGUUUCCAACGCCGAGAUUGAGCGUAAGGUUUGUGCUCGCCUGGGUCUCUAGGCAACUUCUGGGCCUCCCUCCCUCCGGCGAACUCGUCAUCAACUCCGACUCCGAGCCGCCGUCGCCGCCGCCGAUGGCGUCCUCCGUCUCUGGCAUCUACUCGUCCUUCCCCUCCCUCAGGCCGAAGACACCGCCAGCCUCCGCCGCGAAGUCGUCGGCCUUCGGCAGGAGGGAGGCGGCCUCGGUCUCGUUCCCGAGCGGCGCCAGGCUCCCCGCCGUCGACCGGGUGCUGUCCCUGUCCGACGAACUCCCUCUCUCUCUCCACCCUCCCCCUUUCCGAUUGGCGAACCACCGCGAGCAGCCGACGAACCAGGAAGCGAACCUAAUAUUUUCUCCCUUCUCCGACGCUCGAUGCCCUCUCUGCCCUCUACCCCCGACGCUCGACGGCCGAUUUAGCUCGCCUCUCCCACGACCUCCACGCUUUUGGCGGUUCUUCCCCCGCGGUUCGGUGAGGUCUCGGGUAUGCCCUCGUGCCGCGUCUCUUCUUCCUUGCUCAGCAACACUGGACUGCCUCUCUCUCUCUGAGUGUGUCUCUCUGUGCAUUCUUUCAUCCAUGAGGCAAGCAUUUCGACUAGGGUUCAGGGGUUUCGCCACCCCCUUCUUUGAGGUUCGUCCGGGUACCUCUCAUUUUUGCGUGAACCCAGCGUGAAUUUUAUAGUCUUUCUUUCCAUAUGACUACAAGCGACUGCUAAGCGACAAUGCGACGACAGUUUCGAAUCCUGGGUUUCGCUCUGUGAUGCUAAGCGUUGCUUUGGUUCCUUAAAAAGUUGCUGACUUUUUCGCAUGUUGUAGCUUCUUGGUUGCUCCGAGAUUUUGGGUUGGUCGUUCUAUCGUCUUGCUCGGAGCCAGCGAAAUGUUGUCCAAAAGGGGCAUGUCGAAUUCGUCGACACCUGAGUCGGCGGCGAUUUCUGAGGACAGGGAAGAAAUCGAAAGGAUUGGUGGCUUCAGUUCCUAGUUCUACCAAAAGUCAUGUCAAGGUAUUGUCUUUUAAUCGAACCUAUCGUUCCACCUGUGUUUUGGGGACUUGACCAUUCAGCAUUCAUUUUUUCUGCAGAAAAAUUCUGGUGCAAGCAUUGGUGAAGUCGUGUUGCCUAAUAAUGACCCGGCCAAAAUUGAGGCAAUGACAUUUCACGAAUUGAGAGCUACAUUGAGGUGGGGAUGAAUUGUUUUAGUUGCAAGCGUGUGAUAGUCGUUAUAGCGUUUCCUGCGCAACCUUUACAGUAAGCAAAACUCAAGUUUUUCUAUUUGAUGCUUGCAAAGGAGAUUAUUGAGCAGGAAGUGAAUAUUAUUGAUGGAAAACCAUGAGGUCUUGAGAAUUUGCCUUCAACAAAGAGCAAGGUCUUGAGAAUCUGCUUCGUUCGGGUCAAGAUGGCGAGCUCCACAGCCGCACAAGUCCACGGUCUUGUGCUGUAUGGUCCGGGCUUGUAGCUCUGUCGACGGCAAAAGCAAGGUUUACAGAGAACUCGGUCCGUCUCCCUCGCCUAAUUCCAUUAUGUUGUCUUUCUCGAAUGCUUUCAUGUGGGUAGUUCUUCUUUUGGUUAGAUUAAGAUGGAGUGCUCGGUUCAUUUGCAAAUGCGCAAGAUGAUAGAUGGUUCUUGCUUUUUUGAGAAGUUCUUUGACAUGUUGUUUUAGACUGCUUGCGAAGAAAUCCAGACCGAUUUGUGGUAAAAUGAAAAAGAAAGAGUGAACUUUUCCAGAUUUUAUUGGUCAUACAAUCAUGUCUUUCGUGUAAAAUUUGAAGUCAGUAAGUAUCUUUUGGGCCUGAAUCUUUCUCAUGAGGCCUCUUGCUUCACAUUAGGUGAACUCCCAUGUGUGAGUGGUUCUUGCUUUUUAAGUUAUCACCCUAGUGGAAAGAUUCUUCAUUUCUUGUUCCUCGGUGUUCCAAAUAUGCUUUGUUUCAGAGUUUGCUCUUCGGAAUUUCAAACCAGCGGUUCAUUUGAUAUCUAUGGUUGCCGUUGCAAGGAAGUUAUGUCAAACAUGUUGGAAAUAGAUGAGUUUUGCAAAAUGUGACUCCUGUAAGAGGACUUGAAGUCAAGUUUAAUUUUCUUGUACAAUCUGACAUGAAUUCUGAGAAAUGUAAGCAAAAGUGUUUCUGGGAUGUUGGUGGGGUAAAAAUCUUUGCAGUUCGGCUUUUAUGUAAAAUUUGCAUUUCUUUUUCUCCAGGGUUGUUUUCACUAAAAAGGAAGAUUGAAGAUGCAGUUCAACGCACUGAGAAGAUGGCUCCUACUGCACUGCAAAUUGAAGAAGCUAAAUGGAUUAAGCUUGAUGGACUGAUUCGAGAUUACAACCUUUGGGAUGAUCCUGAUAAAUCCUAUGAUGUUCUUGUGAAGUUGGCAGACAUGGCCAGAGCAGUCGAUGCCCUGAGGGAUUUAACUUACAAGGUGGUGUGGAAUGCCAUAUUCAUCUCACAGAAUAAGCUUUUCCGCCCAGUAGGUGUGGAUUAAGUUGGGCAAUUGUUGGGUCAAUGGUUUGCCCAUUAUAAGCUUGUCUUGACUCUUCUUCCGAGAUUAACUUGAUUCUUAAUGUGUUAAUGACUGUCAUAUCUAGUUUAACUGUAUCAAUUAAAGGAAGUGCAAUUGCUGGCUUUAGUUGACUUUUAUCUGCUGAAAUUUGCAGGCGGAAGAAGCAAAGCUGAUAACUCAACUGGUGGAGAUGGAUGCUAUUAAUUAUGCUCUUUUUGAGCAGGCAUACGCUUCGUCUUUGGAUAUGAGUAAGUUUUUGGACUGUUAUGAGAUGUUAAAGCUUCUUAAGGGACCAUAUGAUGUGAAUGGAGCGUCGAUGGUCAUCAAAGCUGAAUCCAAUGGCAAUUACCAUGAGGUUUGAUAAUCUAACUUCAUUUCUAGAAUAAUUAUGCAUGUGCAAAGAGAUGAUGUUUAUAUCACACUCUUCCGUUGUAAUAUACAUUGAUGUAGAAUAGAUGCAGAGUCUCUGGUUCCCGCUUCUUUAUAAUACUUACGCCAAAAUAUAGGAGUUUCAAAGAACUUGAGAAUGAAAAAACUGCAUAUAUAUGUACAUAUAAGGGUGGGACAUUAUUAGUGGAAUCUUGUUAGUAUAUAUGUAUGCUUGUGCGCAUCACCAUUUCAGUUACUUCUUAUUUACGAAUCUCUUUGCUUGAUGACUUAGAUGUCUUGAAAAUCAAUUGUGGGAUUUCUCCAGGGUUUAGUGGAUAUUUAAUUUAUUGUCUAGUAUCCUUCUUCCUGUGGGAGGUAUUUUGCAUGUCCCUCCCCUGAAUUCCAACUCAGAAGUAAACAUUAAGUGAUAAUGUGGUGGCUAUCAAAAGAAUAAUGAGAAAAAAGAAAAGUGAGAAUUUGAUCAGUAUGGAUAGUGGUUCGAUAUUAUUCUCCACUAUGAGGAUACUUAUGUUAUGAGGAUACUUCAUUUUGACAUCAGUAUGAACUAGGACAGGGAAUGAUAAGUUGCCAAUCUAUUUGCAUAUGAAAGAUGAAAUCUUGGAAAAUAGCGGACUGUAAUAUUCAUCUAUAAUGGGGAUAUAUUCCUUUUCCAUUAGCUAAUUCAAUGAAGUUCACUCAGUUUUGUUGACCCAAAAAAAAAAAAAGAAUCUUUUGGGCUUAAGCCUCUGCUGGUUCCAAUCUCUCUGUCUCUCAUGCAUUUGCUAAUCCAGUUAUGGGCUGAAAAACUACUGAGAAUGUACCAAAAAUGGGCUGAGAAGCAAGGUUAUUGAGGGAGGAUUGUAGAGAAGCGUCAGGCAACAAAUGGUGGAAUCACUUCUGCAACGGUUGAAUUUGAAUUUGAUUAUGCAUAUGGUUUUCUUCAAGGGGAGAGGGGUGUUCAUCGAAUGAUAAGUGGUUCAGAAACUGGAUCAACAAUUGAUGAGGUAGGUUUACAAUUAUCAUUUUUGUUUUGAUGAAACAUUGACUUUUGUAUAUUGCUAUUGGUUUUUGACUUCUUUUUAACAAUGAGCUCUGAAUGAUUUGUUUCUUCUCUUUCCAGAGAUUCAGAAGGCAAAAGUGGCAUCUUGUUAGUGCAUCAUUAAUAUCAAGAAACAAUUUAAAGUGUAUUAAAGACACGACAACAUGUAAAUGACCGUGUGCAAGGAAAAACACAUUGGAAUUGAAAGAUUGAUUGUUUCUGUGGCUCUUUCUUGAAAUCAAAGCAGCUAAAUAUGAACUUGUACUCAUGGCACCUUAUUGUAUAUAUUUGGGUAAAUUCUUUCUUGAUCUUAUCUUAAUUACACACUUAGAUAUUUGUGUGGCACCUAGAUGUCUACACGUAUCAUAGAGUCUAACAUUGGCUAAAAAAUAUAAGAUAUGCAACUUCAAAUGGUGUGGAUUAAUUUUGCACAUGAGCUUAAGGUUGAUUUAGUUCACUCAAAAACAUAGCCAAGGGAAUUGUUGCAUUUCAUGGGAUCCAACCAUUCAAGUUGUUUCUUUUUAUAGUUUAUCUGCUUCUUUUACAAGUGAAUUGAAGGUCGAGAAAAGCCUUUUCUGUGUAAUGUGUUUCUGUUCUGCUACAUCAUUGGCCCCUAAAUUCCUGUCAGUUCCUCAUUUUAGUACUCAAAAUUAUAUCGACAGCCUAGCAGCUGUCGAUAUAAUUCCUCUGUUCCGUGAUUCGGCCCCUGACCUAAAAAUUAGUGAGGAGGAUUUGCUAAUCUCGUGCCCAUCGUCAUCGCCUGAAGUAAAAGUCAUUGAAGGCCGGUCUGGAGUUGUUAUUCAGCAUGUUCCUACUGGUUUUGUUGUCCAAUCUUUGGGUAAUGAGUUGUCUAUUCCCUUAUUUGUUAGGGUUGACCUUCCAACUCAAAUUUGUUUACCAAUGAUUUCCGCAAUCUGGUUUUGACUUUACAAAGAAGCAAAUGCCUAUUCCUCAACACACGUUCAUGAUUGCCUGUCUAGUACGACAUUUUGUGAUUGAGAAAUAAGAUCUCAAAAUUUUUAUCCCAGGUGAAAGGAGCAUUUUUGCAAAUAAGAUUAAGGCCCUCAACCGGUUGAAGGCUAAACUUCUUAUCGCAGCCAGAGAUGUAGGAGUUCCAGGCAUAAAUGGCUUCAAGAAGGAAAAUGUGUUCGAUGUAUGGGGAGACAAGGUCCGAAGAUAUGUUCUUUCCCUCGCAAGCAUGUGAAAGAUGUAAGAAGUGGUGUUGAAAUGCCUGACCUGUAUUCUGUUUUGGACGGUAAUAUAGAACCUCUGAUUGGAGCUCAUAUCCAGAUGAGACUCUCAAAUGACAUGCCUCCACAGUAAAGCAGCUUUUCCCAAUUCGCUCUAUUAAUUUAUUUCUCUGCGUUGGUUCUUCAUCCCAAAGUUUUAUCCCUUGAAGUUUAUUUUUAUGUUAAAAACAAGACAAUUGUUCCUUUGUCAUACAUGUAUCUACGCCUGAAAUUUAUUUUGUUGACAAAACCAUAAGUUGGGAAAAAAGAAAGUGACCCUUCGGUAGGCAUUUUGACUGGGGGCACUGAUAGAUUUUAGCUAAAAAAUUGAAGGUAGUCCGAUCAAAUUCCCAUCACACGCGUGUAAACUACUCAAGAUCAAGACUAUUGUCAUGAACUAGGCAUAUGAAGUUACCAGUAUGUCCGGGUAGUCGAGUUUCUUUGUUGGUUCAUGAUCUUUAGUAAUUCUAACUGUCGGCAAUAAGUAAUUCUAAUUCCACCAAACAUUGCUCAAAGUUCGAUGAGUAUGUAUAAGAUGUGUGUUCACAGAAUUCGGAAUGAUGUAAUUAAGUUUACAUGUUGACAUCCCAAUGUUUGAUUUGGUGCGAGGAGCAGGCGUGCCAAUUAAACGCACGAGGUAGAUUCAUUUCUUGAUGCUACUGUUCCCUUUGAGCUUCAGCCUCUGUCUUCUCACUUGGUUUAUGAAGUCAGUGGGCAUGAUAAGUUCAUGUUAUGAGCAUGAAUAACUAAGAAAGAAGCAGUAAUAAGCAGUUCAGGAUUUAUGAAGAAGCAAUUGCAGUUCAUUGAUAUAGAUAAAAGUUUAAAGAUGGCAAAAACAUGUCGAUAGAUGAUGAUAAUAAUUAGCAGUUCAGGCUUUAUCCUGGCCUUUGUGAAGUUUGCUGGGACUUCCUGGUAUAACCAACAUAACAAUUCCAAGCAAAUAUCCCUUAUCAUGCAAAGACAAAUUCCAGGAGCCUUCGUAGUUGUCAAGGAAUCAAGCAAACAGUAAUACACUUGAGCAGCUGGAGGAUUCCAUAAAAUAAUGAAACUUGCUAAUUACAUUUGUCUAAAACAUUGCCGACAUUUUCACACCUAAUUAUGGGAACAUCAUCAUCUUCAGGUCUACCACGUUCAUGUACAAAAUUCAAGAGCCAAAAAUGACAUUGCUGAUACGUGCUCCUUUGAGGUUCUCUAACAACAAGACGCAAGCAAGGAUCCAUGAAGACUGAGCAGCAGACGGUUGUAGACAACCGUCUUUCCAGACUAACUUUUAAAUUAAAAAAAAAACAUCCACCAGAUAAUCAGAUUGAAUUGCGAACCAGAACGGUUGUACCUACAACUUGCACUCAGCAUUUCAGCAUUUCAGCAUUUUUCCCCUCGCCGGCUUUGGCAUCAGAAUGUAUGUUCAAAAACUUGCACAGAUUUUUUCGAAAGUGAUUUCAAUGUUCCAUCAUAACUCUUCCUCCAAAAGAUGCCUUGUAAAAUAAUCUAGAAAAACCCAGAUCACUCCACAGGGCCCAGACAAAGUAAAUACAGACAGCCCCUUCAUCUCUUCCUUCUUUUUUGCCCCCUUUUGCUAAGCAAAUUUCAUCAAAAAAACUUUCCCUUGCUAGUGGCUUCAACAUGAAUGACAAUGACAAUAAAAGCUCAAUACUUUUCAGCAAACAGCAUCUAGGAUGAUGCUGCCGGACUACCUUCGCAGUCCAUUCACCAAGAUCCCAAAAGAGAUGACAGAACUAAAGCUGGAGAAUCAGGCCAAUAGGACUAUGAUCACUAUCGGUGAUAUCAGGAAGGAUGUACGAGUCAUGAACUUUAUUUGCUAUAGAUUCUGAAAUGAGAAAAUAAUCGAGCUGCCACCCUGUAGAUUGCAAGAGGAUAGUUAACAGGUGAUAAUACCUAUUUCCAUAUGCUUCAUCUGAUAAGACAACGAUAUGCAUAAUGACUUAACAAAAAACAAAAGCUUGUCAUUGCUCAUAUUAUCACCAUUACAGGAGAGAAGUGUAACAUUAGAUAUAUAAUGUUCCAUCAAGUAGAUCUAUGUAUACCUUUAUUUGUCUUCCUCCCACCAUGCUGAUAACCCCAAUAAGUAUAACCAACAGCAUGAGGAUACUGUCUUCUAAAGGUAUCAACAAAGCCCCUCGACAGGAAGUUGGUCUCAAAAGAUUCCCUUUCUUCAAUUGUAAAUCCAGCACUUCUUUUAUUUCCCUGGAGUCUCAUGACAAUCAAAUUAAUGACAGAAAUAAGAAACAUUAGACGUAUUAAGAACUUCUGUUUCGGGAUGCCAAACAGCCUAAAUUGUGAUUUUUAUCAACCCCCCAACACAAAACCCCAAACACCCCCCAACAAAAACCCAAAACAAAAUUCAGUUGUAUGGAGGAAAAGCCUGAUUACAGUCCUCUGUUUUGGGGUUUUUCCCCUCUUUUAAGUGGGGUGGGGGGCAUAUGGUGUGGCCAGGACAUUGUCCUGUGACAGUUAAAAAGCUCAUGCAAAUUAUUAAUGCACCUAGUCAAUCAAAGGCAGAAAAGGCACAUUGAUUGUUUCCCUUACCGCAGGAUCAUAAAUGUCUAUUUCCUGAUGGGCACAAUUCAGAUCGCCAGUCAAAAUCACAGGCUUCAACUUUUCAAGUUCCUGUAUUGCCAACAGCAAGCACAAAUUUGAGUAAGAGAUGAAACAAUAUUGAAACAGAAUAAAAAUAGUAGUCUAUCGGAAAACCUUCAUAGGUUGUAGAAUUGAUCCAUGAUAUGGUUAAUAAUGACUCCUGAACAAAAGUCUAAAUAGCUUUAUCAAAAAACAAAAGGGUUACAUAGUGCUGAACAUACUUUAUGUAGUUACCAAGAGAUGGAUCCCACUGUGAAAUCCUAUACAUCUGACAUAAAUAAGCAACAUAAUUAAUGAAUCAUACUUGAAAGUGUGUAACAGAGUAAACCAAUGAAAUAGAUUGAUACCAGUCUUCUCAGGCCAUCGCCAGAAUUAGGAAAGUAACCACUCAAGAGAUAGAAUGAAUCAAACUCUGCAGUGACAAGCCGUCCCUCAGAAUCAUGAUAUGAUAUGCCCAAGCCAUAUGUAACUUAAAGGGGCUUUAUCUGCACAAAAAAAAUACUAGUAAUAACCUCAAAAAUAAUAAUCCAAAAAAGCCAAAUGUAGGAGAAAACCAGAAGGCACGGUAUCCACCUUACACAAAUUAAUAUAGAGAGAAGGUAGUACUUUUGCGUUUCUGACAUACAAAGUGCAACUCAUGCCGAUUUUAUUAUUCAUCCAACAUCACUUGAGAUGCUAAUUAUAUCUCAUAAGCAACUUAACUGAUCAUUGGCUGUGAUCUUUAUUUAAGAUGAGAAGCAUUUCAUUCGAAUAUACACAAAGCAAAUGGACUAACCCUACUACAAGCAUAUUAUUAUAGCAUUUAACUAGAUUAAAACAUCAGAAUAUCUAUACAGACUCCGACAUUCUUGGUCAAAAUAUGACAAUUCAUUGGGGUCAAAUGCACUCGCAGUAACAAAUCAGAAUGCCUCUGAACUGCAACAGUAGGUAGGGAGCUAGUCCUUCAACCCAGUCAUUCCGUGAACUCUUCCCACAUGCUUUACAAUAACAAUUUACAAGCCUCAGAAACAACCAUAGAAAUACAAAAAAGGACUUACAGGUUUCAUUAUCAUUUUGAGAAAAAGUGUGAUGCAAAAAAUUUCAUUUUCAUAAAAAAAUUGCUCUUUGUUGAAGGCAAAUUCUCAAGACCUCAUGGUUUUCCAUCAAUAAUAUUCACUUCCUGCUCAAUAAUCUCCCUUGCAAGCAUCAAAUAGAAAAACUUGAGUUUUGCUUACUGUAAAGGUUGCACAGGAAACGCUAUAACGACUAUCACACGCUUGCAACUAAAACAAUUCAUCCCCACCUCAAUGUAGCUCUCAAUUCGUGAAAUGUCAUUGCCUCAAUUUUGGCCGGGUCAUUAUUAGGCAACACGACUUCACCAAUGCUUGCACCAGAAUUUUUCUGCAGAAAAAAUGAAUGCUGAAUGGUCAAGUCCCCAAAACACAGGUGAAACGAUAGGUUCGAUUAAAAGACAAUACCUUGACAUGACUUUUGGUAGAACUAGGAACUAAAGCCACCAAUCCUUUCGAUUUCUUCCCUGUCCUCAGAAAUCGCCGCCGACUCAGGUGUCGACGAAUUCGACACGCCCCUUUUGGACAACAUUUCGCUGGCUCCGAGCAAGACGAUAGAACGACCAACCCAAAAUCUCGGAGCAACCAAGAAGCUACAACAUGCGAAAAAGUCAGCAACUUUUUAAGGAACCAAAGCAACGCUUAGCAUCACAGAGCGAAACCCAGGAUUCGAAACUGUCGUCGCAUUGUCGCUUAGCAGUCGCUUGUAGUCAUAUGGAAAGAAAGACUAUAAAAUUCACGCUGGGUUCACGCAAAAAUGAGAGGUACCCGGACGAACCUCAAAGAAGGGGGUGGCGAAACCCCUGAACCCUAGUCGAAAUGCUUGCCUCAUGGAUGAAAGAAUGCACAGAGAGACACACUCAGAGAGAGAGAGGCAGUCCAGUGUUGCUGAGCAAGGAAGAAGAGACGCGGCACGAGGGCAUACCCGAGACCUCACCGAACCGCGGGGGAAGAACCGCCAAAAGCGUGGAGGUCGUGGGAGAGGCGAGCUAAAUCGGCCGUCGAGCGUCGGGGGUAGAGGGCAGAGAGGGCAUCGAGCGUCGGAGAAGGGAGAAAAUAUUAGGUUCGCUUCCUGGUUCGUCGGCUGCUCGCGGUGGUUCGCCAAUCGGAAAGGGGGAGGGUGGAGAGAGAGAGGGAGUUCGUCGGACAGGGACAGCACCCGGUCGACGGCGGGGAGCCUGGCGCCACUCGGGAACGAGACCGAGGCCGCCUCCUUCCUGCCGAAGGCCGACGACUUCGCGGCGGAGGCUGGCGGUGUCUUCGGCCUGAGGGAGGGGAAGGACGAGUAGAUGCCAGAGACGGAGGACGCCAUCGGCGGCGGCGACGACGGCUCGGAGUCGGAGUUGAUGACGAGUUCGCCGGAGGGAGGGAGGCCCAGAAGUUGCCUAGAGACCCAGGCGAGCACAAACCUUACGCUCAAUCUCGGCGUUGGAAACAGUCGGAAACGAAGGGGAUCGGGAACCAGCUGCGAUUGGCGGGGCUCUUGGAGGAGGCACGGACCGGCGAGGCUUUUUGGGGAGGCGGAGGCGGAGGAGGUGGGAUACGCUGAGAAGGAAACAGAGGAAGUGCAGCUCGUCCGCGAGGAGAGAGAGAGCCCAGAAAAUAUUCAAGUGAGGAGAGAGAAAUUUUAAGCGGGAGGGCUGCGCAUUUAUUAUCCAUUGACCCGUGCUUUCUUCUGCCAACCGAGCCGAGCCGAGCCAUCAGCCGAGAGUUAUUUGGGAGAGAGAGAGGAGAGAGAGGAGCGCUGCGUCGAGGAGCAAGAGAAAAAGCGAAGAGGACACCAAGUGGGGCCCACCCCUCCACAUGGCACCUCGUGAGUGGCCGGGGACCACGCUGACGUGGUGGUCCUGGACCACCCAAUAUUUUCUCCGUAAACCCAGCACGGAGAGGGACGAAAGUGGAUUGCAGCCCGUCGAAAGAAAGGGUCGAGCUACACCCGAAAUCUCCAUUUCCGAGCACCAGGUAAGGGAUUUUAGCUCUAUUUCUCACGAGUUAGGGAUUUUCGUUUUCUUAAAAGUUUAAUAUCCAGAGCUAUGUAGGGUUUUGCUUUACCGGCAACGCUUUGGCCGCCAAAAUCCAAUCAUAUUUUGAUUACCCACAUCUCCUCGAGUCUAUAGGGAUUUCACAGAGUUCUAGUUGGAGUCAGAUUCCAGAGAAACGAACUCUCCAAGUCCUCCUCUCUGCGCCGCAGGUGAACAGUGUGUGCCGCCUGACUUCUUGGCUGCCGUUUGGUUCAACUUUGGGGAAAUGCUUACAAUCUCAAAUAGCUUUGAAAAAUAAUUUUAGCAAAAACACCGUUUGGCAAAACUUGCAUUUCUAAUUAGCUUUUGCUUUUUUUUUUAAAAAGUCUAAAAAUAAAAUCCGGUGGCCGGCUAACUGCCGGACGGCCAAUUUGGCCGCCGGACCGCCAAAUCGGGCAGCCUGAGGUCGCGGAGGCCAGAUCUAGCCACAGGACCGCCAGAUCUAGCCUCUCGACGGCCAGAUCUGGCGGUUGAGGUCGCUUGGGUCCGCGCGACCUCAGGUGGCGUCGCCUGGUUCGCGCGCGCCAGGCGACGCCACCUGGGUCGCGGGUUGCACCACCCCGGGCGGUGGUCACCGAGGACGCGCGACCCCCACGCGGUGGUGGUGGUUGCCGGAGAAGCCGAACUCUCAAGCGGCGGGGAAGACGAAGACGAACGGAGAAGAAGAUGAGACGAACGGAGAAGAUGAACAGUAAUGACGAUGAACAGUAAACUUGCAUCUCUGAAAUGCCCAAUGCAAAAAGCUAGUCCUACCCAACAUUCAGCUUUCAACUUUUCAAAUGCCCACAUUUCGAAAAUGAGCAUUCGAAAACCAUUGCCAAACACACAAAAUUUUCCCCAAGGGGCUUUGGGGGCUCAAAGCCCCUUGGGAAAGUCCAACCAAACGCCCCCUAAAGUCUUUUUUUGAGGCGGCGACUUGUCAAAUCUCAUAAUUUUAGAAUUAAUUAUUUUCUUGAGAAGGCAGUCCGCAAUUCCCAAGGUGGCUUUGAGUUAGAUCGGGUGUUUCUCGUCUCAAAAAUAGCAAAUUAUUUUUGGGUCUGUUGGAUAUUAAUGUGCAGUUUGGCUUUCCCGCUUUAGUACUUGCGGAUGCUAGUGUUUGCUCGAGAAUAAUGCUGUGCGCGCUAGGAAAAUAUACACAAGAUCGGUAGGUUAUAUAGUUGGGUGUGCUCUCUUUGCCUGCAGGUUGAUAAUCAAGACAACAAGAUGCCGCGACCUGAAGAUAUAGCCUGGAAAUUCGUGGUUAGACUGGAUAACAAGAGAUGGCGUUGUCCUUACUGUCAUAAAGUGUCCUCUGGAUCAGUCACAAGAGUGAAAAGUCACUUUCUUAAACAACCAAAAGAAGGGAUUGCCUCUUGCACAAAAGUGCCAGAGCACAUACGCACGCUAAUGGAAUUGUUACUCAGUCAUGAGGUGACUUUAGUACUUGUGGUAGCUACAUUAUAUGCUUAGUAAUAUUGCUAUGCGUGCUAAGAAGAUAUAUAAAAAAAUGGGGAUAAUUUAUGAAGGGGCGCGCUCUGUUUGCUUGCAGCUUCAUAACAAGGAUGAUAUAGCCUGGAAAUUCGUCAAUAGAGUGGAGGACAGCAAAUGGCGUUGUUAUUACUGCAGUGGAGAAUUCUUUAGAGACCUUACAUGGGUGAAAGGUCACUUGCUUGGAGUCCCAAAUGAAGGGAUUUCCAUUUGCACACUAGUGCCGGACCAUGUAAGAAAGCUAAUGCGGUCGUUACUUGAUGAGGUGGCUGAAGAAGAGAGCAGAGAAGCCAACAGUCCAUUGUCCAUGGGGACUUUGUUCUCGCCAGGCCUCGAAUAUACGUUGGAACAGUUGCACUUCAACCAACAGGAUGUCAUUGGGUCAAACUCUGACCAACAAUCACAAGAAGAGCGUCAGUUUCAGCAGAGUCCAACUAUGCCGUUAUUGGUGCAAAGUAGCCAUGGUAUGUCCGUGUGAAGUUUCUUUACAUUCAUCUUGGCACGGAGAAUAAAAAAUCAUUAUAUUUUUCGUUUUAUUAACUCUCUCUAGAAUAACUCAAAUUUAUCUAUUUUCAUAUUUCAUCGAUUCCAAAUUAUAGUAAUAUCAUUGCAUAUUAUAUAUGUCCGUCAAUUAGCCACGGAACCAGAGUCACGUGACACAGAAGUGCUGGACCACAUAAGAAAGCGUAAUGACCUCGAUGAGAUGGCCGAAGAAGAGAGCAGAGUGGUGGCUGAAGAACAGAGCAGAGAAGCCCAUGGUCAAUCCUCCAUCGAAUCAAAUUCCCGUUACAUGCCGACUCAAGCUGAGGUGGCUGAAGAAGAGAUCAGAGAUGCCAACCGUCAAUUUUCCACGGAACCACAGUCGCGUGACAUGCUGUCUCCAGCUGUUCCUCGGUCAUCACAAAGCUUGGAAGAUAUAGAAAACUUAUUCACAACAGAGUGGGCGACCGACUUGGAAAACUUAGACUAUGACCUAGAGCAUCAUUUUCGUGAGACUUUGGCAAUGCCGCCACCGGCGCAAAAUAUCCAUGGUAUGUUCAUGUGAAGUUUCUAUACAUGCAUCUAGGCAUGGAGAAAAAACAUCUAAUAUAUUUUUCAAUGCAAACACGUCGGGAUUUUUAACCAAAGUGGAGAGUAUUAAAUAUCUCCGAUAAAAACGAUCUUCCUAUGGGACUUUCCAAAUGUGAAGAAAGUCAAAUCACCUAUUCCUUAAUAACAGUGCAUUGAAUGUGUUGCACGUGUCCAUUGGACCCUUUGGAUCCACUAGACUAACUACAGUAGGUAUUCUUUCGUGUUCUAAUCAACUAUAUUCUUUCGUGUUCUAAUCAAGUAUAUCCUAAUUUUGAUGAACUUCACACGGAUGAAAACAUACCAUUUUCAACGAUGGCUUUAGCAGAAGUAGAAUCGGAUCUUCCUGAUCCGCCAUGUCAGCCACAAUAUUCCAAUCGAUCUCCUUAUCCCGAGGAAAUGCAAAUGAAUGACCAGCAGACUCCAGCAGGGGCAUUACCAUUCCAGGAUGUUCCAUUCCCUGUUGUAGGUAAUUCAAAUUGCUUGCAGGAUUGCAAUCGGCACUCUCAAUUGCAAACUCCAAUGGACGUAGAUCACUCAGUUGUAUCACAGCGUAGAAUCGACUCUCACAUUAAUGAGGCAACAAUCGUUGAUUUGCAAGUUCCAGAGGUGACAACGAUUACAAUAAGCCCAUCAUCAUCACAAGGUGUGUCUUGAUUUAUCUAUGUAGAUACUGUCAUUUGGUUAGAUCCUUAAAUAUCUAACAUAUUUAUUUUUAUAAAAUAGACAUGAACAACGGUUCUCCAACCAUGAACGCAUGGAGGACACCCCAAACUCGAAGAUGUAUAAAAUGGACUACGCAAGAGGACAGGGCGGUCGACAUUGCAAACCUCCCAUUAGAUGGUGCAACAAGUUACUCAAGGGCAUCUACCCCGCUAUCUUCAAUCCACCCCGAUUCGCCACAUGAUCUGUUGCCCAAUUUAAGUCAGUCUCUAACAUUAAAUGCAGAACAGAAUCCGACCGCGCCAUUGCCAUCGCAAAACCGCCUGCUCCAUGGUAACACUUCUCAGAAUGAGUCACAGGGGUCCAUUUUCCCUGGUGCCAUUGCAUCAGGUGCUCGACUCACUAACAUGGCCCCAACCAACGCUCCUCAGUAUUCUAAUCAACCACAUCAGAGCUUUCACAGGCAGUGUGGACAUGGCACUGGUUUAUCUGCUCCACGGGAUCCCAUGGACACAGAGCCACCUAUUUCAUCACAACCUGGAUCUCCCAUUGUUGAGGGCCGCAAUUUCCUUCCGCAGAUUUCAGAGGACAUCAUAAAUACAACUGGCCCAUCAACAUCAGAAGGUAUAAUACUAUCGAUCUAUUAAAUGGGUCUCGUUGACCUGCCUCAUCACAUUUUGUUAAGUAUACUUACUAAGGAAAUACUUUUCUUCUCAAUGCAUUGAUUACUCAUAAUACAAGAGGGACAAUGCAUUAAUAAUUACAAACUUUCCUUAAUUGGUAAUUACCAUUCAUGUGGUCUGUUUACAAACACCUCGUUGCUUUGUUAUGGUGAGUAAGAAUGUUUCGAUCAGAGUCUAAUGCGUGAAGUUGUGGCUUAUAAAUUAGUGAUGCCGAAAGGUGCACCAGUAGGGGCAUCAUCAUUCCAGUGUGAUCAAUUACUUGGUGUAGGUAAUUCAAAUCUGGAUUGCAAUCAGCCACGUAUAUCUAGUGUAACAAGUGUAACCAACACUGUCCCGCAUUCUAACCGACCACUUCCAUGCUGCAAUGGAGAAUGUGGAACUGAAACCAGUUCGUUUCCCUCGCAAGAUUCGAGGGGCAUAUGUCCCGUAACUGCAUUACAGCCUACCAGCGGCCCUCACAUCGAGGCAACACUCGUCAAUUUGCAAGUUCUGGAGAAUGGAGCAAAUAUGGCUGGUCCAUCACUAUCACAAGGUACUUCUUGAUUUACCUAAAUAGAGACUGUCACUCCAAAUUAAUCAUAGGUAUUCCAGCUCGAGUGAGCAUUGAUGCUUUCAUUGCAGAAGUAGCCUUCCUUGUAUUAUUAACUCUCUCUAGUAUAACUCAAAUUCAUCUAUUUCCAUACCUGAUCUUGUCUCAAUUACUGUGGUAUCGUUGCAUAUUAUGCAUGUCCGAUGUCACUUACUUUACUGCACGGUUUCUUUCAUCAAGAUAUUUAAGCCGUGCAUGUUGAUUUUCAUUGUGGAUGUUUUUUGUGACCAAGUUGUGUGUUGUUUUACCUGUAUGCAUGGACACUCCAAUAUUUUAGUGCAACCAGCUUUGGUGCCCCCUCAACAUCAAAGCGUUUCACAUCAAUUCAUUAGUCCUAGACAAGGAAUGCGCAGCAGAAUCCAACAGGGCUAUCAUCGUCACAGAAAAAUCAUAUAGUCCCAUGUCACCCACAAGCUCCAAUGAACAUGGAUCCCUGUAUCCUCUCAUCAUCACAAGCUCCAAAUAAUGCUCCUCCACGUCCUCAGAUUCAACGUCGUGGAAUAGGCCUGAUGGGCCCAUCAUCAUUACCGGGUAUAUAGUUAUUUACCUAUAUUAAUCCUUAUGUAUCACCAUGUUACGUUAUUAGGGAAGCAAGAAUGCUAUAAUGAGACCGAAGGAUUUAAUUGCAGAAUUAGAUAUGAACAAGGGCGUGCCAUUGACGAGUCAUACAAACAUAGACAACAACUUUGAAAAGAGUAGCCAUUUGAAAAGAAAAAUAAAGCGACUCUACAGUAGAGAAGCUGACAUAAAGGAUGAGUUAAAAUUUGCCGCGUCUCUAUCCCUAAAGAAGCCGAGAAUGGAAGUUAAGAAUUGGUUGGCAGAUGUGGAGAAUCUUAGAAAUGAUUUUCAUGGUAUUGAAGCAACAAGUGAAAAUUGUUUGCCGCCACACCAGCAGGUUGUACUGAUGCAAGAAGCAGAAGAACUUAUAAAACAAAGCAAAUUCCUAGAAGGACUAUUUGUGGCGAGAGAGACCAGAGUCAAUAAGUUGUUAGAACGAAAGUUGGUGGGAAAGGCAUUUCAAAGAAAUACAGCAGAGAUUUUGGAGUACUUAGUGGAGAAGCAAAUAUCCCGACUAGGCAUUUAUGGAAUGGGGGGUGUUGGUAAAACGACUCUUAUGAUGCACAUACAUAAUAGACUCCUCGAAAAAGCAAACUAUGGCAAUGUGCUGUGGAUCACCGUGUCACAGGAUUUUAACAUAGAGAAGUUGCAGGACAACAUUUGGGAGGCACUACGUUUAGACAUACCACGAGAAAAGGAUGUGAAGAAACAAGCAGCAAUGUUGUCCGAUUGUUUAACCAAAAUAGAGAAGUUGACAAUAAUCCUCGAUGAUGUGUGGGAACAUUUUGAUCUUGAAAAGGUGGGAAUCCCUAUUAGAGCCAAUGGACUUAAGCUGGUCGUAACCACUCGAUCCUCUAGUGUUUGCAGCCAGAUGCAUUGUCAAGAGAAGAUAAAAAUUGAACCUCUAUCUCAAGAAGAAGCUGAGAGUUUAUUUUUUGAGGAGCUUGGAUCCGAAGUGGCCUUUAAUUUGGAAAUUAAAGCAAUUGUGAAGUCCAUUGUUAAAGAAUGUGCAGGCUUGCCGCUUGGAGUCAUCACGAUGGCAACAAGUAUGCGAGAAGUGACUAAUAAGUUUGAAUGGAAUGAUUGCUUGGAGAAAUUGAAUGAAUCGGAUAUGAGGCAAAUAGAUAUGGAAAAGAAAGUCCUAAUGAUUCUAAAAUUCAGUUACGAUCGCCUUGGGAAUUGUGAAGUUCAACAGUGUUUCUUAUCUUGUGCACUUUAUCCAGAAGAUCAAUUGAUUGGUAGGAUCGAGUUGAUAGAAUUCUUUAUUGACCAAGGAUUGAUUGGUGGAUUGAAUACGAGGGAGAAACAAUAUGAUAGAGGCCUCACUAUACUGACCAAACUGGAAAAUGUUUGUCUAUUGGAAGCUUAUAAGAAAAGUGAUUUUCCACAGAGAGAUUAUGGGGAAGGGAUGAAGAUGCACGAUUUGAUUAGAGACAUGGCAUUGCACAUCAUGAAUGCGACUUCGAUNNNNNNNNNNNNNNNNNNNNNNNNNNNNNNNNNNNNNNNNNNNNNNNNNNNNNNNNNNNNNNNNNNNNNNNNNNNNNNNNNNNNNNNNNNNNNNNNNNNNNNNNNNNNNNNNNNNNNNNNNNNNNNNNNNNNNNNNNNNNNNNNNNNNNNNNNNNNNNNNNNNNNNNNNNNNNNNNNNNNNNNNNNNNNNNNNNNNNNNNNNNNNNNNNNNNNNNNNNNNNNNNNNNNNNNNNNNNNNNNNNNNNNNNNNNNNNNNNNNNNNNNNNNNNNNNNNNNNNNNNNNNNNNNNNNNNNNNNNNNNNNNNNNNNNNNNNNNNNNNNNNNNNNNNNNNNNNNNNNNNNNNNNNNNNNNNNNNNNNNNNNNNNNNNNNNNNNNNNNNNNNNNNNNNNNNNNNNNNNNNNNNNNNNNNNNNNNNNNNNNNNNNNNNNNNNNNNNNNNNNNNNNNNNNNNNNNNNNNNNNNNNNNNNNNNNNNNNNNNNNNNNNNNNNNNNNNNNNNNNNNNNNNNNNNNNNNNNNNNNNNNNNNNNNNNNNNNNNNNNNNNNNNNNNNNNNNNNNNNNNNNNNNNNNNNNNNNNNNNNNNNNNNNNNNNNNNNNNNNNNNNNNNNNNNNNNNNNNNNNNNNNNNNNNNNNNNNNNNNNNNNNNNNNNNNNNNNNNNNNNNNNNNNNNNNNNNNNNNNNNNNNNNNNNNNNNNNNNNNNNNNNNNNNNNNNNNNNNNNNNNNNNNNNNNNNNNNNNNNNNNNNNNNNNNNNNNNNNNNNNNNNNNNNNNNNNNNNNNNNNNNNNNNNNNNNNNNNNNNNNNNNNNNNNNNNNNNNNNNNNNNNNNNNNNNNNNNNNNNNNNNNNNNNNNNNNNNNNNNNNNNNNNNNNNNNNNNNNNNNNNNNNNNNNNNNNNNNNNNNNNNNNNNNNNNNNNNNNNNNNNNNNNNNNNNNNNNNNNNNNNNNNNNNNNNNNNNNNNNNNNNNNNNNNNNNNNNNNNNNNNNNNNNNNNNNNNNNNNNNNNNNNNNNNNNNNNNNNNNNNNNNNNNNNNNNNNNNNNNNNNNNNNNNNNNNNNNNNNNNNNNNNNNNNNNNNNNNNNNNNNNNNNNNNNNNNNNNNNNNNNNNNNNNNNNNNNNNNNNNNNNNNNNNNNNNNNNNNNNNNNNNNNNNNNNNNNNNNNNNNNNNNNNNNNNNNNNNNNNNNNNNNNNNNNNNNNNNNNNNNNNNNNNNNNNNNNNNNNNNNNNNNNNNNNNNNNNNNNNNNNNNNNNNNNNNNNNNNNNNNNNNNNNNNNNNNNNNNNNNNNNNNNNNNNNNNNNNNNNNNNNNNNNNNNNNNNNNNNNNNNNNNNNNNNNNNNNNNNNNNNNNNNNNNNNNNNNNNNNNNNNNNNNNNNNNNNNNNNNNNNNNNNNNNNNNNNNNNNNNNNNNNNNNNNNNNNNNNNNNNNNNNNNNNNNNNNNNNNNNNNNNNNNNNNNNNNNNNNNNNNNNNNNNNNNNCGCCGUAUUCCUUAUCUAGGGAAGCUCAUAUCUUUAAGAAAGUUGGAUGCCAGUAACUGUGCGCGUCUUGAAGCGCUUGAGGGUCUAGACAAGUUGGUGAACUUGACAUACCUUGACCUUAUCAAAACACAUAAUGCGAGAUUGCCCAAAGGAACACUGGAGUGUUUACUAAACUUGCAAUGUCUUAAAGUUUCGGCAAUAAAUGAAGAAACAAAAUUGGGGACAUUGGAGACAUUUGAAUGCUACUCUGAAAAUGCGGAUGAUUUUAACAAGUGUGUGAGGGCUAUUGGGCAAAGUAAUAAUCCUCUCUAUUACGGCCUCAACAUGAAUAUAGAAAAAUCAAACUUUAUUGUGGAAGUAAGUGAUGAUACUCGAUUUCGGAAUUUGGGGAGGAGCGUCAACAUUGGGGAGUGGGGUCAUGCUAUUUUGAGCGUGGGAGGGGAAUGCACUGGCAUUUUUAUUUUGAUUCCCCGAAAUGUGCAGACGAUGAGAAUGGGAAAAUGCAAGGGUAUAACAAAUUUGUCUAGCAUGGAUCCGCUUAAAUACCUUGAGGACCUAGAAAUAGAAGAAUGGGAAAACUUAGAGGUGCUCUGUGGAGGACAAGACGAAGAAGUAAUCGACGUCCCGGCCCCAACCCUCACCCCUCACCCCUUCUCGAGCCUUAUAUUUUUGAAAAUAAAGGAAUGUUCAAAACUGAAGUAUCUCUUUGGACAUGGGUCUAAAUCCAACCUUCCGCAUCUACAAGUUAUUGGAAUAGCGAAUUGUAAGGAAAUGGUGGGGAUAAUAGCAGCAGUUACAUCCCCACCACCACAUUCGCUCCCAUUUUUGCCUAGUCUGGAAGGUAUUAUUGUUUGGGGCUGUGGUAAAAUGAAGAGAGCGGUGGAAUCUGAGUGGAUGCCCCACUUCCCUAAGCUGAGAAACAUUGUAGUAUACAAAUGUGAGAAGAUGGAGGAGAUAAUCAGAGGUCCUCCUAAAUGCGUGCCGGUUGAAGGGAUUUCUCUCUAAUCUCUUAAGGUAGUACAUUGCGGUAGCAUGAGAAAGCUGCUUCCGCAUGAGUGGCUGCUCCAUCUUCGAAAUCUUCGAUGUAUCUAUGUCAAUGACUGCCGAGGAAUGGAGAAGAUGAUAUGCGGAGCGGGACAAGGUCAAGAAAGAAGCAUAACGACUCCUGUCAACAGCACCCCUUCAUCCUUCCUGCCUCCAAUUUCUCUCCCAAAGCUAGAGCAGUUGAAUCUAUCCGAACUACCCCAGCUAAAGAGCAUAUGCGAAUUCCCAAUAAGCUGCAAUUCCAUGGAAGAGUUGUUUGUGUACGAUUGCCCAGAAUUGAGGGGGAUUCCUUUGCAAUUGCGAUUGCGUGAAAUUGAGAAGCUUCCGCAUAUUUGGGUGGAAGAUGAGGAAAGGUGGAAGACGCUGAUGUGGGAUCAUCCCGAUGCUCAGGCUAUUCUUCAACCUCAUCUAAAAAAAAAGGGAUACCCUAGAGGUUAAUGAGUUUAAUUGAUAUAUGAUUGCUUCACUUCUUAAAAGUCGUUGCAAAGAUGUAGCUUUUCUGUCUAUAUAGUCAUGCAGCUCUCAUAGUGGCCUUUUGCAGAACUUUUCGCCAAGGGAAUGGUUCUCCUGUGACUCUGCUCUUGAAGAAAGCCUUGUUGCUCAACCGUGCUUUCCUGCAAACUCGACUCAGGUUGCCAUAUGAAUUGACCUUUUCUGUGUGGCCAUGCUUUGUCUAUUUUGAAUGCGAUCACAUGUUUUAUUGACUACUAGAAAUAAGUGAAUCUGGUCGAUAUUUCAGGUUAGUCAAAAAGCAACGGAUCUGAAGAUUUGGGAAGCCAAGGGAAUAGCAAAGCCUGUUUCCUAUCUUGUCUUAUAACUGAAAGGACAAGUUAUUAUUAUGGAUUUAUCUCCUUGGGAUAUUAGCCUUCUAAGAAAAGAGGGAAUUUUGUGCAGCACUACCUUUAAUCUGUUUUUGUUUAGAAAGGAUUUCAAAUAUGAUAUUGCUUUAACUUGUCGAUCGAAAAUAUUGUGUCAAAUACGCUGCUUCCCUCUGUUGGAUCAGAGCAACAUGACCCCGAUUAAACUUGUUUCGACAUUAAACUAUCGGGUAUAGAAUACUUGAUCUGCUUAGUAGUUGUAUCAUAUCUGGAAACGUAGGCUGGGAAGUUUUCUCUUCACCCGUUGUCAUACUUUGAGUUAGAAAUGUAAAAAGACGAAGAAGAAAGAAUUGCAUAGUUAUCGCCCCUCUUUAAAUGCCUCAAAGUUGUGGAUAGAUGGAGAAACCUACAGCUUCAGCUCAAGUUACCAAAAAUUAGAGCAGUAACCACUAGCAAGUCAAUGGAAAAAGGGCCAGCUUAUAGGACGUGGCACUUUUGAAAGUGUUUACAUUGCAAGCAACCAGUAAGUUAGCUCUGGGAAUCUUAGACACGUUCCAUUUUUUAAGAUAUCCAGUCAGCUAAACUUUGACAUAUUAAGUGACAGAAAAACCGGAUCUCUAUGUGCACGGAAGGAGUUUGAGCUAUCGCCUAAUGAUCCAAAUUUAGCUGAGUGCAUCAAGCAGUUAAAGCAGGUAAUGUUUUUGUUAUGCUCUGGGAUCCAAUCUAUUCUCUCAUCUGAUCUAAAUAUGCUGGGAGGAAACUUUCUUUCAUCAUUUCCAGGUAAUUGAUUGUUACUACAGGAAAUUCAGGUACUUAGCCAGCAUAGACAUCCGAACAUUCUGCAGUAUUAUGUCAGGGAAAUUGUGAGUCACAUUUCCACAGCACCUAUGCAUCCCAGCUCAAUGGGCGUUCAUUAUUUGACUCGCCAAAAUUUCAACAUAUUCAUACGUACUCAGGUUGAGGAUUGGCUUUACGUAUAUCUAGAAUAUGCACAUCACGAUUCAAUAGACAAGUAUAUCCAAGAGCGUCUUGGGACCCUAACAGACUCGGUUGUCCACACUUUACCCACUAUAUUGUGGCUGGAUUGGCUUCCCUGCAUGUUAACAACUCCAUACAUGGGUAAUUCUAAACCAUUGAUCAAGCAUCAUGAGAUGGCUUGUGCAGGGAUUUAAAGGGAGCUAAUUUAUUUGUGGAUGCAUCUGGGAUAUUCAAACUUGCUGACUUUGGAAUUGCUAAACAUGUGAGUUUUUACCUCUUCACUGCAAGACAACUCAGUGCAUGUAGAAAUUACUUGAUGAUCUGUGGUGCAUUCGAAUGUGAAGUCAGGGACCCAGGGUGACUGCGAACUUCUCAUUAUUGGUUUGUGGCAUUUCAUAUGUGCAAAAAUCUAUCACAGGUGGAUGAAAUGUUAUUAAGUAAUUUUCUUCACUUUUUUUCCCAUUGUUUCAGGUAAAGUUACCAUGUUGCAUAAACAGGAAAAGAUUUCUUGCUUUAAAUAGAUGCCGAAACCUAAUGAGAGUUCUUUCCCUUUCUACUGGUUUCUAAAAAGUUCCUAAGAGCAGUAGUGAAUAGAACGCAAUACCUUUGGCAAAAGGUUGUGGUGUUGUUUUUGCUGCUCCUCUGCAUUCCAAAAUAGGAUAGAAUUUAGUCAGAGUAAGCAAGGGCCUCCUUCCUAACAUGGGGUAAAUAAAAGUGUAUUGAUCCAUAGAAUGGAAUUCUGGAUAGUAGCCAAGGUGUUGUUGCUCUCUUUUUGAGUUCUCAAGCAUUUGCUGAGGUCAUGUUGUUGAUUGCUUCAAGUUGAAAGUGGUUGAUUCAGUAAUCAAUCUGAUGUAUCUAUGUCUAUAAAGAUGUUGCUAUUUUAUCCAGUGUUCCAUGAACACACCAAGUAGUCUUCAGCUUUACUAAUGCUGUACCAUUUCUUAGCUAACCGGACAAGCAGCUUGCUGCUCUUUGAAGGGAAGUCUAAACUGGAUGGCUCUAGAGGUACUCUGCUUUUGUUAACGUUAAUGCGGCAUUCUUUUUUAGUUGUGGCGGAAUGAUGGAAUAAUAUGUCUUGCAACUCAUACAAUCCUUGAUGGUGAAUAAUUACAGCACGGAUCUCAAUCAUACUGCCGACAUGUGGAGUUUGGGAUGUACUAUUACCGAAAUGAUUACUGGGAAACCUCCUUGGACUAUGAGUGAGUAAGUACGCUGCACUGUUUUUUUUUUUUUUCAUUUUCUCUCUAUCCUUCCUGGUAAUACGCUUCCAAGCAAAUCUGUGUUGUCGUUUUCUGUUGGAAGUUCGGGCCAUGCGCAUUACCAUUUGGUGUGUGAUCUGUGUCAUGAGUUUCUAUUUAAGGUUGAAUUAUUAAUGCAGGCUCAAGCUAUAUUUAAGGUGAUGCGAAGUUCUCCAGUAAUACCUGAGACGUUAUCUGCCGAGGGAAAGUAGCUGCGGAGAGGCCUUCUGCUGCUAUGCUACUUGAGCAUGCUUUCCUGCAAAUUUGAAGUUGCAAAUGAUUGACUUAUUUCAAGUGUUGUACGUUGUCGCAAAAGGGAUUUGUUGUCCUGUAAAGUUCCAUAUUUACUAAACCAAAAGGAUCACACGGUCCAUAGAUGUGAUGAAGUACUUGUAUAUUGACAAAAUAAGGCACAUACUUCUCUUGCAUGGUCUGACUGGCGGCAUACCAAUCUAGGCAAUUUGACAGUGUUGCUUAAUCUAAACCUUUUACUGCAUAGUGCAUUCUUACCAAAAACAUUUUGUACGAAGUACAUUUAUUCAUCAAAAUGGAAUGGUAUUGAUUUGGCUCCAAAUAAGCAAUAGGUCACGAAACACAAGCAAGAAAACCCAGAAAAGAAAAAAGAAAAAGAAAACCGAAGCUAUAGUGCAUCAGAAUUCCUAAACUCAUUUUGAAAGUAAAUACUUUGUCGGUUUGGUGGGAGAAACAUUGGCAAGUUUGGCAAACCUGCAAUGUCUUCGGAUUGCGGUAGUGAAGGGAGUAGUAUCGAAAUUAUGGGCAUUGGAGGCUCUUGAUUCUUCCCUUCAACAGUGUCGUUGAUCUCAAUAAAUACAUGAGAUUUCUCCAACCAAAAUGGCCCUCAUCAUAUUGUCACCAAAUUCCAGUGAAUCAAGAAAAGCCAUUGUGGUCUGCUUGCAAAUGUAAAUGAUCAUGAUGAUCCAAGAUUUGCAGCUUCCGAGAGGGGAAUUCACGUCGAUUGUUGCGAUUAUGCUCUUGUCAGGGCAGUAGGGGAAAGUCUUUCGCCUGAUGGUUUUGCUCCCAAGUGAUGCUGCAAGUUUGCCGUAUUUUCCCCUUAGGGUUGUUUGUCAUUUUGUGGAACAUUUUUAGAAUAAUUUUGCAUCCCGUGUCUAUAAAAUGCAAAUAGCCGAUGAAAUCUAUUGAAAACAUCUCAAGCUAUUCAUUUACGAGAUUUUAAUGGUUCUUAUAUGUAUAUAAUUUACCUUCCCUUACUUGUUCAAAUUUUUAGGUUGGACUUUCACUUAUGUGAAAAUAGCAAUUUGUGCGUGAAUUGCAAAGCAAACAUACUUCCUUUUUUUCUAUUUUUUUUCUACAAUUAAAGUGAUUCCUCUAUCCUAAUGCAUACCGGAAAUAUAUGAUAUGAAUGACAAAGUGUAACAGAAAAAUAAACUCCUCGAAAUUUUGCAAAGUCGGAGGCGCCACUGAGGCCGAGCGAUAUCUCUCGGUUGCAUUGGAUUCUUUCUUCGAUUUCAUUUUCUUUUGUUCUUUUCCUCAUUUUUGAACCAACAGCCUAACCAUGAGGCGCCUUUUCUCUUCUGUCCCUUAUCUGUACUCCUUUUCUUUCGUACAACUCGUUCUUCUUUCGCUGCUUUUUGGAUUUUUUUUUCUUGGUGUCCUCUGCCCAAACCCUUAAUGAAGACAACUAAUCGGUGUUUAGUUUUCCAAAGUGUAGCAUUAUUGAGCACCAUCAUCGACCAUCAAGUUCGCUAAACUCAGUCAUCAAUUAACUAACUGUUCUUGUUAAACAGGAGCUGCACCAACGNNNNNNNNNNNNNNNNNNNNNNNNNNNNNNNNNNNNNNNNNNNNNNNNNNNNNNNNNNNNNNNNNNNNNNNNNNNNNNNNNNNNNNNNNNNNNNNNNNNNAGAUCCAAACUACAUAUGAAACUGGACUCGUAAUUGGGAAAACAUGAAUUUAGCAUAUUAUACAUUGCUCCUAAAUAAUUUUAUGCACAUGCCAAAUAACAAGUACAUGUAUAAGUUAAGGCAAAUAGGUCUUUAGCAAAUUGACAAUGCAGAAACCGAGAGAGCGUAUGAAGUGAUCUUUGCAUUUUUGAAACUCUGUUAGUGUACAUUCUAGUAGUUUUCCCUUGUCAAAAUAUACUGAUUUUCAACUUUCGCUGAAAUGUCACACGUUCAAUUGGGGGAGAAUAUGAUCGAUAGUCCUAAUUAGCCAAGUCACAAAACCAAUCAUAUAUUUAAAUAGUUCAGAAAUCUUUCUGUUCAUUCUAAUUAAUAAUCGCAUCAAAGAAUUUUUCCCUAAACCUUUAUAUUCAGUCAUAGUUACUACUUUUCAGUUCACUCUUUGAAAGAUUCCCAUGAUCUCUUCAAAUAAAUUAAAAUACAAUUCAGGGUUAGUGGUCGUAACUUUAUCUAUUAGGUAUAUAGCUUAAUGCUCAUUUUGAAUGAGGGCAAAAGGUCACCCCGUUUACAUUCACGUGUUUGUCACAUUGUGAUGGGAAAAUGGGAACGAAAUGCAAGUUCAGAGGCACAGGAUGCAACUUUCUAAAUUUCCAUUUUCAAAUGCAUUGGGUUCCCUUUUCCCCAGUCAUCUCUUCUUAAUCAUCCCGGUGCAAGGACAGGACUUUCCCUGGACAGUGAUGCACAACAAGCCAUUAUCAUUGUACUGAAGUGAAUCUGUUUCCUUUGAUCGUGGACGAUUCUAUGCUCCCGAAAUCGGGGUAAUAUAUGAUGGGGUGCGCUCUAUUUGCUUGCAGGUUCGUAACAAAGAGGAUAUAGCUUGGAAAUUCGUCAAUAGAUUGGAGGACAGCAAAUGGCGUUGUUAUUACUGCCGUGGAGAAUUCUUUAAAGACCUUACAGGAGUGAAAGGUCACUUGCUUGGAGUCCCAAAUGAAGGGAUUUCCAUUUGCACACAAGUGCCGGACCAUGUAAGAAAGAUAAUGCAGUCGUUACAAGAUGAGAUGGCUGAAGAAGAGAGCAGGGGAGCCAAUGGUCAAUCCUCCGCGGAACCACAGUCACGUGGCAUGCCCGCUCAAGCUGAGGUGGCUGAAGAAGAGAGCAGAGAGGCCAACGGUCAAUCCUUCACAGAACCACAGUCACGGGGCAUGCUGCCUCAACCUGAGGUGGCUGAAGAAGAGAGCAGAGAAGCCAACAUUCAAUCCUCCACGGAAACACAAUCCCGCGACAUGCCCACUCAAGCUGAGGUGGUGGCUGAAGAAGAGAGCAGAGAAGCCAACGGUCAAUUUUCCAGGGUCUGUUGAAUAUUAAUCUGCAGUUUUGCUUUCCUGCUUUACUACUUGUGGAUGCUAUUAUUUGCUUGAGAAUAAUGCUAUGCGCAUUAGGAAAAUGUACACAAGAUUGAUAGGUUAUAUAAUCGGGCGUGCUCUCUUUGCCUGCAUGUUGAUAAUCAAAAUGACAAGAUGCCGCGAGUUAAAGAUGCCGUGAGUUAAAGAAAUAGCCUGGAAAUUCGUGAUUAGACUGGAGGGCGAGAAAUGGUGUUGUCCUUACUCUGGAAAAGUUACAAGAGUGAAAAGUCACUUUCUUAAACAUUCAAACAGAGGCAUUUCUCCUUGUAAAAAAGUGCCGGAGCACAUAAGCAUGCUAAUGGAUUGGUUACACAAUCAGGUGCCUUUAAUGCUUGUGGUAGCUACAUUGUUUGCCUGAGAAUGAUGCUAGCGUGCUAAGAAGAUUUAUGAAAAAUGGGGAUAAUAUAUGAUGGGGUGUCGCUCUAUUUGCUUGCAGGAUCGUAACAAAGAGGAUAUAGCCUGGAAAUUUGUUGAUAGACUGGAGGACAACAAAUGGCGUUGUCAUUACUGCCGUGUAGAAUUCUUUGGAGACCUUAUGGGAGUGAAAGGUCACUUGCUUGAAGGGAUUUCCAUUUGCACGGAAGUGCCGGACCACAUAAGAAAGCUAAUGCGGUCAUUACUCGAUGAGGUGGCUGAAGAAGAGAGCAGAGAAGCCCACGGUCAAUCCUCCGUCGAACCAAAUUCCCGUGACAUGCCGAGUCAAGUUGAGGUGGCUGAAGAAGAGAUUAGAGAGGCCAACCGUCAAUUUUCCACGGAACCACAGUCGCGUGACAUGCUGUCUCCAGCUGUUCCUCGGUCAUCACAAAGCUUGGAAGAUACAGAAAACUUAUUCACAACAACAGAGUGGGCGACUGACUUGGAAAACUUAGACUAUGACCUAGAGCGUCAUUUUCUUGAGACUUUGGCAAUGCCGCCACCGGCGCAAAAUAUUCAUGGUAUGUUCAUGUGAAGUUUCUAUACAUGCAUCUAGGCAUGGAGAAAAAACAUAUAUUAUAUUCAAACACGUCGGGUUUUUUAACCAAAGUGGAGACUUUUAAAUAUCUUCUAUAAAAACGAUCUUCCUAUGGGACUUUCCAAAUGUAAAGAAAGUCAAAUCACCUAUUCCUUAAUAACAGUGCAUUGAAUGUGUUGCACCUGUCCAUUGGACCCAUUGGAUCCAAUAAACUAACUACAGUAGGUAGUCUUUUAUGUUCCAAUCAACUAUAUCCUAAUUUUGAUGAACUUCACGCAGAUGAAAACAUACCAUUUUCAACGAUAGCUUUAGCAGAAGUAGAAUCGGAUCUUCUUGAUCCGCCAUGUCAGCCACAAUAUUCCAAUCGAUCUCUUUAUCGCGAGGAAAUGCAAAUGAAUGACCAGCAGACUCCAGCAGGGGCAUUAUCAUUCCAGUAUGUUCCAUUACCUGCUGUAGGUAAUUCAAAUUGCUUGCAGGACUGCAAUGACUCUCAAUUGCAAACGCCAGUGGACGUAGAUCCCUCAAUUGCAUCACAGCGUACAAAUCACAUUACUGGGGCACAAAUCAAUUAUUUGAAAGUUCCAGAGGCAGCAACAAAUACAACAGGCCCAUCAUCAUCACAGGGUUUGUAUGGAUUAAUCUACAUUGCUACUAUGGUUAUAUUAGAUACUUGAAUAUCUCCAUAUUAUUUUAUUGAAAUCUAACAUAUGAUUUUUUAAACAAGAUAGGAACAUGGAUUAUCCAAUCAAGAACAUGCUGAGCAUCAUUGCAUAUUCUAUUUGUCUGAUAUCAGUUUUUAUCACACCAUUACUUUCUUCAAAAUAUUUAACUCUAAUGCGGUCGUUACUCGAUGAAGUGACUGAAGAAGAGAGCAGAGAGGUGGCUGAAGGACAAAGCAGAGAAGCCAACCGUCAAUCCUCCACGGAACCACAAUCACGUGACAUGCCUGUAAGACAAAAUAAUUUAUAUACAGAAGCCAGGAUCAAUUAAAGACAAACCUCCAGCCAUUGUUUUGUUCACAUUCGUCAGAAAACCUGAAAUCAAAGAAAAUUGGGGACACUCUACUACCCAAUUCACUCUCGUACUGAUGGUGUAUUCUGAAUGAGAGGGUUUGAGUUAGACAUUGUCAUCAUCCGUCAGAAAUGAACGUACGUUCCUAUUUAUACACUGUCUCCCAUCAAGACGGGCGGUUGUCACCAAAUGGUACGAAGCGUGGAAAACUUUAUGUUGAACAGUCGCAACCUUUAGAGAAAAUAAAUGUGGGAUCAUAAAAAUAAAUAACAUUCUCCCACUUGAUCCCAUCAUUUUCAUUAUACAGAUUAUCCAACUAAUUCCACAAAAACUUUAUGCUUAAAGAAAAGAAACAAAACACAUGGAUCAUGGCGACAUGUCCUCUAAGAGUGAGUAAUAUCUUCCAUGUAUCACAAUGCACCUUAUUUCUUUAAUGUCAGCCUAUAUGUGACAACAAAUCUUAAUGAAUAAACCCCAUGUUUAUUCCAAAACCAAUGAUAAAUGUUAUUCUCAUAAACAACAAAAUGUGUACACAAAAAUUGAGAAUCAACAUUACAACUGAAUAAGAGUUUCAUACAACAAAAAUCGUUCAUAUAACGACAAAUUACAUAAUGGGACCUAUUCCCAUACUAGUUACAUGAUCCUUAUACUUCAUUGGUGGCAUGCCUUUAGUUAAAGGAUCGGCUAUCAUCAAUUCAGUGCUAACGUGUUCAAUGACCACUUUAUUCUCCUUAACACGUUCCCUUAUGGUUAAAUACUUAAUGUCGAUAUGCUUACUUUGACUGCCACUUUUGGCAUUUUUAGCCAUAAAAACCGUAGCUGAAUUGUCACAAUAUAUUCUUAAUGGCCUAGAAAUUGAAUCAAUAAUUCUAAGCCCAGCAAUGAAACUCUUCAACCAUACACCAUGCGAGGUAGCCUCAAAACAAGAAACGAACUCAGCCUCCAUAGUGGAAGUAGCAGUCAAAGUCUACUUGGCAUUUCUCCAUGACACGGCUCCGCCAGCUAAUAUAAAAAUGUAUCAAGAUGUUGAUUUUCGUGAAUCAAUGUAUCCCGCAAAGUCCGCAUCCGAAUAACCAACCACUUCCAGGUUGUCAGUCCGUUUAUACAUAAGCAUAUAGUCUUUGGUACCUUGAAGGUAUCUCAUCACUUUCUUUGCAGCUCUCUAGUGGUCUAAACCUGGAUUACUCUGAUAUCUUCCCAACAUUCCCACAGCAAAAGCGAUGUCAGGUCGAGUGCAAACCUGAGCAUACAUUAAGCUUCCAACAACAGAAGCAUAUGGAAUGUUGUGCAUUUGUUCCCUUUCUAGAUCGUUCUUCGGGUAUUGGUUCAAAUUGAACCUGUCACCCUUCACAAUGGGUGCUAUACUUGGUGAACAAUCUUUCAUCCGAAAUCUCUCUAGAACCUUAUUGAUAUAGGUUUCUUGAGAUAGUCCUAAAAUGCCUCGAGGUCCAUCUCUAUGGAUCUUAAUGCCAAUGACAUAAGAUGCCUCACCCAUAUCCUUCAUGUCAAAACUCCUAGAGAGAAAUUGUUUCACCUUAUGUAGCAACCACUUAUCAUUGGUUACAAGUAGUAUAUCAUCCACAUACAGUACAAGGAAACAAAUUUUGCUCACACUGACCUUCUGGUAUAUACAUUGAUCCAUGACAUUCUCUACAAAACCGAAUGAAGAGAUGACUUCAUGGAACCUUAAGUACCAUUGGCGGGAUGCUUGUUUCAAGCCAUAUAUAGAUUUCUUAAGUUUGCACACCAAAUGCUCACCUUUACUAGAGGAGAAUCCUUCAGGUUGUUUCAUGUAAACCUCCUUCUCUAGUUCUCCAUUGAGGAAUGCUGUUUUCACAUCCAUCUGAUGUAAUUCCAUAUCAAAAUGGGCAAUCAAAACCAAAACAAUACGAAGAGAAUCUUUCUUAGAUACAGGAGAAAAAGUCUCCGUGUAGUCGAUUCCUUCCUUUUGAGUGAAUCCUUUGGCAACAAGUCUAGCUUUAUAUCUUUCAAUGUUACCCAAUAAAUCAUUCUUAGUUUUGAAGACCCAUUUACAACCAAUGGCCUUCACACCAUUAGGUAACUCAACCAAAUCUUAAACUUUGUUAGAUGCCAUUGAACUCAUUUAUUCCUUCAUGGCAUUGUACCACAAAUUGGAUUUAUCACUAUCCAUGGCUUGUGAAAACGUUUUGGGAUCAUUCUCAGCUCUAAUAUUGUAGUCAAACUCUUGUAAAUACACAAUAUAAUCACUAGGAAUAGCCGAUUUCUUUAUUCUAGAAGAUCUUCUCAAUUUUGCAUCGACAUUCUCUUGAGGUGCGUGUUGCUUAACUAGUUGUUCAACAGUUUCUGGUAAUUAUUGAACAACUGGAUCUACUAGAUCAAUAUCAACAGGUUGUGGAACUUCAACGAUUGGUUGUUCAAUAGCCGGUUGAACUGAAUAGGCAUUAUAAGCAACGACCAACCCUAAACUUGAGGUGGGAGGAUGAAUGUCUGGAUGAUCUUUCUUAGGAACAAGGUCCUUCGAUUGAUCACUCCCACUAAUCAAGUCAUUUUCAAGAAAUUUAGCAUUUCUUGAUUCCACAAUCCUAGUAGUGUGAGAUGGACAAUAAAAUCUGUAUCCCUUAGACCUUUCGGCAUAUCCAAUGAAAUACCCACUUAUGGUCCUUGGGUCCAACUUCUUUUCUUGUGGAUUAUAAACUCUCACUUCAGACGGGCAUCCCCAAACGCGCACAUGAUGCAAACUCGGUUUCCAACAUUUAAAUAAUUCAAAAGGUGUCUUUGGGACAGCUUUGGUCGAAACUCGGUUUAAUAUGUACACUGCCGUCUUAAGUGCUUCAGUCCACAAAGAUUUAGGAAGUUUGGAGCUGCUAAGCAUGCUACGCACCAUGUCCAAUAAGGUCCGAUUUCUUCUUUCCGCUACGCCAUUUUGGUCCGGAGAACCAGGCAUAGUAUAUUGGGCAACUAUCCCAUGCUCUUGAAGAAACCUUGCAAAUGGACUAGGUGCUUGUCCAUCUUCAGUGUAUCUACCAUAGAAUUCUCCACCCCUAUCUGAUCUCACGAUCUUAAUUUGCUUAUCGCAUUGUUUCUCUACUUUCACCUUAAAUACCUUAAAGGCAUCUAAUGCUUCAUACUUAUUAUGAAUCAAAUAGAGAUACAUGUAACGUGAGUAAUCAUUUAUAAAAGAGAUGAAGUAUUUCUAACCACAAGAGUCCAUAUCCGAACUACAAAUAUCCCUGUGUAUGAUUUCUAAUAUUUCUGUACUCCUCUUGGCACCUUUUUUUGUCUUGUUAGUCUGAUUUCCCUUUAUGCAGUCCACACAAGUAUCACAAUCAGUAAAAUCUAAAGUACCGAGUACUCCAUCAUUUACUAAUCGCUUGACUCUUUCUAUGGAAAUAUGUCCCAAUCUCCGAUGCCACAACAUAGAGGAAUGUUCUUUCACAACACAUCGUUUUAUACCAACUUUAUCAUGAACAUGCAUCGCAUCAUAAUAGGCAUUGUCUUGUAAAUUAAUUCGAAAAAGACCAUCAGACAAAAUACUACUCCCAACAAUUUUAAAUUUAAAUGAUAAACAAAAGUUUGAAUCUGAAAAGUUAAAAAAGUAUCCCAAAGGUACAAGUCUUGAAACUGAAAUUAAGUUUCUAGAAAAACUAGGAACAUAAAAGGUCUUUUCCAAAUUUAAAACAAAACCACUAUUGAGAACUAGUCUAUAUGUCCCAAUAGCUUCUACAUGCGAACGCAUCUUAUUUCCUGAAUAGAUGCUUUGUUCACUUCCCACUGGCUUCCUGUGGUUUUGAAAACCCUACAAGGAAUUCGAAAUAUGGAUUGUAGAUCCAGAAUCAAUCCACCAAGUGUUGUGACUUACAUCAAUCAUAUUAGAUUCAUAACAAACACGAGAUUUGAUUACCUUUCUUCUCAAGCCAAGCCUUAAAUUUGACACAAUCCUUCCUUAUAUGCCCCUUCUGUUUAUAAAACAAGCAUUUGGAUUCUUUCUUAAUGUCAGCUUGGGGAGGUAUUUUACCUUUUCCCUUAUGCUUGCCAUAGCCCUUAUUCUUUCCUUGUAUUGUCAAAUGAGCCACUUUCUCCCAAUUCCAUAACCAGUCUUUCUUCGUCUUGAACACACAUGGUCAUGAGUUCAUUAAUAGACCAUUUAUUCUUAUGUGUGUUAUAAGAGAUCUUGAAAGGUGCGUAUUGUUGUGGGAAAGUGUUCAGAAUAUAAUACACAAGGAAGGAUUCAGAUAUCUCAACCUCAAGGUUCUUAAGCUGAGUUGCAAUGUUCCUCAUUUGCAUGAUGUGCUCACGCACACCUCUAACACUAGUGAGCUUCAAUGAUGAAAACUUCAUAAUCAGGGUCAUGGCAUGCGCCUUCUCAGAACUUUCAAAUUGCGCAUCUAUGGCCUCCAAUAAAGCCUUAGCAUUGCUAUGCUGAGCAACCGAACCACAAAUACUAGGAGAUAUCUGAGCUCUUAUAAACAUAGCACAAACAUGGUUGGACCGCUCCCAUUGGUUAUAAAGAGCUAUCUCAGCUAGAGUGCUCGAAUCAGUAGGAGCAGGUGGUUCGUCUUUCCUUAUAGUAUAGUCAAUGUCCAUCCACCCCAAUUGAAGAAGAACCGACUCCUUCCAAACUUUAUAGUUCUCACCAUUCAGUAUGGGAACAUCAAACUUAAAUUCAGAGAAAUUCACAUGUUGCGAAACUGCAUAUCAAAUAAUCAUACUUAUGUCACAAAAUUUGAGGCAAAUAUGUAUAAAUAAAUCAUAUUUUACCAAUGUAAACAUGUCACAAUAUGAAUCACAUAACAUAAAAACUUCAUGUGGGCUAAGUUUUUAAUUUAAAUAGAUUCAUAAUUACUUCAUGAAGAAACUACCAUAUUAUAUGCAUUUUCUUAAUCCCUAUGGGUAAAUUAAGAAAAAUAAUAUGAUAUUUCAUCCUAAUUAAUCAUAUUAAUAUAAUGAAAAUUCAUGUGGGAUAAAAUUCAUCAUAUUAAUAUAAUUAAUUACAAUCAAUGUCCGUUUUUAAAUAUGAUCCGGAGGCUUUUAAUAUAUAAUUUAAUUAAUUAAAGAUGUUGUGGCCACUCUCUAAUUAAUUAAUUAAUUAUAUUGACCAUUGGACAUUUAAUUUCACGCAUAAAAUAUUCAUAACAAUGCAUGAAAUGACAUAAUAUAUAAAUACAUCAAGGGCAUAACAGUAAAUAAAUAAAUUGGCCAAGGGCAAGAUUGCAAAAAACAAGAAAAUUUGAGGCAAAAGCGUAAAUAGAAGCCGCAUGGAGGAGACGCCAGGCACGCGCCUGUUCCCGCGGCAGGCGCGUGGUCCAUACGCGCGCGGUUCAGCGCGCGUGCGCGUGCAACACACACACCUAGCAACUGCCACGCUCGUGGAUCCCACGCACGCAACGGUUGAGCGCCCGUGAGAGCGCGUGGCGCGUGGAUUCCACGCCCCUGCAACCGCAGUGCGCGCGUAGGCUCCACGUGCCUUCUUCCUCACACGAACAGAAGCUUUUCUUCGCCAUUCCGCCGCGGUUUCGCCGGCUAUUUCUUCUCCGGCCGGCCAUUUCUUCUCCAGCAGCCCAUCUCAGACAGAAAUAAAUAAUGAGUUUUGAAGAGCAUGCCGGAAAAAUCACACGGGUCCAAGUUUCGGUGAAAAUGAGCAAAAAUUGGCCCCAAAAUCAUACGAAAAUUUCCUAAAACACAAUUCCUUCAACCACUGCGACUUCCACCGCCCGAUUAGCCUCCGGCGAUCACCGAUAUGCCGAAAUAACUCAUGACUAAUAUUCCUCAUGGCGGUGCGACCGUGCGGGUCCGAAAUCAUGGGGUGGGUCGCCGGAAUUUGCUUGGAAUUUGGGAGUUUCUCUGUUGGCCUCAAAACUCCGAAUUACUGUUCAUGUUCAAAAUGCCCAAAAAACACACCAAAAAUUCGAGAAAAACAAGGCAGAGGCACUAGACAUGCUCUGAUACCAAAUGUAAGACAAAAUAAUUCAUAUGCAGAAGCCAGGAUCAAUUAAAGACAAACCUCCCGCCAUUGUUUUGUUCACGUUCGUAAAAAAACCUGAAAUCAAAGAAAAUUGAGGACACUCUACUACCCAAUUCACUCUCGUACUGAUGGUGUAUUCUGAAUGAGAGAGUUUGAGUUAGACAUUGUCAUCAUCUGUCAGAAAUGAACGUACUUUCCUAUUUAUACAUUGUCUCCCAUCAAGACUGGCGGUUGUCACCAAAGGGUACGAAGCGUGGAAAACUUUAUGUCGAACAGUCGCAACCUUUAGAGAAAAUAAACGUGGGAUCACAAAAAUAAAUAACAAUGCCCACUCAAGCUGAGGUGGAGGCUGAAGAAGAGAGCAGCGAAGCCAACGAUCAAUUUUCCACGGGGCCUUUACUCUUACCAGGAUUUUUCGAGUAUAUGGAACAGUUAAACUUCAGCCAACAGGUGCAAAAUUGCCAUGGUAUGUCCAUGUAAAGUUUUUAUACAUUCAUCCAGGCGCGAAGAAAGGAAAAAUCAUUAUAUUUUUCAGAUUAGUAACUCUCUCUAUAAUAACUCAAAUUCAUCUGCUUCCCUAUCAUAUCGAUUCCAAAUUACAGUUGUAUCAUUGUAUAUUCUAUAUGUCCCAUAUCGUUAUCUUUUUACCGCAUGGUUUAUUUCAUCAAAAUAUUUACUUAUGAGCAUAUGUUGAUUUUCGCCGUAAAUAUUUGUUUUUUAAUCAAGUUCUAGACAUUCGUUUUACCUGUACCCAUGGCUUGAUUUAAAAGUCCCAUUGUUGAUUUAUUUUACGCUCAACUUUUUUAGUGCAACCAGUUUUGGUGCCCCCUCAACAUCAAAAUGCUCCACAUCAAUCCAAGACAAGGAAUGUGCUUCAGAAUCCAACUGCACAAUCAUCAACAGCUCUAAGGGAUAUGGAUUUACGUAUCCUAUCAUCAUCACAAGCUUCAGAUGUUGCUCCACAGUGGCCGACCGAUGUUUCAAACUUCAACCAACAGGGAUAUCAAUGGGCCAAACUCUGGCCAACAAUCACAAGCAGAGCGUCAGUUUCCUCAGAGUUCAACAAUGCCGUCACUGGCACAAAAUCGCCAUGGUAUGUUAAUGUGAAGUAUCUAUACAUUCAUCUCGGCGGGGAGAAAAACAUCUAUUAUAUUUUUCAACGCAAACAUGUUGGAUUUUUUAACCGAAGUGGUAACUUUUAAAUAUCUCCGAUAAACAUGCUUUUUCCACACAACUGUUCAAAUAUGAAGAGAGUCAAUAACCUAUUCCUUAAUAACCAUACAUCCAAUGUGUUACACGUGGCCACUGGACCCACUGGAUCCAGUAAACUAACUACAAUAAGCAUUCUCCCGUGUUCCAAUCAACCAUAUCCUAACUUUGAUGAACAAAACACAGGUGAAAGUUCCACGAUGGCUUUAGUGGAAGCGGAAUUGUAUUUUCAUGAUCUGUUAGAUUAGUCACAAUGUUACUUUCAAUCUCAAAUGCAAAUGAUUGCCCAUCAGACUCCAGCAGGGGCGUCAUCAUUCCAGGAUGAUCAAUUACCUACUGUAGAUAAUUCAAAUUGCUUGCCGGAUUGCAAUCAGCACUCUCAAUUGCAAACUUUAAUGGACAUAGAUCCCUCAAUUGCACCACAGCAUACAAGUGACUCACACAUUAUUGAGGCAACAACGGUUGAAUCUCAAGUUUCAGAGGCGGCAACAAAUGCAACAGGCCCAUCGUCAUCACAAGGUGUGUUUGGAUUAAUCUUCAUUGUUACUAUAUGGUUCCACUAGACUCUUAAAUAUCCCCAAAUUAUUUUAUCGAAAUCUAACAUAUGUUUUUUUUGUAAAUUAGAUAUGAAUAGGGGUUCUCCAGUCAUGGACGUACGGAGCAUCUAUGCCAACGAUGAAGAGAUAAGAAACCUGAAAAGAAAAGUGGAAGAACUUGACGACAAAAAAGCUGUCAUAAAGGAGCAGAUGGAGAUAGAGUCUGCUGCUUCCUCUGUUCGGAAGAAGCCGAGGAUAUUGGUUGAGAGAUGACUGAAAGAGACAGAAAGAGCAAGAAAUAAUUUCCAAAUAAUUGGCCAAGCCAAUGUGGAAACUUUGCCACCAAAGGAACAGGUGGAGACAUUGACGAGAGAAGUGGAAGAACUCAUAGGAAAAAUGCUUCCACAAACACUACUCAUAGAGGAGAGAGAUGCCAAAGGAGUCAAAUUUUUUGAACGAAAGCUAACAGGUGAAGUGAUUCAUAGGAACAUUAAGUUGAUUUGGGAUUGUCUGAAGGAAAAUCAUGUAUGCAAAUUGGGUAUUUAUGGAAUGGGUGGUGUUGGGAAGACAACUAUUAUGAUGCACAUACAUAAUAGACUUCUCAAUGAUGCAACCUUCGAUGGUGUGGUUUUUAUCACUGUGUCCAAAGAUUUCAGCAUUUAUAAGUUGCAGAGUGAUAUUGGGGAGGCAUUAAAAUGUGGCAUUAAGGAGGUUGAGGAUGAGAAGAAAUGAGCAGCGAUGUUGUUGGAGCAUUUAGAAAGAAAGAAGAAUUGUGUAUUGAUUCUUGAUGAUGUGUGGGAACAUCUUGAUCUUGAAGAGUUGGGAAUCCCUAUUAGAGCACAUGGAUUUGAGUUCAUCUUAACCACUCGAUCCUUUGAUGUGUGCUGCCAAAUGCAAUAUCAAGAAAAGAUCAAAAUCAAGCCUCUAUCUCAAGAAGAAGCCGAGAGUUUGUUUUUGGAGGAGCUUGGACCCGAAAUGCCACUUAAUUUGGAAAUUGAAGCAAUUGUGAAGUCCAUUGUUAAAGAAUGUGCAGGCUUGCCGAUUGGAGUAAUCACGAUGGCGAGAAGCAUGCGAGGAGUGACCGAAGUGUUUGAAUGGAGGGAUUCCUUGGUGAAAUUGAAAGAAUCGACUAUUAGACAAACAUAUAUGGAAGGUUUUAAGAAUUUUGAAAUUUAGUUAUGAUUGCCUUGGUAAUUCUAAUGUCCAACAAUGUUUCUUAUCUUAUGCACUUUAUCCAAAUGAUGGAUUAAUUGGUGGAUUGAGUACGAGUAAUGAACAAUAUGAUAGAGGGCUCACCAUAUUGAACAAAAUGAGAAAUGUUUGCCUAUUGGAAGGUCAGCACAAGAGAGGGAUGUGGAUGAAGAUGCAUGAUUUGAUUAGAGACAUGGCAUUGCAUAUCAUGGGUGUGACUUUCAUUGUAAAAGCAAGAAAGCAAUUGAUGAGGAUUCCAUCCGAAGAAUAUUGGACUGAUGCUUUGGAGAAAGUUUCUCUAAUGAAUAAUAACAUUAAAGAUUUUCCAUUGGACAUGUCGCCAAAUUGCCCUAACCUAUCAACUCUUCUAUUAAAAAAUGGCUUGUCGCAUGAUGCGGUCAUCCCUGAUUCUUUCUUCAAAAAUUUAUGCGGGCUAAAGGUUCUAGAUUUGAGUGGAAAUGAUAUGACAAAACUUCCAAAUUCCAUCUCAAACUUGGUAAACUUGAGAGCACUAUUGCUCAGACAUUGUCAGGAAUUGCGCCGUGUUCCUUAUCUAGGAAAGCUCACAUCUUUAAGAAAGUUGGGCGCUGAAUACUGUAGGAGUCUUGAAGUGCUUGAGGGUUUGGAAAAGUUGGUGAACUUGAGAUACCUUAACCUAACUGGAACACAUAUUGAGAGAUUGCCCAAGGGAAUGUUGGACCAUUUAUUACACUUGCAAUAUCUUAAAUUUUCGGUGGUAAAUGAAGAAGACAUUACGAAAUUGGGGGCAUUGAAGACAUUUGGAUGCUACCUUAAAAAUGUGGAUGAUUUCAACAAGUGUGUGAAGGCUAUUGAGCAUAGUAAUAACCCUCGCUAUUACGACCUCAAAGUGGAUCGAGAAAAACCAGAGUUUAUUGCGAAAGUAAGCGAUGAUACUCAAUUUGGGAAUUUGAGGAGGAGAGUCAUCAUUUGGGAUUGGAGUCAUGCCAUUUUGAGCGUGGGAGGCGAUUGCACCAGCAUUUUUAUUUUGAUUCCCCAAGAUGCGCAGAUAAUGAUAAUGAGAAAAUACGACGGUAUAACAAAUUUGUCUGGCAUGCGUCUGCUUGAAUACCUUGAGGAGCUAAAUAUAGAAGAAUGGGAAAACUUAGAGGUGCUCUAUGGAGGACAAGACAAAGAAGUAAUCGUCAUCCAUGACUCCCUUACCCCAACCCCUACCUUUCCGCUCUUCCCCAACCUUAGGGUUUUGCGAAUAGAAAAAUGUACGAAAUUGAAGUAUCUCUUUGGGCAUGGGUCUAAAACCAACCUUCCGCAUCUACGAGACAUUCUAAUAUAUGGAUGUGAGGAAAUGGUGGGGAUAAUAGCAGCAGUUACAUCCCCACCACCACAUCCGCUCCCAUUUUUCCCUAGUCUGGAACAGAUUACUAUUGAAAAAUGUAAUAACAUGAAGAGAGUGGUGGAAUCUGAGUGGAUGCCCCACUUCCCUAAUCUAAGAAGAAUCUAAGUAUUCAAAUGUGAGAAGAUGGAGGAGAUAAUCGAAGGUCGUCCCCCAUACUUGCCAGUUGAAGGCAUUUCUCUCGAAUCUCUUACGGUAAUAGAUUGCGGUAACAUGAGAAAGCUGCUUCCGCAUGAGUGGCUGCUCCAUCUUCGAAAACUUCGAAAGAUCAUGGUCUCAUCGUGCAAUGGAAUGGUGGAGAUGAUAAGUGGAGCGGGACAAGGUCAAGAAGGAAGCUUAACGACUCCCUGUAAACAACACCCCUUCAUCCUUCCAGCCUUCUUCAAUUUCUCCCCCAAAGCUGGAGUGGUUGGGACUACUCAAUCUACCCCAGCUGAAGAGCAUAUGCGAAGUCCCAAUAAGCUGCGAUUCCAUGAAAAAUUUGACGGUGUACGGAUGCCAAGAACUGAAGAGGAUUCCUUUGCAACUGCGAUUGUGUGAAAUUGAGGAGCUUCCACAUAUUUGGGUGGAAGAUGAGGAAAAGUGGAAGACGCUAAUUUGGGAUCAUCCCAAUGCUCAGGCUACUCUUAAACCUUAUCUCCUAAAAGGGAAUCACACUAAUAGAGAAAGUCCUUUAUUUUGGGAGGGACCGAGUCCUCCAAGUGCUAUAGGUUAAUGAGUUUAAUCGAUAUACAAUUGCUUCACUUCUUAAAAGUCCUUAUAAAGAUGUAGCUUCUCUGUCUAUAUAGUCAUGCAGCUCUAAUAGUGGCCUUUUGCAGAACUGUCCACCAAGGGAGAGGAUCUCUAGUGACUCUGCUCUUGAAGAAAGCCCUACUGCUCGACCAUGCUUUCCUGCAAACUCGACUCAGGUUGUCAUAUAAUUUGACUUUUUUCGUGUAUAUUUUGAAUGUGUUCGCAUGUUUUAUUGACUAUUGGAAAUGAGUCAAUCUGGUCGAUAUUUCAGGUUAGUCAAAAAACAACGGAUCUGAAGAUUUAGGAAGCUAAGGGACGAGCAAAGCCUGUUUCCUAUCUUGUCUUAUAACCGAAAGGACAAUUUAUUAUUAUGGAUUGAUCUUCCUAGAAUAUUAGCCUUCUAAGAAAAGAGAGAAUUUUGGGCAGCACUACCUUUUAAUAUGCUUGUGUUUAGAAAGGAUUUCAAAUAUGAUAUUGCUAUAACUUGUCGAUCAAAAAUGUUGUGCCACAUAUGCUGCUUUGCUCUCUUGGAUCAGAGCAACAUGACUCUGAUUAAACUUGUUUCGACAUUAAACUAUCGGAUAUAGAAUACUUGAUCUGCUUAGUAGUUGUAUCAUAUCUGGAAACGUAGGCUGGAAAGUUUUCUUUUCACCCUUUGUUGUAAAAUUUCACCUCAACCCCACUUUGAGUUAUAAAAUAAAAAUCCAUCACCCCUCUUUUGAUUCCUUGAAGUCGUAAAUAGAUGGAGAACCCUACAGCUUCAGCUUAAGUUGCCAAAAGAUUAGAGCAGUUACCACUAGCAAGUUAGUGGUGAAAAGGCCAACUUAUUGGACAUGGCACUUUCGGAAAUGUUUACAUUGCAAGCAACAGGUUAGCUAGCUCUGGUAAACUUUGACAUGUUCCAAUUUUCUAGAUAUCCAGUCAGCUAAACUUUGACCUAUUAGGUGACAGAGAAACCAGAUCUUUAUGUGCAUUGAAGGAGUUUGAGCUAUUGCCUAAUGAUCCAAAUUCAGCUGAGUGCAUGGGGCAGUUAAAGCAGGUAAUGUCUUUGUUAUGCUCCGGGAUCCAAUCUAUUCUCUCAUCUGAUCUAAAUAUGCUGGGAGGAAAUUUUUUUUUAUCAUUUCUAGGUAAUUGAUUGCUUUGCUACUACAGGAAAUUCAAGUACUUAGCCAGCUUAGACAUCCAAACAUUCUGCAGUAUUAUGGCAGUUAAAUUGUGAGUCACCUUUCCACGGCAUCUACACGACCCAGAUCAAUGGGCAUUCAUAAUUUUACUUACCGAAAUUCCAACAUAUUCAUACAUACUUAGGUUGAGGAUCAACUUAAAAUAUAUCUAGAAUAUGCACAUCACGGUUCGAUAGACAAGUAUAUUCAGGAGCAUCUUAGGACCCUAACAGAAUCGGUUGUUCACACUUUUACCCUCCAUAUUGUGGCUGGAUUGGCUUCCCUGCAUCUUAACAACUCCAUACAUGGGUAAUUCUAAACCAUUGAUCAAGUAUCAUGAGAUGACUUGCAUACUAGAUUAGGAUGAUUGGACCUUCUUCUUUGUCCCUAUAGACCUGUUAAAACUCUUUGGCUUGCGCAGGGAUUUAAAGGGAGCUAAUUUAUUUGUGGAUGCAUAUGGGAUAGUUAAACUUGCUGACUUUGGGAUUGCUAAACAUGUGAGUUUCCACCUCUUCACUGCAAGACUACUGAGUGCAUGUAGAAAUUCCUUGUUGAUCUAUGGUGCAUUCGAAUGUUAAGUCAGGAACCCAGGGUGACUGCAUACUUCUCAUUAAUGGUUUGUGGCAUUUCAUAUAUGCAAAAAUCCAUUAUAGAUGGAUGAAAUGUUAUUGAGUAAUUUUCUUCACUUUUUUUCCCAUUGUUUCGGGUAAAGUUACUAUGUUGCAUAAACUAGAAAAGAUUUCUUGUUAUAAAUAGAUGCUGAAACCUACUGAGAGUUCUUUCCUUUUCUACUGGUUUCUAAAAAGUUCCUAAGAGAGGUAGUGAAUAAAACGCAAUACCUUUGGCGAAAGGUUGUGGUUUUGUUUUUGCUGCUUCUCUGCAUUCCCAAAGAAGGAUAGAAUUUAGUUAGAGUAAAGAAAGGCCUCCUUCCUAACAUGGGGUUAAUAAAAGUGUAUUGGUCCAUAGAACGGAAUUCUAGACAAUAGCCACGGUACUGUUGGUCUCUUUUUUGAGUUCUCAAACAUUUGCUGAGACCAUGUUGUUGAUUGCUUCAUGGUCAUUUUUCUCAGUAAUGAGCUAACAUAAGUUGAAAGUGGUUGAUUUAGUUAUCAAUCUGAUGUAUUUAUAUCUAUAAAGAUGUUGCUAUUUUAUCCAGUGUUCCAUGAACACACUAGGUAGUCUUCGACUCUACUAAUCUCUUACCAUUUCUUAGCUAACCGGACAAGCAGCUUCUUGCUCUUUGAAGGAAGUCUAAACUGGAUGGUUCCCGAGGUACUCUGCUUUGGUGAAUGUUAACGCUGCAUUCUUUUUUUGUCGUGACGGAAUGAUGGAAUAAUAUAUCCAGCAGCUCAUACAAUCCUUGAUGGCAAAUAAUUACAGCACAGAUCUCGAUUGUAUUGUCGACUUGUGGAGUUUGGGAUGUACUAUUACCGAAAUGAUAAUUGGCAAACCUCCUUGGAGUGAGUAUGAGUGGGUAGGUACGCUGCAUUGCUUUUUCAUUUUCUCUGUUUGUCCCUCCAAGUAAUACGCUUCCAACCAAAUCUGCAUCGUCGUCUGGAAGAGAUUAUUGUUUGGGACUGUGGUAAAAUGAAGAGAGCAGUGGAAUCUGAGUGGAUGCCCCACUUCCCUACUCUGAGAAGAAUCACAGUAUAUGAAUGUGAGAAGAUGGAGGAGAUAAUCGAAGGUCCUUUCUCAUACGUGCCAGUUGAAGAGAUUUCUCUUGAAUCUCUUGAAUCUCUUGAAGUAGCAAAUUGCAAUAACAUGAGAAAGCUGUUUCCGCAUGAGUGGCUGCUCCAUCUUCGAAAUCUUCAAAGGAUCGAGGUCGAUUAUUGCAAAGGAAUGGUGGAGAUGAUAAGCGGAGCCAGACAAGGCCAAGAAGGAAGCACGGUGACUCCUGUAAAUAACACCCCUUCAUCCUUCCAGCCUCCUAUUUCUCUCCCAAAGCUGAAGUUCUUGGGUCUAUGGUCUUUGCCCCAGUUGGAGAGCAUAUGCGAAGUCCCAAUAAGCUGCGAUUCCAUGAAAGAAUUGACAGUGUCCGGAUGCCCAGAACUGAAGAGGAUUCCUUUGCAACUGCGAUUGCGUGAAAUUGAGGAGCUUCCGCGUUUAUGGGUGGAAGAUGAGGAGCAGUGGAAGACGCUGAUGUGGGAUCAUCUCGAUGCUCUGGCUAUUCUUCAACCUUAUCUCCAAAAAUGGAAAUACGCUGUAAGUAAUGAGUUAAUUGUAUACGAUUGCUUCACUUCUUAAAAGUCUUUACAAAGAUGUAGCUUUUCUGUCUAUAUAGUCAUGCAGCUCUAACAGUGGCCUUUUGCAGAACUGGACGCCAGGAGAAAGGAUCUCCCUUGGCACUGCUCUUGAAGAAAGCCCUGCUGCUCGACCAUGCUUUCCUGCAAACUCGACUCAGGUUGCCAUAUGAAUUGACUUUUUUCGUGUGGCCAUGCUUUGUGUAUUUUCAAUGCGAUUGCAUGUUUUAUUGACUACUGGAAAUUAGUCAGUUUGGUCGAUAUUUCAGGUUAGUCAAAAAACAACGGAUCUGAAUAUUUGGGAAGCCAAGGGACUAGCAGAGGUCUGUUUCCUAUCUUGUCUUAUAACCGAAAUGAAAAUUUACUAUUAUUAAUUUAUCUUCAUGGAAUAUUAGCCUUCUAAGAAAAGAGAGAAUUUUGGGCAACACUACCUUUAAUUUGUUUGUGUUUAGAAAGGAUUUUAGAUAUGAUAUUGCUCAAACCUGUCGAUCCAAACUGUUGUGCGAUAUACGCUGCUUCGCUCUUUUGGAUCAGAGCAACAAGACCUCGAUUGAACUUGUUUCGACAUUAAACUGUUGGGUAGAGAAUACUUGAUCUGCUUAGUAGUUGUAUCAUCUCUGGAAAUGUAGGCUGGGAAGUUUUCUUUUCACCCUUUGUUGUAAAAAUUCACCUUAGCCCCACUUUGAGUUAAGAUGUAAGAAGAUGAAGAAGAAAGAAUUGCACAGCUAUCAACCCUCUUUUAAUGCCUCUAAGUCGUGGAUAGAUGGAGAACCCUACAACUUCAGCUCAGGUUGUCGAAAGAUCAAGCAGUUACCACUAGCAAGUCAAUGGCAAAGAGGCCAGCUUAUUGGAUGUGGCACUUUCGGAAAUGUUUACAUUGCAAGCAACUAGUAAGUUAUCUUUGGGAAACUUUGACAAGUUCCAUUUUUUUUCGAUAUCCAGUCGGCUAAACUUUGACAUAUUAAGUGACAGAGAAACCAUAUCUCUAGGUGCAUGGAAGGAGCUUGAGCUAUUGCCUAAUGAUCCAAAUUUAGCUCAGUGCAUGAGGCAGUUAAAGCGGGUAAUGUUUUUAUUAUGCUCUAGGAUCCAAUCUAUCCUCUCAUCUGAUUUAAAUAUGCUGGGAGGAAACUUUCUUUCAUCAUUUCCAAGUAAUUGAUUGCUUUGCUACUACAGGAAAUUCAGGUACUUAGCCAGCUUAGACAUUCGAACAUUAUACAGUAUUAAGGCAGUGAAAUUGUGAGUCACCUUUCCACGGCGUCUACGCAUCCCAGCUCAAUGGUCAUUCAUUAUUUGACUCACCAAAAUUUCAACAUUUUAUACAUACUCAGGUUGAGGAUCAUCUCAACAUAUAUCUAGAAUAUGAACAUCAUGGUUCAAUAGACAAGAAUAUCUAGGAGCGUCUUGGGACCCUAACAGAAUUAGUUGUUGCACUUUUACUCGCCACAUUGUUACAAAAUUGGCUUCCCUGCAUGUUGACAACUCCAUAUAUGGGUAAUUCUAAACCAUUGAUCAAGCAUCAUGAGAUGACUUGCGUAUUGGAAUAGGAUGAUUGGACCUUCUUCUUUGUGCUUACAGACCUGUUAAAACUCUCUGACUUGCGCAGGGUUUAGAGGGAGCUAACUUAUUUGUGAAUGCAUCUGGGAUAUUCGAACUUGCUGACUUUGGGAUUGCUAAACAUGUGAGUUUCCACCUCUUCACUACAAGACUACUGAGUGCAUGUUGAAAUUCCUUGCUGAUCUGUGGUGCAUUCAACUGUGUACUUCUCAUUAUUGGUUUGUGGCAUAUCAUAUGUGCAAAAAUCUAUCGUAGAUGGAUGAAAUGUUAUUGAGUAAUUUUCUUCACUUGUUUUCCCAUUGUUUUGGUUAAAGUUACUAUGUUGCAUAUAUGGGAAAAGAUUUCUUGCUAUAAAUAGAUGUCGGAACCUAAUGAGAGUUCUUUCCUUUUCUACUGAUUUUUAAAAAGUUCCUAAGAGCGGUAGUGAAUUUGUAAUACCUUUGCCAAAAGGUUGUGGUGUUGUUUUUGCUGCUCCUCUGCAUUCCAAAAGAAGGAUCAAAUUUAGUCAGAGUAAAGAAGGGCCUCCUUCCUAACAUGGGGUAAAUAAAAGUGUAUGGGUCCAUAGAACGAAAUUCUGAACUAUAGUCAAGAUAUUGUUACACUCUUUUUGAGUUCUCAAGCAGCAUUGGCUGAAGUCAUGUUGUUGAUUGCUUCAUGGUCUUUUUUACUAAGUAAUGAGCUAACAUAAGUUGAAAGUGGUUGAUUCAGUUAUCGAUCUGAUGUAUCUAUGUCUAUAAAGAUGUUGCUAUUUUAUCCAGUGUUCCAUGAACACACCAAGUAGUCUUUGGCUUUAAUAAUGCCAUACCAUUUCUUAGCUAACCGGACAAGCAACUUACCGCCCUUUGAAUGGAAGUCUAAACUGGAUGGCUCCAGAGGUACUCUGCUUUUGUGAACGUUAAUGCUACAUUCCUUUUUUUGUCGUGGCAGAAUGAUGGAAUAAUAUAUCUUGCAGCUCAUGCAAUCCUUGAUGGCGAAUAAUUACAGCACAGAUCUCGAUCAUUCUGCCAACAUGUGGAGUUUGGGACGUACUAUUAUUGAAAUGAUAACUGGGAAACCUCCUUGGAGUGAGUAUGAGUAAGUACGCCGCAUUGCCUUUUCAUUUUCUCUGUUUGUCCUUCCAUGUAACACGCUUCCAACCAAAUCUGCGUUGCCGUUUUCUGUGGGAAGUUCAGGGUCGUGUACAUCGCCAUUUGGUAUGUGAUCUGUGUCAUGCGUUUCUGUUUAAGGUUGAAUCAUUAAUGUAGGCUCAAGCUACAUUUAAGGUGAUUUGAAGUUCUCUAGCAAUACCUGAGACGUUAUCUGCCGAGGGAAAGGAUUUCCUGCAAUGCUGCUUUCGAAGACAGUCUGUCGAGAGGCCUUCAGCUGCUAUGCUACUUGAGCAUGCUUUCCUGCAAAUCUGAAGUUGCAGAUGACUGACCUAUUUCAAGUGCCAUAUGUUGUCACAAAAGGGUUGUUGUCCUGUAAAGUUCCAUAUUGACUAAACCAGAAGGAUCACACGGUCCAUAGAUGUGAUAAAGUACUUGUAUAUCGACAAAAUAAGACGGAUGUUCCUCUUGCAUGGUCUGACUAGCGGCAUACUGAUCUAGGCAAUUUAACAGUGUUGCUUAAUCUAAACCUUUUAGUGUAGAGUGCAUUCUUAUCAUAAACAUUUUGUGCGAAGUACAUUUAUUCAUCAAAAUUGAAUGGUAUUGAUUUGGCUCCAAAUAAGCAACAGAUCAGUGAAACAAAAGCAGGUAAACCCAGAAAAGAGGAGAAAAAGAAAAUCGAAGCGAUAGUGCAUCAGAAUUCCUGAACUAAUUUUGAAAGCAAAUACUUUGUCGGUUUGGUGGGAGGAACAUUGGCAGGUUUGGCAAACCUGCAGUGUCUUAGGAUUGCAUUAGAGGCUCUUGAUUCUUCCCUUCAACAAAUACAUGAGAUUUUCUCCGACCAGAGUGGCCCUCAUCACUAUCACCAAAUUCCGGUGAAUCAAGAAAAGCCAUCGUGGUCUGUCUCUGAAUUUAAAUGAUGAUGAGGAUCCAAGAUUUAUAACUUCCGAGAGGAGAAUCAACGUUAAUUGUUGUGAUUAUGCUCUUGUCAGGGCAGUGAGGGGAAAGUCUUUCCCCUAUUGGUUUUGCUCCCAAGUGAUGCUGCAAGUUUACUGUAUUUUCCCCUUAUGGUUGUUUGUCAUUUCGUGGACCAUUUUUAGAAUAACUUUGCAUCUCCUCUCUAUAAAAUACAAACAACUGAUGAAAUCUGUUGAAAAUAUCUCACACCGGUCUUUUACAAGAUUUUAAUGGGCCUUACAUUCAUAUAAUUUACCUUCACUUGUUCAAAUUUUUAGGUUGGACUUUCUCUUAUGUGCAAAUAGCAAUUUCUGCUUGAAAUGAAGAGUAAACAUGCUUCCCUUUUUUAACUAUUUUUUCUACGAUUAAAGUGAUUCCUCUACCCUAUACUAGAAAUAUAUAAAGUGUCACAGAAAAAGAAACUCCUCGAAAUUUUGUAAAGUCGGAGGCGCAGCUCAGAUUGAGCUAUGACUCUCAACUGCAUUAAAUUCUCUCUUCAUUUUCGUCUUCUUUUGUUCUUUUCCUCAAUUUUUAGCCAACAUCCUAACCAUAAGGCGCCUUUUCUCUUUUGUCCCUUAUCUCUCCCCCUUUUCUUCGUACACCUCACUCUUCUUUUCCUGCCUCUUUUUUUUUUGGUUCUCUGCCCGAACCCUUAACGAAGACAACUAAUUGGUAUUUAGUUUUCCAAAGUGUAGCAUUAUUGAGCACCAUCAUCGACCAUCAAGUUCGCUAAACUCAACCAUCAAUUAACUAACUAUUCUUGUUUAACAGGCCAGGCCAACGCUCGCUUGGGCAAGGGCGAGCCCCGGUGAGGGCUCCCAUUAUUUAAAAAUAUUUAAAAAUUAUUAAAAAAUUAUUAAAAAUGAUCUACGUCAGCGCCAGCGGUCCUACGUGGCACCACCAAUGUCCACAUCAGCAUUUUUCGGCCAAAAUUGACCAGAUGGACUGAAUUGGCAAUAAGUGAAAACGUUUAAGACUGAAUUGGCAAAAUUAAAAAUGCAAUAGGUUUAGGACUUUUUGGACAAUUUUCCCGAAAUAAUUGCGAUACCAAAUGCUAAAGGGCAAGACGGGAGACUUUUAUACGAAGUGAAUGGAAGCAAAGGUGCUUCUGAAAAGGGCAUUUUCAGAAGGAAAAGUGCUUGUGCAGCUAAGGGGGGAAAGAGGGGAGUCUUAUAAGAACUGAGGUAAAAGUGCUUGCAAAAAGGACAUUUUCGGAAAAAAAAAAAGUGCUGGUCAUAAGAGCUUUAUAAAUAGUGAUAUGGCUUCUUAUAAAACGUUUUAUACGAAGUCGGAAAAGUUUUGUAAGAAGUGACGUGGCUUCCUCUAUAAGGGCAAGGCAGGAGACUUUUAUAAGAAGUCAAUGAAAGCGAAAGUGCUUCCGAGAAGGGCAUUUCGGCAGGAACAGUGCCUGUGCAGCUAAGGGGGAGACAGGAAAGUUCUAUAAGAACUGAGGCAAAAGGGCUUCCAAAAACAGCAUUUUCGGAAGAAAAAGUGCCGGUCAUGAGAGCUUUAUAAAUAGUUACGUGGCUUCUUAUAGAACGUUUCAUACGAAGUCGGGAAUGUUUUGUAGCGGCUGACUUCGUAUAAAACGUUUGACUUCGUAUAAAACGUUUAAAUGUUUUAUACGAAGUCAGGAAAUUUUUGUAAGUGACGCGGCUUCUUUCUCAUGAAAAGCCCCCAGAGGACGCCGUUCUUCUUUUAAAACUCUCCUGGCCAGCACAUUUUUUUCAAUUCACUUCUUAUAAAACUCUUGUCUCGCCCCUUAGCAUUUGGCACCGCAUUUCUCUCACAAAACAAUUCACUCAUGGGGAAUGUUUUUACGCGCCAUUGUGAAGACGCGAUCAUUCCUGAAGCUGAAGCUGUGGUUAUAUCUGGUAAUUUUCUCUUCUUCAUCUUCUUCAUCUGUGAUUCACGGUCACCCAUAGACGUUUGAGUUGAGUUUGAUUCUUAUGUUAAAAUUUACGUCCUUCAUUUCCUUGAGAUUCAAUUGUUUCGCUUAGAAAGUUUGUCAACUAGAUAAGGGCUGGUGAUGAUGUGUUUAAUGCACUUUUGUAGGUCAGAUUUGGCGAUUAUGUGUUUGUUUUUCUCACUUUUAAGCUUCUAAAGUACAGAGAACUAGUCUUUUGAUAGUUACAAAAAGUACAGAGAAGUAGUCUUGUAAAGGUUGAUCCACUGGUAGAAUUGUGUGGCAAUCAUUAUGAGACCGUGAUGUAAUGCCUCUUUAUUUUUCUAAUCCAUAGAUCUAUUUCCCAUGUCUACCAUUCGUAAUGAAGAAGAGGGCAGUGAAGAAGUUGAAUUACAUGAUGAAUUUGCCAUCAUCAAUGUCCCCAUUCAAGGUGGAGAUGGCAAUACCAUACCCAGUGAAGAAGAGGGCGGUCAAGAAGUUGAAUUACACGAUGAAUUGAUUGCCGUCAUUAUCCCCAUUCAGGGUGGAGAUGGCAAUACCAUACCUAGUGAAGAAGAGGACGGUCAAGAAGUUGAAUUACACGAUGAAUUGAUCGCUGUUGUUGUCCCCAUUCUGGAUGGUGAUGGCAAUGGUGACGGCCAUAUUGAGGAUGGCGACAACAAUGUUGGUGAGCAUGAAGUGGAGCAAGAGGUGCAGGAGGUGGAGAAUGAGCAGGACGGCGGCGAGGGGGCUGGUGUGGGGGUUGUUGUUGGUCCUGCCGUUGCUGGUAAUAGAGCUGGCUUUAUUGUUCUGGCAACGGUGCUAGUGGGGGCGCUCGUCUUGUGGAAGAUGCGGCUGAUAACACUGUUAGAGUUGCUUUUGAUGGUGGUGGUAGUAUUGGCAGUAGCCUUGCUCCUUGGGCGCAUGGAUUGGCUAAACUUGAUAUGGAUCUUAAUCCUAAGACUCAAUAUUAUCCUAGUAUGAUGGAGAGAUUGACGCGUGGAUUGCCACGUGAGAUGUCUAGGUGGACUUCUUUGGAUGAUUUUCAGUAGAACAUUUUUGUUGCAGGAACCUCUGUUUGUAUCCUUAUUUCAUCAUGUAUACAUUUGUAUCAUUACUGGUUAUGUUGUCAAUGUACUUGGAAGGAAUAAACAUAUUCAUAGUUUAUUAACAGCUGAUUGUUCUCCUAUUGGUAUAAUUUAAGUACGCAUACGUAAGGAAUGGAGUAAGUACGGCCAUAACGAUUAUUCUCUAAUUUUAUGCGAGACUUAGAUAAAUUAGCCUCCCUAUACCAUAAAACCCGGUGGCAAUUUGAUGAACCGUCAUGUUUUCUUAGGAUUAGUAUGUGCACAAGUAGUUACGGAAUCUUAACUUUCACGUAAGAGGAUGGUCAGUAAGCUUUUCUUUGCCCAUGAGCUUAGCUCUCCUUUUUAUAUUCAGCUGGACUCAUCAAUGACAGAGGGUCAUUUGAUUCAAUCUUCUAUGUGAUGUUGAUGCAUAUAUGAUUACAUAUAAAUAGACGUGACAAAUGAGUGGACUGAAUUGAUUUUGGAUGGAUUAUCAAUAGGUUCAAUUCAAAUUCACGCAUUUAAUUCACGUUGACCCAUUUAUUUUCUGCACAAUUUAUAUGACACAUAGCCAAUCCAAACCCACCAACAUAACUCACAAUUUUUUUUAUUAAUACCAAUUAAACAAUUAUCAAAUUAAAAUAAUAAAAAUUAAUAGGGAUAAAUACACUUAAAAUCCUAAAAUUUGUCAUGAAGUAUAAUUAAAUCCUAAAAUUUAUCACAAAAAUUCAAUUGAAUUUUAAAAUUUUCAAAAAUAGUAAUUUAAGGGAUUUUUUUUCCCCUUCGCAGGCUCCCCUUUUCUCUCUCUCCAUGCCCGCUUUUUGGAAUUAAAGAGGAGAAGAAUGAAUUUUUCGCACUAACCUCCUUCUACUUCCUCUGCUUCUUCACGAACGACCAUAAGCCUUCACAAACCGAUCCCUUUUUUCUCUGCCAUGCUUUAGUCGAGCCGUAGCAGUUGUCCUUUGACCCGGAUGUUGCCGGUGACACCGUGGCCCGUCUCUGAGCUCGACGGCGAGAAUUGAGCCACCUAGAUUCAUCUUGCGCCUCUAUCUCUCUCGUCAUCCCCUUUCGACUUCGGAUGGGGCUGAUUCGAGCCAUUGACAUAAUUUCGUCUCAGAUUCACGGCCGAGUCGAGGCAUAGAUCUGAGAUCUAGGGCUCAAUCGAGCUCCACCAAAGGCGAGGGCUCAGUCGAGCUACACCAGAGGCGAGGGCUCUUGGGAGUUAUGUUCAGAUGAUCAUUACAUGAGAGACCCAUGCCAGUACCUACUCAAGGACUACUGCUUUGGAUUGUGCCUAAGAGACAGAAAUGAUCUUUCCUUGACCAUCCAGGACUUCAACUAUGCCAGCUUUUCAGGACUUAGCUACAUCAAACAUCCCCAUUAGUGGAUAAAAGUUGAAACGCCAUUAACCCGAGAAAGAAGCCAGUGCUUUUAGAAACUCUUCUGGAUAACAUAACAAAGUGCAUUCUGCCAAUGGUAUAUGCUUUCAUUUUAUAUGAAGCUAUAUGCAUGUCGUCAUUACAAAUUUAAAAUUGAGCUCGACUGCCCAGUAUUCAUGCAAUUUUCCUUAUCUUAGCCCCUCCAGAAACUAUCAAUGCUUGCUAUAUUAAUAAAACCAAAUGCUAUUUGAACAGAACAAGGCCUAAUUUUUCUUUUGCUCUUCCAAUUUCUUUGGGUUGGUUUGAAUUUGAUUUAAUUUUUGUGUUUUUCCCUUCUUUCUUGCCUUUUACCUAACAAACCAUGAUAUUUCAACAAACAGUGAUGACAAAGCAUCAAAUUAUGACAAGGAGAUUCAUUUAUAUUGAUUGAAUCAUGCAAUAGUGAAGUUAAAGUUAUUUAUAUUAGUUGAAAGGUGAUCAUUCUUGACAUGGAGUGACAGCAAAAUACUUUCGUACUUUCUCUUCGUAAAGUGAAUAUUGUUUUACUCUUCUAUUUAAAAUCUAACAUGUAGAAAGUAAUUAACUAAGCUAAAUAAUAUAGAGUAAUUUGAGAAAUGGCAAUAUCUAUCCGAAUUCCAACAUGUCAACACAUUGAACUUUGAUGUAAUUACAUAUAUCUGUGCACGUCAUACUCUAGUAUUCCAUUGAAUUACAGCAUAAAUGCUAGAGUAUAUAUUUUGAUACUCAACCUAGAUACUCAACCCAGUGUGCUUGCUGGUAGUCAAUAUUGACAAAGUUAAAUAAGAGAAUCACAGUGCAGAAAAUCAGCGCAUCUUUGGCUGAUUCAACUUAGAAAUAAUUAAGAGGGAAAGGACCUAUAGGCUCUUAAGUCUUUGCAGAACUAGUGAAGAGCUUUAAAAUGCCAAGGCAGGCGAUUGGGAUGCAUGAGAUUCUGCAAAACCUUGAGAAGUGCAAAAGACAGGGGACAGCAGAGACCUCAGUUAAUGCAAAUUCAACAGGCACAAAUGAUCAAUGCAAUCAUGCGAUAUGAACUUGAACAGAAAAUUGCCCAAGAGCUCAUUAUGGCAGGGCAAGCUGGAAGAGGCUUACCCUGAAGUGGAUUUACCCAAUCUUUCAUCUUUACAUCGUCUCUGAUCAUCGACCAUCGACUCGAAAACAUCUAACAGUUGAUCCAGUCCCUCUGGACUGCCCCCAACUGCCUUCAUCGCGUAGAUGGCACUCUCGAGAGUGGACAAACAUCCAGCCUUAGGCUGACUUCUAACUUCUCUGUACAAGCUCAUCACCUCCAAAUCCAACUUCAGAUGAGGCAACAGCUUCAACCAAGGAUUCUCGCUGUACAUUCUCUUUGCCUUCAUCCACGUGCCGUCCAGCAAGAUCAAGUUCCUGACUUUGAACUCAGCUGCCUUGAGUUCAUCAAUGCUGAGCGCAUUCUUGGUCGGAAACAGAAGUACCGACCCGCGCGGCACUUCAAGUACGAAUUCCUCAGAUUCUUCAAGCUCCAAGCUCGAAUUCAAUACAAGGUUUUGCGAUUUCCUAACCACAAAUCCAUUCGACAGAACGUCAUGAGCUGACUGGCAAUCUAAUAUGGAAUCAAAAUCAGCUCCUCGAUGACCAAUUUGAGACAUCCAAACAUGGUCUAUCGAUUCAAUAAUCCCCUUCUUGCCCAUUCGAAAACUGAUAACAGGUUUGCUGGUACUUCUAGACAAGACUCCACAAGCGCGCGAGUUCUGCGGCACCUUGGAAUCCUCUGAAACCUCCCCACCGUUUGGGGCAAUCGAACCGCAGUCCCUUUCAUCCCCAGGACAAUAAGCUCCAUUCGAUUCGACGACCGAAUUAGGGCUUCCCACCUCCACUCCAGAUACCAAUCCAUUGGCGCUGAUUUCGCGGUCUUGCUCGAGCGGCGAGAUCGAGAACUCGACGCCGGAGUUGACGUCGGAAACGGCGGCGACGGCGACGUUCUUGAGCGCUAGCCUCAAGAUUUGGGUGGAAUUGAGGGGGUGCUUCCGCUCCAGGCUGUGCUGGAGGACAGUGACGCGGACGGGGUGGUCGAGACGCGGAGAUCGGAUCCGGGUGCAGAGGCACGUGCGCGCCGGCUUCGAGCAGGACGGGCAAACGGGUCACUUCGGAUUGGUGGAGCGGGCCGUUUCCGCCAUUUUCGCCGACCGCGGCGGACGCUGGCGGCGAUCCGGCUGGGGGAAGGAGGGAGCUUGAGGAGGAGGAGGAGGAUGGUCGGGGACGCGUAUCGAAACGGGCUCGGAUUCAGGUUCGGGAACGGGUUCGCGAAUCGGAUACGGGUUGCGAAAUGGACCCGCAUUUUCCCAGAAAUUGGGAGAUGAUUUUUGGGAAUCUGAAAAAAACGGUAGGGGCCGGAGCGGGCGGGGGCGCUGUUUGGCCAAAACGGUCGAGCAAAUGGUUUUGAAUUUACGAAAGAGCGUGCCAGCGGCGGCCUCUGUGAUUCAAAUCCGAAAAAUAGUGUGCAGAGGCCAAUCGAUGACUGCCGCCGUGAGGCAAGGUUGGAUAUCAUGAUAGCGACCAAGUGGUGGAGAUUGUUCUUGUGGGUUUAUCAUGCCAUGAGAUGGCAACUACUGCGGCGAUGGUCGAAAUCAGGAUGAUGAAUGACUGAAAUCAUGCAUCUAGACCACAGUAAGUAUCCACUUAGAUCAAAUGGUCAACAAGUUAACAAUUGAGGCCCAUGAAGAUUUUAGCAGAGGAAGUUGAUAUGUUCUUUAGAUCCUCGGACGGCGGUCGCGGUUUGCACUUCAGAUUGUAAUAGCAGCCUUGGGGUUCCUCCUUUCAAAGUCUUAUGGGUAUUUAUCACUUAGACGUCCUAAGCUUCAUAUCAGAUGCUAAUGAUGUUGCUGAACUUCACAUGAAAUCGCCUUCUUGGAAUUUGCAUGAGUAUUGUCCAAUUUCAACUUGGUGAGGAACUUUUUGGCCGAAAAAAUAAAUAAAUUUGGUUGAUGUUUCAGGUUAGCCAAAGGACGAUAUAUCUGAAUAUCUAAGAAACCAGAGGACUAGCAGAGUCUACUUCCUGUCUGGCUUAGAACUGAAAGGAAAAUUUAUAAAAAUUAUUAUAUGAUUGAUCUUUCCAAAAUGUUGCCUCCUAAAGAAAAGAGAGAAUUUUGGCCAAUACCGCCUUUAAUUUGUUUGUGUUUAGAAAUGAUUUUGAACAUGAUAUUGCAUAAACUUGUCAAUUGAAAAUGUUGUGCCACACAUGUUGCUACUCUCUCUUUUGAAUCAUACCAACUUGACAUGGAUUGAAUUGUUUCAACAUUAAACUAUUUAGAAUAUUUAUUCUACUUAGUGAUUUUAUCAUAUUUGGAAACAUAGGCCGGCAAGUUUCUUUUCGCUCUUUGUUGUCAAAAGAAGAAGAAAGAAUUGCAUAGCUAUCACCUCUGUUUUGACAAAUAUAGUAGCUUCCCAUGUCUGGGGUAAGACGGUGAAACUCGCAAGGGUUCGUCUUAAGUCAGCUUGUGCUUCGCACAAUGUCCUGUAACCGACUUGUUAGCUUAGUACCCCAAUUACCUUAUACUCCUUUUCUUCAAUUAUUAUUUUAGCACACAGAGAGAGGACCAAUGCUGAGGUCUUGAUGAGCACCGACUACCCUUGAGCAACCACUUCAACACUUCCUUGAAGAGAGAGGAAACACCCCUCCUUCUCUUCGUUUCCAUUUUCCUAUUAUUUUGUUUUUUGUUUUUUUUGGUGAUCUUUGCCUUUUAUUUUUUAAAAUUUUUUGCCUUUUCUUUGAGAUGUCACAUCAGCACCAUGCGUUCUAAAAUUUUUUAGAAAUGUCAUAUCUCCACUUUCAAAAGAAAUGAAAGAAACGUUGAAUAUAGACAGAGAAGGGGCUGGUCUUGUAUCCAAUUCAUGCCACGUCAGCAAGUUGGUAAUGUCCCUAGCCAUGAAUUAUGGAGGAACUUGAUUUCAUUAACAGAGAAAAGCUAAAGGACAUAUUUCUUCUUUUUCCCCCAAGAAUGACAGCACGUGUAUUCGGAGGAAGCUCCUCGAGGCACGGUCCGUCCUUCAGCCACAUGUUAGAUAUAAUAUUGGUAAAUGGUGAUGAACAUCAUAGUUUCUUAUGGAAUGAUCCUUGGCAUCCUCAUGCGGUGUUGUUUGGAUGUUUAUCCUAAAAAAUUAAUUUAUAAUGCUGCACUGGCCCUGAACUCUCUAGUUGCUGGUGUCAUUUAUGGAGAUGAGUGGGUUUGUCCUCCAGCAGGAUCAGAAUUUUUUGUGCAUAUUCAAGCAGCCAUAUGUGGAACGAUCUUUCCCCUGCUCUGCUUUUGAGGGCAGAGCAAUUUUCAAAGGAAAUUCCUUCGGAUGCUUUACUCAGCUGAUGCUUGGAAGCGAGUAAGGAUAAAAUGCAGAAGAUCUAAUCCAAGGCAUAAAUUCAGCUUUGUAGCUGCUUGCUAUCUUGAACAGACUGCAACUUGGACGGGAUAAAAUGGGGGUCCUCCAUUGAUGACAAAUGUGUCUUAUGCUCUUCUUCCCGAGUCUAGGAAACCUUUGUGUUUUGAGGGUGCCUUCUCAAAGGAUGGAGAUUUCUAAUGCGGCUGGUUAAAGUUUGUUGGAAUGUUAAUAAUUGGGAUAGAAUGGGUUCUCUAGAGCUUGUAGAGGGAGGUCUUUGACUAAAAUCGUAUUGAAACUCAUUUGGAAUGGUGCCAUCUACUCUAUUUUGGGGAUAGGAAUGAAGUUUUUCACAAUCAUGCUGCUCCUCCGUCUGCUGAAGCUGUUAAAAUGGCGGUCUUUGGUGUGAGACUUCGCAUCAAGAUGUUGCAAGAAACAAAGAGUCUUUCGAAGGAUGCAGAGAAAGCUUUGUGUAUGUUAUUUCGAAUUGUUUGUUAAGCCUGGGUGUUUUCUGUUGUUCUUUCUCUAGGCUUCAUAUACUAACCUGAAAAAAAGAGCUAACGGAAUUAAUUGCAAGUUAGAGGAUUUCACAGCACAAAAAUGAUAAAGCAAGACCGUAUCUCAUGAGAUACGGUUUUUUUUUUUUUUUUACCGACCAAAAAACAAAAGACCGUAUCUCAAUAUAAGAUUUGCAUUUUACGGGAUUGGUUCUUAUUUUCUUUUUAUGGUUUCGAGUGCCACUCACCACGUGUCAUCUUUCCAUGGAGGUUGGACCUGGCCGCUGGUUCCUUGAUGUUGGUCCGGUCCUGACUGCCAUUGACUCUGUUUUUCCAUUUCAUAAAAAUGCCCGACCAUUGAUCUUUCUCGAGUACCCCCAAAGCCUGACGAAUCCAUAAACUCCUGAAAAUUUAAAUUGGCAACCUCCUGAAAUUCCUGACGCUAAUUUCUUCCGUGGUCCAGAUUGCCAGAGCAGCUUCGGUCCUUCCUUUUCAUCUAUGUUUGCUACUUUGGAAUUUCCAAUUUCGUCGGUUCUUUUCUAUAUCUGCUAUUUACCCACUCUGAGGGAUCUUCAGGUGGUUCUACUUACUGGGCGAUUUUUCUUUCGUUUUUUUUUUUUUUUUGGUUGGAUGCUUACUGGGUGAUUGGGAAAGGGUUUAGUAUGGCUUCUUUUUUACAGAUGCAGAUCUUGUCUGACUUCAUUCUUUUCUAGUUAGCUCGAAGUUGUCUCCUCUCUUGUAGCUCAGAAUAAGAGAUGCCUAGAGAGGUUGAUCCAUUUCGGAGGCAUGUGGAGGUUGUGGCGAACAAGUGGAAGUGUAAGUUUUGUGGCAAGGAUUUUGGUGGAAGUGCUACAGGGAUCAGGGCACACCUCGUGGGGGCUCUGGACUAUGGUAUUAAACUAUGCGAGACAGUUGAUGAGCAUGUGGGAUCCCAAGCUUUGAAAGUGAUUAAAGGUAAAAGUGUGGCGGAUGCAACCAACAGGGGAGGCGCAUCUAUUGAGGUAAUGGGACGAAGAAGUGACGGCAUGGGCCAAAUUGUAGUCCUUGGUAGUGACCAUGCUUCGAGUCCCCAUAGUAUGCAGGACUCGAAUCGAAACGUCCUAGAGCAACCAUCUUGCCAUUGGCAGAAUGGAAGUGUUGCUGGUGCAGCUUCAGUAGAUUGUCAGUAUCAAGAGACCUUGUGUCUCGUUGGCAUGCCAGUGCGUGAUGCAGAAUUGCCCCCGCAAGGGCCGCAACCCAAUGGGUCAAUUCAACGCUUGAAUGAUGAACAUGGAAACGAAAAAACUUCAUCUCUCCAGCAACCUGCAACCGAUCCUUUGGCUUCGAUUUUUCUUGAUCCAAAGUCAACUACCAGAGCUCUUUGAUCAGUGUAUUGAUCUGGAGACGAGGCAUGAACAACGGAAUAGUAGAGGGCCAUCACCAUUGCAAAGUCAUCGAUCCCUUAAUAACAGCGUGACAAAUGAGUUGCAUCAAGUCAACUAGACCUGGUGGUGCUGCGCCUGGUCCCCGUCUCAGUGACACAAGUACAAUUGGCACUCCCCAGCAUCCCAAUCAAAACUAAUUUGGGCUUUGAUGAACAAUGGAGAGGUGAAAAUGCUCCAUGUCCGCAAAAUCUUCAGCAGAGUGGGUGACUUAUCUUCUCGAUAUGCCCUAUCAGCCACAGCAUUCCAUUCCAUCUUGUUAUUCUGAGGAAAUGCCAAUGAAUGACCUGCAGAAUCGAAUGGGUCCAUUGUCAUCACAAAAUGAUCAAUCCCUUGACGUUCAAAUUGUUUGCAAGACUGCAAUUAAAUCCCUAUUGCCGAAGUAGUUCCGCUGUCCAAUGCUACAAGCGUAACCAAUGCCGUUGAGCAUUUUAGUCGACAGCCACUUCUUAUACGUGAUGAAGAAUGUGAAAAUGAGAGUAGUUCCUUUCCCUCACAAGCUUCAAUGGACAUAUCUCCGCCAAGUGCAUCACAGCCUUCCUCUGGCCCUCAUUCUUUUGAGAAACCGGACGUAGAUUCCCAAGUUCCACAGGGCGGAACUAACAAGGCCCAUUGUCAUUACAAGGUAUGCGUUGAAGUGAUCCUUCUCUUCUCUUUUCUACUGUCUCCUAUUUAACAUCUCCCACGUUUUCCUAAUUAUAGGCGUAUCCUUGAAUGUUUCAUAUGUGUACUUUCUCUUAUUUUUUAAUGAUGAAUGUUAUAUGAGAAUAUCAAACGGAUGUAAAUGUUAGUUUCAGUGUAGAUGUUUUGUGGGAUUAAGUCUAGAUUUUGACUCUACUUACGCUUGUGGCUUGUUUUGAAAAUUCAAUGGUUGAUUGAUCAGGAUUGUUAAUGAUGAUUUUAAUCUGCUUUACUUUUGCAACCAGCUUCCAGGCACCCUCCAUGUCAAAGUCUUCUAGAUCAACCUCUUAAUCUUGAGACGAUGAACACAGAGCAUCACCCAAGCGUGUCAUCGUCAUCAUCACAGAGUAACCAGUUCUUGAUUACAUGUUUCCCACAAGCUCCGAUGGACAUAUCUGUGAGUAGUCCAUCAUCACCGCGAGGUACAUGUUAAUUCAUCUAAAUUGAUCCUUAUGUAUCCUGAUGCUACUUAAUUAGGGAGAAGCAUGAGUGCUUACAUUAGGAUCUAACACGUAGAAUUCUUGAUUCACAAUUAUCUAUUAAUAGAGUCAUUCAAACGCUGGCAACUUUGAAAAUAAUGGAGCUUUGAAAAGAAAGGUAGAAUGACUCUACAAUAGAGAAGCUGACAUAAAGAAUGAGUUGGAAUUUGCUGCAUCUCUAUCUCUGAAGAAGCAGAGAAUAGAAGUUGUGAAUUGGUUGACAAACGUGGAAAAGCAGAGGAAAAAUUUCCAAAGUCUUGAACCAGCCAGCGCAGAAAAUUUGCGACCACAAUAACAGGUGGACAUGUUGAUGGAAGAAGCGGGAAGACCUUAUCAUAAAAAGCAAAUUUCCAGAAGGACCGUUUGAGGUGGGAGAUGCCAAAGUCAAUAUAUUAUUAGAACGAAAGUUGCAGGCGGGAAAGGCAUUUGAGACAAAUAAAUACUAAGAAGAUCUUGAGGUGCCUAAUAGAGGAUCGCAUAUCAUGAUUAGGCAUUUACAAUAUGGGAGGUGUCGGGAAAACAACCAUUAUGGUGCACAUACAUAAUAGGCUCCUAGAAAAAGCAAACCAUAUUAAUGUAUUGUGGAUUGCUGUGUCACAAGAUCUCAACGUUUAUAAGUUGCAAGGUGACAUUUAGAAAAAAUUUCAUGCAUGGGUGUUAAUUUGGAUAAUGCUUACUAUUUAUUAAAACAUUGAAAAUAUAUCAUUUCGUAGAUUCUAAGAAGGAAUAAUAAUAAAAAAUUAAAGUAACGUGAGGUGGAGUAAAAACAAUCACAUCUUUAAGGGGUAAUAUCACCGAAAACCCAAAACUGGUACAUAUGCUCUAAAAUUAUUUUUAAACUUAAAUUGAUAUAUUUAUGGUAAAUUUAUCCUUUAAUAAUUUUCAUUAAAUUUUACAAUUAAAUUAUUAAGUUGGAUGACAUGUGGUAAUUGAUGAGUAUAUCAAUUUGGGAUUUUACCUUCAAUUUAUCAUAUGUGUAUGAAUUUGUAGUUUUUUGUAGUAUUAAUCAAAUGUAACGGAAAUCAAUGGAUGAUAAAUUUGUCACAAAUUCACAAGUUUUGAAUUUUUGGUGUAAAAAUUAGUUCGAGAUAAAUUUAUUACAUGUGUAAUAAUUUGGGAUUUUUGUAAUAUUAACCCUAUUUAAUUAGAGUAGAUUAAAAAAGGAUAUGAUAAAAUUAUAAGUGGUUUUUUUAGUUUAUAGAUAUAAAAUUCGGUCACGUCAAUCUAAGUACUAUUGAGGCACGUUAUUAAGGGGUCUAAUCGUCUCAUUCAAAAGGGCAUUUUCGGAAGAUAAAGUGCUGGUCAGGAGAGCUUUAUAAAUAGUGAUGUGGCUUCUUAUAAAACGUUUUUUGUCCUGACUUGGUAUGAAACGUUUUUUGUCCUGACUUGGUAUAAAACGUUUAAAUGUUUUAUACGAAGUCAGGAAAGUUUUGUCAGAAGUGACGCGGCUUCUUUCUUAUAAAAUGGCCCCAAAGGAUGCCCCACUCGACAUCACAGCACGGAGAGACGGAGGAGUAGAGAGAGAGAGAGGUGAAGAGCGACGACGGUGGAUUGCAGCCCGUCGAAAGAAAGGGUCGAGCGACGCCUGAAAUCUCCAUUUCCGAGCACCAGGCAAGAGAUUUUACCUCUAUUUCUCACGAGUUUGCGAUUUUCGUUUUUUUAAAAGUUUAAUAUCCGGACCUAUGUAGGGUUUUGCUUUACCGGCAACGCUUCGGCCGCCAAAAUCCAACCAUAUUUUGAUUACCCACAUCUCCUUGAGUCUAGAGGGAUUUCGCAGAGUUGUAGUUGGAGUCAGAUUCGAGAGAAACGAACUCUCCAAGUCCUCCUCUCUGCGCCGCAGGUGAAGAGUGUGUGCCGCCUGACUUCUUGGCUAAGCCACCUUUCGGGGCGGCGACCUGUCGAAUCUCGUAAUUCUAGAAUUAAUUAUUUUCUUGAGAAGGGAGUCCGCAAUUCCCAAGGUGUCUUUGAGUUAGAUCGGGUGUUUUUCGUCUCAGAAACAGCAAAUUGUUCUUGGGUCUGUUGGAUAGUAAUGUGCAGUUUGGCUUUCCCGCUUUAGUACUUGCGGAUGCUAGUGUUUGCUUUACACAAGAUCGGUGGGUUAUAUAGUUGGGUGCGCUCUCUUUGCCUGCAGGUUGAUAAUCAAGACAACAAGAUGCCGCGACCUGAAGAUAUAGCCUGGAAAUUCGUGCUUAGACUGGAGGGCAAGAGAUGGCGUUGUCCUUACUGCCAUAAAGAAUCCUCUGGAUCAGUCACAAGAGUGAAAAGUCACUUUCUUAAACAAGCAAAAGAAGGGAUUGCCUAUUGCACAAAAGUGCCAGAGCACAUACGAACACUAAUGGAAUUGUUACUCAAUCAUGAGGUGACUUUAGUACUUGUAGUAGCUACAUUAUCUGCUUGAGAAUAGUGCUAUGCGCACUAAGAAGAUGUAUAAAAAAUAGGGAUAAUAUAUGAUGGGGUGCGCUCUAUUUGCUUGCAGGUUCGUAACAAAGAGGAUAUAGCUUGGAAAUUCGUCAAUAGAUUGGAGGACAGCAAAUGGCGAUGUCAUUACUGCAGUGUAGAAUUCUCUGGAGACCUGACAGGACUGAAAGGUCACUUGCUUGGAGUCCCAAAUGAAGGGACUUCCAUUUGCACACAAGUGCUGGACCACGCAAGAGCACUAAUGCUGUUGUUACUCGAUGAGGUGGCUGAAGAAGAGAGCAGAGAGGUGGCUGAAGAACAGAGCAGAGAAGCCCACGGUCAAUCCUCCAUCGAACCAAAUUCCCGUGACAUGCCGAGUCAAGCUGAGGUGGCUGAAGAAGAGAUCAGAGAAGCCAACCGUCAAUUUUCCACGGAACCACAGUCGCCUGACAUGCUGUCUCCAGCUGUUCCUCGCUCAUCACAAAGCUUGGAAGAUAUAGAAAACUUAUUCACAACAACAGAGGGGGCGACCGACUUGGGAAACUUAGACUAUAACCUAGAGCGUCAAUUUUAUGAGACUUUGGCAAUGCCGCCACCGGCACAAAAUAUCCAUGGUAUGUUCAUGUGAAGUUUCCAUCGAUGCAUCUAGGCAUGGAGAAAAUAUAUCUAUUGUAUUUUUCAAUGCAAACGCGUCGGGUUUUUUUAACCAAAGUGGCGACUUUUAAAAAUCUUCUAUAAAAAUGAUCUUCCUACGGGACUUUCCAAAUGUGAAGAAAGUCAAUCACCUAUUCCUUAACAACAGUACGCAUUGAAUGUGUUGCAUGUGCCGAUCGGACCCACGGGAUGCAAUAAACUACAGUACGCAUUUUCUCGUGUUCCAAUCAGCCAUAUCCUAAUUUUGAUAAACAACACACAGGUGAAAGCUUGUCACGUUCAGCGAUGGCUUUAGCAGAAGGAGAAUCGUUUCUUCUUGAUUCGCCAUGUCAGCCACAAUGUUCCAAUCGAUCUCCUUAUCCCGAGGAAAUGCAAAUGAAUGACCACCGAACUCCAGCCGGGGCAUUAUCAUUCCAGUAUGUUCCAUUACCUGCUGUAGGUAAUUCAAAUUGCUUCCAGGACUGCAAUGACUCUCAAUUGCAAACUCCAGUGGACGUAAAUCCCUCAAUUACAUCACAGCGUACAAAUCACAUUACUGGGGCACAAAUCAAUGAUUCGAAAGUUCCAGAGGCGGCAACAAAUACAAUGGGCCCAUCAUCAUCACAAGGUUUGUAUGGAUUAAUCUACAUUGCUACUAUGGUUAUGUUAGAUCCUUGAAUAUCUCCAUAUUAUUUUAUCGAAAUCUAACAUAUGAUUUUUUAAACAAGAUAGGAACAUGGAUUAUCCAAUCAAGAACAUGCUGAGCAUCACUGCAUAUUCUAUAUGUCCGAUAUCACUUUUUAUCACAUUAUUACUUUCUUCAAAAUAUUUAACUCUAAUGCGGUCGUUACUCGAUGAGGUGGCUGAAGAAGAGAGCAGAGAGGUGGCUGAAGGACAGAGCAGAGAAGCCAACCGUCAAUCCUCCACAGAACCACAAUCACGUGACAUGCCCACUCAUGCUGAGGUGGAGGCUGAAGAAGAGAGCAGGGAAGCCAACGGUCAAUUUUCCACGGGGCCUUUAUUCUCACCAGGAUUCCUCCUCGAAGAUAUGGAACAGUUAAACUUCAGCCAACAGGAUGUCAUUUGGUUAAACUCUGCCCAACAAUCACAAACAGAGCGUCAGUUUCAUCAGAGUUCAACAAUGCCGUCACAGGUGCAAAAUAGCCAUGGUAUGUCCAUGUAAAGUUUUUAUACAUUCAUCCAGGCGUGGAGAAAAGAAAAAUCAUUAUAUUUUUCGUAUUAGUAACUCUCUCUAUAAUAACUCAAUUUCAUCCGCUUCCAUAUCGUAUCGAUUCCAAAUUACAGUUGUAUCAUCGCAUAUUCUAUAUGUCCGAUAUCAUUAUCUUUUUACCGCACCGUUUAUUUCAUCAAAAUAUUUACUUAUGAGCAUAUGUUGACUUUCGCUAUAAAUAUAUUUUUUUUAAAUCGAGUUCUAGACGUUCGUUUUACCUGUACCCAUGGCUUGAUUUAAAAGUCCCAUUGUUGAUUUAUUUUACGCUUGCCUUUUUUAGUGCAACCAGUUUUGGUGGCCCCUCAACAUCAAAAUGCUCCACAUCAAUCCGAGACAAGGAAUGUGCUGCAGAAUCCAACUGCACAAUCAUCAACAGCUCUAAGGGAUAUGGAUUUACGUAUCCAAUCUUCAUCGCAAGCUUCAAAUGCUGCUCCACAGUGGCCGACAGACGUUUCAAACUUCAACCAACAGGAUAUUAAUGAGCUAAACUCUGGUCAACAAUCACAAGCAGAGCGUCAAUUUCCUCAGAGUUCAACAAUGCCGUCACUGGCACAAAAUAGCCAUGGUAUGUUCAUGUGAAGUAUCUAUACAUUCAUCUAGGCGGGGAGAAAAACAUCUAUUAUAUUUUUCAACGCAAACACGUGGGAUUUUUUAACGGAAGUGGUGACUUUUAAAUAUCUCCGAUAAACAUGCUUUUUCCACACAACUUUUCAAAUAUGAAGAGAGUCAAUAACCUAUUCCUUAAUAACAGUACAUCCAAUGUGUUGCACGUGGCCACUAGACCCACUGGAUCCAGUAAACUAACUACAAUAAGUAUUCUCUCAUGUUCCAAUCAAUCAUAUCCUAAUUUUGAUGAACAACACACAGGCGAAAGUUCCACGAUGGCUUCAACGGAAGAAGUGCCGAAUUCUCAUAAUUUGCUAUGUCAACCACAUUGUUACAUUCAAUCUCAAAUACAAAUGAAUGACCAGCAUACAAGUGACUCUCACAUUAUUGAGCCAACAACGGUUGAUUCGCAAGUUCCAGAGGCGGCACCAAAUGCAACGGGCCCAUCCUCAUCACAAGGUGCGUUUGGAUUAAUCUUCAUUGUUACUAUAUGGUUCCACUAGAUUCUUAAAAAUCCCCAAAUUAUUUUAUCAAAAUCUAACAGAUGUUUUUUUAUAAAUUAGAUAUGAACAGGGGUUCUCCAGUCAUGGACGUACGGAGCAACUAUGCCAACGAUGAAGAGAUAAGAAACCUGAAAAGAAAAGUGGAAGAACUCGAUGACAAAGACGCUGUCAUAAAGGAGCAGAUGGAGAUAGAGUCUGCUGCUUCCUCACUUCGGAAGAAGCCGAGGAUAUUGGUUGAUAGAUGGCUAAAAGAGACAGAAAGAGCAAGAAAUAAUUUCCAAAUAAUUGGCCAAGCCAAUGCGGAAACUUUGCCACCAAAGGAACAGGUGGAGAAAUUGACGAGAGAAGUGGAAGAACUCAUAGGAAAAACGCUUCCACAACCACUGCUCAUAGAAGAGAGAGAUGCCAAAGGAGUCAAACUUUUGGAACGAAAGUUAACAGGUGAAGGGAUUCAUAGGAACAUUGAGUUGAUUUGGGACCGUCUGAAGGAGAAUCAUGCAUGCAAAUUGGGUAUUUAUGGAAUGGGUGGUGUUGGGAAGACAACUAUUAUGAUGCACAUACAUAAUAGACUUCUCGAAGAUGCAACCUUCGAUGGUGUGGUUUUUAUCACUGUGUCUCAAGAUUUCAGCAUUAAGAAGUUGCAGAGUGAUAUUUGGAAGGCAUUAAAAUGUGGCGUUAUGGAGGAUGAGGAUGAGAAGAAACAAGCAGCGAUAUUGUCGGAGCAUUUAGAAAGAAAGAAGAAUUGUGUAUUGAUUCUUGAUGAUGUGUGGGAACGUCUUGAUCUUGAAGAGGUGGGAAUCCCUGUUAGAGCUGAUGGAUGUAAGUUGAUCUUAACCAGUCGAUCCUAUUAUGUGUGCUGCCAGAUGCAAUGUCAAGAGAAGAUAAAAAUUAAACCUCUAUCUCAAAUAGAAGCCGAGAGUCUAUUUUUGGAGGAGCUUGGAUCCGAAGUUCCACUUAAUUCGGAAACUGAAGCAAUUGUGAAGUCCAUUGUUGAAGAAUGUGCUGGAUUGCCAAUUGGAGUCAUCACGAUGGCAAGAAGCAUGCGAGGAGUGACUGAUGUGUUUGAAUGGAGGGAUUCCUUGGUUAAAUUGGAAGAAUCAAGUAAGGGGCAAACAGAUAUGGAGAAGAAGGUCUUAAUGAAUCUAAAAUUUAGUUAUGAUCGCCUUGGUAAUCCUGAUGUGCAACAAUGCUUCUUAUCUUGUGCACUUUAUCCAGAAGAUGAAUUGAUUGAUAAGUUCGAGUUGGUAGAAUUCUUUAUUGACCAAGGAUUGAUUGGUGGAUUGAAUGCGUGGACAGAACAAUAUGAUAGAGGCCUCACCAUAUUGAACAAACUACGAAAUGUUUGCCUAUUGGAAGAUCAUGGGAGCGAGACGAAGAUGCACGAUUUGAUUAGAGACAUGGCAUUGCACAUCAUGAGUGCAACUUCCAUUGUAAAGGCAAGAAAGUGGUUGGAAAGUAUUCCAUCUGAGGAAUAUUGGACAGAUGCUUUGGAGAAAGUUUCUCUGAUGGGAAGCAAAAUAAGUGAAAUGUCACCAAAUUGUCCUAAACUAUCAACUUUACUACUGAAUGGAAGCUUGUUAGAGGAUGCGGUCCUCCCUGGUUCUUUCUUCAAACAGUUAUGUGGGCUAAAGGUCCUAAACCUGAGUGACUGUGAACUAACGGAACUUCCAAAUUCCAUCUCAGAUUUGGUAAACUUGAGGGCACUAUUGCUUAGAAGGUGUCGGGAAUUGUGCCAUAUUCCUUAUUUAGGCAAGCUCACAUCUUUAAGGAAGCUGGACGUUAGUGACUGUUUUGAGCUUGAAGAAGUGCCCGAGGGUCUGGAAAUGUUGGUGAACUUGAGAUACCUUGACCUAUGUUUUUCAUUGACCGUUGAAUUACCUAAAAUAAUACUGGGGGGUUUGCUAAACUUGCAGCAUCUUAAAGUUUAUUUUCUAGAUGGACAAGACAUGACAAAAUUGAGGGCACUGGAGACACUCAAAUGCUUUUUUGAAGAUGCGAAUGAUUUCAAUAAGUGUGUGAGGGUUAUUGAACAGAGUAACCUUCUCUGCUAUUAUUAUCUUUGUUAUUAUAUCGACAAAAAAUAUCAUGAUGAGGAAGAAUGUGAUAUUACUCAGGACAGGGAAGUCAAAAUUUGGGGGUGGGAUCAUGCUAUUGUGAGUGUGGGAGGGGAAUGCACCGGCAUUUUUAUUUUGAUUCCCCAAGACGUGCAGAAAAUGACGAUUUGUUGGAACGGUAUAACAAAUUUGUCUAGCAUAGGUCCGCUUGAAUACCUUGAGGAGCUAGAUAUAGAAGACUUAAACAACUUAGGGGUGCUCUGUGGAGGAGAAGACAAAGAAGUAAUCGACAUCUUUGCCCCAGCCCUUGCGCCUCUCCUCUUCUCGAGCCUUAGGGUUUUGAAAAUAUGGAGUUGUCCGGAACUGAAGUAUGUCUUUGGGCAUGGGUCUAAAUCCAACCUUCCACAUCUACGAGAGAUUGAAAUAGGGGGAUGUGAGGAGACGGUGGGGAUAAUAGCAGCAGUUACAUCCCCACCACCACAUCCGCUCCCAUUUUUCCCUAGUCUGGAACAGAUUAGCAUUACAGGCUGUUACGAGAUGAAGAGAGCGGUGGAAUCCGAGUGGAUGCCCCACUUCCCUAAUCUAAGAAGAAUCAAAGUAUCCGGAUGUGAGAUGGAGGAGAUAAUCGGAGGUCCUCCCCCAUACUCGCCGGAUGAACAGAUUUCUCUCGAAUCUCUUGAGGUAAGCUAUUGCGAUAAAAUGAGAAAGCUGCUUACGUAUGAGUGGCUGUUCCAUCUUCGAAAUCUUCAAAGUAUCUCUGUCACUUACUGCAAAGAAAUGGUGGAGUUGAUAAGCGGAGCGGGACAAGGCCAAGAAGGAAGCAUAACGACUUCUGUAAACAACACUCCUUCCUCCUUCCAGCCUUCUUCAAUUUCUCUCCCAAAGCUAGAGUGUUUGGAGCUACGCUAUCUACACCAGCUGAAGAGCAUAUGCGAAGUCCCAAUAAGCUGCGAUUUCAUGAAAAGAUUGGACGUGUGCAGAUGCCCAGAACUGAAGAGGAUUCCUUUGCAACUGCGAUUGUGUGAAAUUGAGGAGCUUCCGUAUAUUUUGGUGGAAGAUGAGGAAAAGUGGAAGACGUUGGUGUGGGAUCAUCCCAAUGCUCAGGCUAUUCUUCGACCUUAUCUCCGAAAAGGGCCACGCUGGCCUCCAAAUGCUAUAGGUUAAUGAGUUUAAUUGAUAUACGAUUGCUUCACUUCUUAAAAGUCCUUUCAAAGAUAUAGCUUUUCUGUCUAUAUAGUCAUGCAGCUCUAAUAGUGGCCUUCUGUAGUACUGAACACCAAGUGAAAGCAUCUCCUGCGACUCCACUCUUGAAGAAAGAACCCUGCUGCUCGACCAUGCUUUCCUGCAAACUUGACUCAGGUUGCCAUAUGAAUUGACUUUUUUUGUGUGGCCCUGCUUUGUCUAUUUUGAAUGCGAUCGCAUGUUUCAUUGACUACUGGAAAUGAGUCUAUCUGGUCGAUAUUUCAGGUUAGUCAAAAAGCAAUGGAUCUGAAGAUUUGGGAAGCCAAGGGAAUAACAAAGUCUGUUUCCUAUCUUGUCUUAUAACUGAAAGGACAAUUUAUUAUCAUGGAUUGAAUUUCUUGGGAUAUUAGCCUUCUAAGAAAAGAGAGAAUUUUGUGCAGCACUACCUUUAAUCUGUUUUUGUUUAAAAAGGAUUUCAAAUAUGAUAUUGCUUUAACUUGUCGAUCGAAAAUAUUGUGUCAAAUACGCUGCUUUGCUCUGUUGGAUCAGAGCAACAUGACCCCAAUUAAACUUGUUUCGACGUUAAACUAUCGGGUAUAGAAUACUUGAUCUGCUUAGUAGUUGUAUCAUAUCUGGAAACGUAGGCCGGGAAGUUUUCNNNNNNNNNNNNNNNNNNNNNNNNNNNNNNNNNNNNNNNNNNNNNNNNNNNNNNNNNNNNNNNNNNNNNNNNNNNNNNNNNNNNNNNNNNNNNNNNNNNNUACUUUGAAUUAGAAAUGUAAAAAGACGAAGAAGAAAGAAUUGCACAGCUAUCACCCUCUUUAAAUGCCUCGAAGUUGUGGAUAGAUGGAGAACCCUACAGCUUCAGCUCAAGUAACCAAAAAUCAGAGCAGUAACCACUAGCAAGUCAAUGGAAAAAAGGCCAGCUUAUAGGAUGUGGCACUUUUGAAAGUGUUUACAUUGCAAGCAACCAGUAAGUUAGCUCUGGGAAUCUUAGACAUGUUCCAUUUUUUUAGAUAUCCAGUCAGCUAAACUUUGACAUAUUAAGUGACAGAAAAACCAGAUCUCUAUGUGCAGAGAAGGAGUUUGAGCUAUUGCGUAAUGAUCCAAAUUUAGCUGAGUGCAUCGAGCAGUUAAAGCAGGUAAUGUUUUUGUUAUGCUCUGGGAUCCAAUCUAUCCUCUCAUCCGAUCUAAAUAUGCUGGGAGGAAACUUUCUUUCAUCAUUUCCAAGUAAUUGAUUGCUUUGUUACUACAGGAAAUUCAGGUACUUAGCCAGCAUAGACAUCCGAACAUUCUGCAGUAUUAUGUAAGGGAAAUUGUGAGUCACAUUUCCACAGCAUCUAUGCGUCCCAACUCAAUGGGCGUUCAUUAUUUGACUAACCAAAAUUUCAACAUAUUCAUACAUACUCAGGUUGAGGAUUGGCGUUACAUAUAUCUAGAAUAUGCACAUCACGAUUCAAUAGACAAGUAUAUCCAGGAGCGUCUUGGGACCCUAACAGAAUCGGUUGUCAGCACUUUACCCGCUAUAUUGUGGCUGGAUUGGCUUCCCUGCAUGUUUUUUUUGGUAAAGAGGCUUCCCUGCAUGUUAACAACUCCAUACAUGGGUAAUUUUAAACCAUUGAUCAAGCAUCAUGAGAUGACUUGCAUAUUGGAUUAGGAUGAUUGGACCUUCUUCUUUGUGCCCCCAGACCUGUUAAAACUAUUUGGCUUGUGCAGGGAUUUAAAGGGAGCUAAUUUAUUUGUGGAUGCAUCUGGGAUAUUCAAACUUGCUGACUUUGGGAUUGCUAAACAUGUGAGUUUUUACCUCUUCACCGCAAGACUACUCAGUGCAUGUAGAAAUUCCUUGCUGAUCUGUGGUACAUUCGAAUGUGAAGUCAGGGACCCAGGGUGACUGCAUACUUCUCGUUAUUGGUUUGUGGCAUUUCAUAUGUGCAUAAAUCUAUCAUAGAUGGAUGAAAUGUUAUUAAGUAAUUUUCUUCACUUUUUUUCCCAUUGUUUCAGGUAAAGUUACCAUGUUGCAUGAACGGGAAAAGAUUUCUUGCUGUAAAUAGAUGCCGAAACCUAAUGAGAGUUCCCUUUCUACUGGUUUCUAAAAAGUUCCUAAGAGCGGUAGUGAAUAGAACGCAAUACCUUUGGCAAAAGGUUGUGGUGUUGUUUUUGCUGCUCCUCUGCAUUCCAAAAUAAGGAUAGAACUUAGUCAGAGUAAGUAAGGGCCUCCUUCCUAACAUGGGGUAAAUAAAAGUUUAUUAAUCCAUAGAAUGGAAUUCUGGACAGUAGCCAAGGUGUUGUUGCUCUCUUUUUGAGUUCUCAAGCAUUUGCUGAGGCCAUGUUGUUGAUUGCUUCAUGGUCCUUUUUCUCAGUAAUGAGCUAACAUGAGUUGAAAGUGGUUGAUUCAGUUAUCAAUAUGAUGUAUCUAUGUCUAUAAAGAUGUUGCUAUUUUAUCCGGUGUUCCAUGAACACACCAAGUAGUAUUCAGCUUUACUAAUGCCGUACCAUUUCUUAGCUAACCGGACAAGCAGCUUGCCGCUCUUUGAAGGGAAGUCUAAACUAGAUGGCUCUAGAGGUACUCUGCUUUUGUUAACGUUAAUGCGGCAUACUCAGAGGUCCUCCCCCAUACUCGCCGGAUGAACAGAUUUCUCUCGAAUCUCUUGAGGUAAGCCUUUGCGAUAACAUGAGAAAGCUGCUUACGUAUGAGUGGCUGCUCCAUCUUCGAAAUCUUCAAAGUAUCGAGGUCACUGAGUGCAAAGGAAUGGUGGAGUUGAUAAGCGGAGCGGGACAAGGCCAAGAAGGAAGCAUAACGANNNNNNNNNNNNNNNNNNNNNNNNNNNNNNNNNNNNNNNNNNNNNNNNNNNNNNNNNNNNNNNNNNNNNNNNNNNNNNNNNNNNNNNNNNNNNNNNNNNNNNNNNNNNNNNNNNNNNNNNNNNNNNNNNNNNNNNNNNNNNNNNNNNNNNNNNNNNNNNNNNNNNNNNNNNNNNNNNNNNNNNNNNNNNNNNNNNNNNNNNNGGAGCUUCCGUAUAAAACCUGUUCAUUCCCAUUUCCAGCAGCAGGCGAGUGCCCUUGUUUCUCUAGGAAUUGGGUUUCUGCCUUCAACGAGAGGAAGAGUCUUUGCUCGAUCCCUGGAUGCUGACUGGUGCUUCAGAUUCUCAAGAACAGCUUCUUAGCUCUACUUCUAUUUGUGCAUCUUUGCUACUUGCAUGCAUCUGAAUCUUCUUUUUCUGUCCUAACCGGUAUGUUGCUUCGUCCUCAUCUUUGCCAUUUUCCAUUUGUAAGAAUCAAAUAGAGACUCCAACUGAACAUCCUUAUUUGCCUGGAUCAAAUAUGUGCCCACUUAACAAGUAGAUCUGAUGGAUUCUAUGCGAAAUGAAGGGUUAAAUGACCUGAAUGUAGGUGGGUGGACUUAACUGUGAGAUGCAAUAAACUUCUCGAAGAGAGACCAAGAAAUAGAGAGAGAAGGGGCGAGAAGAGAAAGAGAGGAAGAGCGACAACGGUGGAUUGCAGCCCGUCGAAAGGGUCGUGCUACGCCACAAAUCUCCAUUUUCGAACACUAGACAAGGUUGUUCUAGCUCUAUUCCUCACGAACUUGGGAUUUUUGUUUGUAAAGUUAAUAUCCGGAUCUAUUUUGUAUUUUGCUUUGCUGGCAACGAUUCGGUCAAAAUCCAACGAUAUUUCGAUUCCCCACAUCUCCUUGUAAUUCUAGAAUUAAUUAUUUUAUAGAGAAUGUAGUCCGCAAUUCCCAAGUUGUCUUUGAGUUGAUCCGGUGCUUCUUGUGUCAAAAACAGGAGAUUAUUCUUGGGUCGUUGAAUAUAAUUUGCAGUUUGGCUCUCCUGCUUUAAUACUUGUGAUGCUGUUAUUUGCUUGNNNNNNNNNNNNNNNNNNNNNNNNNNNNNNNNNNNNNNNNNNNNNNNNNNNNNNNNNNNNNNNNNNNNNNNNNNNNNNNNNNNNNNNNNNNNNNNNNNNNAUGCUAUGCGCGCUGAGAAAUAUUCAAAUGAUCUCUACGUUAUAUGAUCAAGUGCACUUUCUUUGCCCGCAGGUUGAUAAUCAAGACGGCAAGAUGCCGCGACUUGAAGAUAUAGCCUGGAAAUUCGUGAUUAGACAGGGCAAGAAAUGGCGUUGUCCUUACUGCAAAAUUGAAUACUCUGGAUCAGUCACAAGAGUGAAAAGUCACUUUCUUAAACAACCAAAAGAAGGGAUUGUCUCUUGCACAAAAGUGCCGGAGCACAUAAGCACGCUAAUGGAAUUGUUACAGAGUCAGGUGGCUUUAGCACUUGUGGUAGCUAUAUUAUGUGCUUGAGAAUAAUGCUAUGCGUGCUAAGAAGAUUUAUAAAAAAUGGGGAUAAUAUAUGAUAGGGGUGCGCUCUAUUUGCUUGCAGGUUGAUAACAAAGAUGAUAUAGCCUGGAAAUUCGUCGAUAGACUGGGGGAAAACAAAUGGCGUUGUCAUCACUGCAGGGAAGAAUUCUUUGGAGACCUUACAGGAGUGAGAGGUCACUUGCUUGAAGCCCCAUAUAAGGGGAUUUCCAUUUGCACAGAAGUGCCAGACCACGUAAGAACGCUAAUGCGGUCUUUACUCGAUGAGGUGGCUGAAGGAGGGAGCAGAGACUUGGCUGAAGAACAGAGCAGAGAUGCGGAGCCACAGUCGCGUGACGUGCUGUCUCCAGCUUUUCCUCCGUCAUCACAAAGCUCGGAGAGGGCGACUGACAUGGAAAACUCCAACUAUGACCUAGAGUGUCGUUUUCAUGAGACUUCAGCAAUGCCGUCACUGGCACAAAAUAUCCUUGGUAUGUUCAUGUGUUUCUAUACAUGCAUCUAGGCAUGGAGAAAAAACAUCCAUUAUAUUUUUCAAUGCAAACACGUCGGGUUUUUUAACCGAAGUGGAGACUUUUAAACAUCUCCAAUAAAAACGAUCUUUCUACGGAACUUUACAAAUGUGAAGUAAGUCAAUUACCUAUUCCUUAAUAACAGUGCAUUGUCCACUGGACUCACUGGAUCUAAUAAACUAACCAUAGAAGGCAUUUUCUCGUGUUCCAAUCAACCAUAUCCUAAUUUUGAUGAACAACACACAGGUGAAAGCAUGUCAUGUUUGCCAAUGACUUUAGCGGGAGUGGAAUCGUUUCUUUUUGAUUUGCCAGAACGGUCACAAUGUUCCAUUCAAUCUCAAAUGCAAUUGAAUGAUCAGCAGACUCCAGCAGGGACAUUAGCAUCCCAUUAUGAUCAAUUACCUGCUGCAGGUAAGUCAAAUUGCUUGCGGGAUAGUAAUCAGCACUCUCAAUUGCAAAUUCCAGUGGACAUAGAUCCCUCAAUUGCAUCACAGCAUACGAUCGACUCUCACGUUAUUUGGGUAACAAUCCUUGGUUUGCCAAUUCCAGAGGUGGCAGCAGAUACAAUAGGCCCAUCAUCAUCAUCACAAGAUGUGUCUUGAUUAAUCUAAAUAGAUACUAUCAUUUCGUUAGAUCCGUAAAUAUCCUCAAAUUAUUUUAUUGAAAUUUAACAUAUGUAUUUUUGUAAAAUAGAUAUGAACAGGGGUUCUCCAAUCAUGAACGUACGGAGGACACCACAACCUCGCAGAUGGAUGGAACAGGUGGUGCAGGAGGACAGGGCGGUCGACAUCGCAAACCUCCCAUCGGAUGGUGCAACAAAUCACUCUAUCGCAUCUCCCCUGCCAAAUUCAUUGCUUGAUGAUGGGCCAAAUGAACUGUUGCCCAUUUUACCUGGGUAUCUAACAUUAAAUCCACAACGGUAUCAAUGUGCGUCAUUGCCAGCACAAAACCACCAGCUCCUUGAUAAUACUUUUCAGAAUGAGUCACGGGGGUCCAUUUUGCCUGGUCUCAUUGCAUCAGAUGCUCCACUCACUAACGUGGCCACAACAAACACUGCCCGGCAUUUUAAUCAACCAGAUCAGACCUUUCACAGGCAGUGUGAAGGUGGCACUGGCUUAUCUCCUCUACCGCUUUCCAUGGACAUAGAGCCACCUCUUCCAUCACGACCUUUCAAUGGACCUCCUAUUAUUGAGCCAUUUAAUUCCCCUCCGCAGAUUCCAGAGGACAUCUUAAACACAACUGGCCCAUCAACACCGGAAGGUAUAAUACCAUCGAUCUAUUAAAUGGGUCUCGAUAACGCUUAUUAACAAAAUCCAUAUUAUAUUUAUCAUUCAUGUGGUCUCUUGUAAACCCCAUGUUGCUUCUAUGGUGAGUAAGAAUGUUUCAAUUGGAGUCUAAUGCAUGAAGUUGUGGCUUAUAAAUUAGUGAUGCCAGAAGGUGCACCAGCAGGGACAUCAUCAUUCCAGUAUGAUCAAUUGGUGUAGGUAAUUCAAAUCUGGAUUGCAAUCAGCCACGUAUAUCUAGUGUAACAAGUGUAGCCAACACUGUCCCGCAUUCUAACCUAUCAUUCGAAGCUGCAAUGAAGAAUGUGGAACUAAAACCAGUUCGUUUCCCCUGCGAGAUUCGAGGGGCAUAUGUCCCAUCACUGCAUUACGGCCUAUUAGGUGCCCUCACAUCGAGGCAACACUUGUCAAUUUGCAAGUUCUGGAGAAUGGAGCAAAUAUGGCUGGCCCGUAACCAUCACAAGUGACUGUCUUGAUUUACCUAAAUAGAUAGUCAUUCCAAAUUAAUCAUAGGUAUUCCAACUCGAGUGAGCGUUGAUGUUUUCAUUGCAGAAGUGAUCCUUCUUUGUAUUAUUAACUCUCUUUUAGUAUGACUCAAAUUCGUCUAUUUCCAUAUCUAAUCUUUUCUCAAUUACCGUAGUAUCAUUGCAUGUUAUGUUUGUCCAACAUCACUUACUUUACGGCAUGGUUUUUUCAUCAAAAUAUUUUACUUAUCUGCAUGUUGAUUUUCCUUGUGGAUGUCUUUUGUGACCAAGUUCUAUGUUGUUUUACCUGUGUGCAUGGACACUCCAAUAUCUUAGUGCAACCAGCUCUGGUGCCCCCUCAACAUCAAAGUGUUCCACAUCAAGCUCCAAAUAAUACUCCUUCAGCUCCUCAGAUUCAACGUCGUGGAACAGGUCUGAUAGUCCCAUCGUCAUUGCCAGGUAUAUAGUUAUUUACCUAAAUUAAUCCUUAUGCAUCGAUCACCAUGUUAUGUUAUUAAGGGAAGCAAGAAUGCUAUAAUGAGACCGAUGGAUUUAAUUGCAGAAUUAGAUAUGAGCAAGGGUGUGCCACUAACGAGUCACACAAACAUAAACAACAACUUUGAAAAGAGUAGAGCUUUGAAAAGAAAAAUAAAGCAACUCUACAGUAGAGAAGCUGACAUAAGGGAUGAGUUAGAAUUUGCCGGGUCUCUAUCACUAAAGAAGCAGAAAAAGGAAGUUGAGAAUUGGUUGGCGGAUGUGGAGCAGCUCAGAAAAGAUUUUCAGAGUAUUGAAGCAACAAGUGAGGAUUGUUUGCCGUCACACCAGCAGGUGGAUACACUGACGCAACAAGCAGAAGACCUUAUGAAACAAGGCGAAUUCCCAAAAGGACUAUUUGGGGCGAGAAAGACCAAAGUCAAUAAGUUGAUAGAACGAAAGUUGGUGGGAGAGGCAUUUAAGAGAAAUACAACAAAGAUUUUGGAGUACUUAGUAGGGAGUCAAAUAUCCCGACUAGGCAUUUAUGGAAUGGGGGGUAUUGGUAAAACCACUCUUAUGAAGCACAUACAUAAUAGACUUCUCGAAAAAGCAAAUCAUGAUAAUGUGUUGUGGAUCACCGUGUCACAAGAUUUUAACACACAAAAGUUGCAGAACGACAUUUGGGAGGCACUAAAUUUAGGCACACUACAAGAAAAGGAGGUGGGGCAACGAGCAGCAAUGUUGUCCGCUGUUUUAACCGAAAGAGAGAAGUUGAUCAUAAUCCUUGAUGAUGUGUGGGAAGAUUUCAAUCUUGAAGAGGUGGGAAUCCCUGUUAGAGAAGAUGGAAAUAAGUUGGUCUUAACCACUCGAUCCCUUGAAGUAUGCCGCCGGAUGCAAUGUCAAGAAAUAAAAAUCGAACCUCUAUCUCUAGAAGAAGCUGAGGAUUUAUUUUUUGAGGAGCUUGGAUCCAAAGUGGCCCUUAAUUUGGAAACAAUUGUGAAGUCCAUUGUUAAAGAAUGUGCAGGCUUGCCACUUGGAGUCAUCACGAUGGCAGCAAGCAUGCGAGGAGUGACGAAUGUGUCUGAAUGGAGAGAUUGCUUGGAGAAAUUGAAAGAAUCAGAUGCCCCAACGGAGAUGGAAAAGAGAGUCUUAAAGCAACUAGAAGUCAGCUACGAUCGCCUUGAGAAACGUGAAGUUCAACAGUGUUUCUUAUCUUGCGCACUUUAUCCAGAAGAUAGAUUGAUUGAUAAGGUCGAGUUGAUAGAAUUCUUUAUUGACCAAGGACUGAUUUGUGGAUUGAAUAUGAAUACGAGGGAGAAAGAAUAUGAUAGAGGCUUCACCAUAUUGAGCAAACUGGAAAAUGUUUGCCUAUUGGAAGAUUAUGGAGAAAACAUGAAGAUGCACGAUUUGAUUAGAGACAUGGCAUUGCACAUCAUGAGUGCAACUUCCAUUGUAAAAGCAGGAAAGUGGUUGGAAAGUAUUCCAUCUGAGGAAUAUUGGACAGAUGCUUUGGAGAAAGUUUCUCUGAUGGAAAACGAAAUAAGUGAAAUUCCAUUGAACAUGUCACCAAAUUGUCCUAAACUAUCAACUUUACUACUGAAUGGAAGCUUGUUAAAGGAUGCGGUCCUCCCUGGUUCUUUCUUCAAACAGUUAUGUGGGCUAAAGGUUCUAAACCUGAGUGACUGUGAACUAAUAGAACUUCCAAAUUCCAUCUCAAAUUUGGUAAACUUGAGGGCACUAUUGCUUAGAGAGUGUCGGGAAUUGUGCCAUAUUCCUUAUUUAGGGAAGCUCACAUCUUUAAGAAAGUUGAACGUUGGUGGCUGUUCUAAGCUUAAAGAAGUGCCCGAGGGUCUGGAAAUGUUGGUGAACUUGAGAUACCUUGACCUACGUUUUUCAUCGACCGUUGAAUUACCUGAAAGAGUACUAGGGGGUUUGCUAAACUUGCAGCAUCUUAAAGUUUAUUUUCUAGAUGGACAAGACAUGACAAAAUUGAGGGCACUGGAGACACUCAAAUGCUCUUUUGAAGAUGCGAAUGAUUUCAAUAAGUGAACAGAGUAACCCUCGCUGUUAUUAUUAUCUCGGCAUGGCUCAAAAAGAUAUUUCUUAUUAUCGUGAAGCAUGUUAUUCUACUCAUGAGGAAUACCGUGAUAUUACUCAAAUUGAGAAUCGGAAGAGGGAAGUCAAAAUUUGGGGGUGGGAUCAUGCUAUUGUGAGUGUGGGAGGGGAAUGCACCGGCAUUUUUAUUUUGAUUCCCCACACCCGUGCAGAAAAUGACAAUGAUUGGUUGCGACGGUAUAACAAAUUUGUCUAGCAUAGGUCCGCUUAAAUACCUUGAGGAUCUAUGUAUAGGAUACUCAGAAAACUUAGGGAUGCUCUGUGGAGGAGAAGACGAAGAAGUAAUCGACAUCCUUGCCCCAGCCCUUGCGCCUCUCCUCUUCUCGAGCCUUAGGGUUUUAAAAAUAUAUGAUUGUCCAAAACUGAAGUAUCUCUUUGGGCAUGGGUCUAAAUCCAUCCUUCCGCAUCUACGAGAGAUUGAAAUAUAUGGAUGUGAGAAAAUGGUGGGGAUAAUAGCAGCAGUUACAUCCCCACCACCACAUCCGCUCCCAUUUUUCCCUAGUCUGGAACAGAUUAGCAUUAGUCGCUGUAACAAGAUGAAGAGAGCGGUGGAAUCUGAGUGGAUGCCCCACUUCCCUACUCUGAGAGGAAUCACAGCAAUUUAUUGUGAGAAGAUGGAGGAGAUAAUCGGAGGUCCUCCCCCAUACUCGCCGGAUGAACAGAUUUCUCUCGAAUCUCUUGAGGUAAGCCGUUGCUAUAACAUGAGAAAGCUGCUUACGUAUGAGUGGCUGCUCCAUCUUCGAAAUCUUCAAAGUAUCGUGGUCAGUCACUGCAAAGGAAUGGUGGAGUUGAUAAGCGGAGCGGGACAAGGCCAAGAAGGAAGCAUAACGACUUCUGUAAACAACACUCCUUCAUCCUUCCAGCCUUCUUCAAUUUCUCUCCCAAAGCUAGAGUGUUUGAAGCUACGCUAUCUACACCAGCUGAAGAGCAUAUACAAAGCCCCAAUAAGCUGCGAUUCCAUGAAAAGAUUGAAAGUGUACGGAUGCCCAGAACUGAAGAGGAUUCCUUUGCAACUGCCACUGCGUGAAAUUGAGGGAGCUUCCGCAUAUUUAUGAUGGAAGAUGAGGAAAAGUGGAAGACGGCUGAUGUGGGGAUCAUCCCGGAUGCUCAGGCUAUUCUUUCAACCUUAUCUCCAAAAAGGGUCAAAUGCUAUAGGUUAAUGAGUUUAAUUGGAUAUACGAUUGCUUCACUUCUUUAAAAGUCCUUUCAAAGAUAUAGCUUUUCUGUCUAUAUAGUCAUGCAGCUCUAAUAGUGGCCUUCUGUAGUACUGAACACCCAGGUGAAAGCAUCUCCUGCGACUUCACUCUUUGAAGAAGAACCCUGGCUGCUCGACCAUGGCUUUCCUACCAACUUGGACCUCAGGUUGCCAUAUGAACUGACUUUUUUUGUGUUGCCAUGCUUUGUCUAUUUUGAAUGCGAUCGCAUGUUUCAUUGACUACUGGAAAUGAGUCUAUCUGGUCGAUAUUUCAGGUUAGUCAAAAAGCAAUGGAUCUGAAGAUUUGGGAAGCCAAGGGAAUAGCAAAGUCUGUUUCCUAUCUUGUCUUAUAACUGAAAGGACAAUUUAUUAUUAUGGAUUGAUUUUCUUGGGAUAUUAGCCUUCUAAGAAAAGAGAGAAUUUUGUGCAGCACUACCUUUAAUCUGUUUUUGUUUAAAAAGGAUUUCAAAUAUGAUAUUGCUUUAACUUGUCGAUCGAAAAUAUUGUGUCAAAUACGCUGCUUUGCUCUGUUGGAUCAGAGCAACAUGACCCCAAUUAAACUUGUUUCGACGUUAAACUAUCGGGUAUAGAAUACUUGAUCUGCUUAGUAGUUGUAUCAUAUCUGGAAACGUAGGCCGGGAAGUUUUCUUUUCACCCUUUGUCAUACUUUGAAUUAGAAAUGUAAAAAGACGAAGAAGAAAGAAUUACACAGCUAUCACCCCUCUUUAAAUGCCUCGAAGUUGUGGAUAGAUGGAGAACCCUACAGCUUCAGCUCAAGUAACCAAAAAUCAGAGCAGUAACCACUAGCAAGUCAAUGGAAAAAAGGCCAGCUUAUAGGAUGUGGCACUUUUGAAAGUGUUUACAUUGCAAGCAACCAGUAAGUUAGCUCUGGGAAUCUUAGACAUGUUCCAUUUUUUUAGAUAUCCAGUCAGCUAAACUUUGACAUAUUAAGUGACAGAAAAACCAGAUCUCUAUGUGCAGAGAAGGAGUUUGAGCUAUUGCGUAAUGAUCCAAAUUUAGCUGAGUGCAUCGAGCAGUUAAAGCAGGUAAUGUUUUUGUUAUGCUCUGGGAUCCAAUCUAUCCUCUCAUCCGAUCUAAAUAUGCUGGGAGGAAACUUUCUUUCAUCAUUUCCAAGUAAUUGAUUGCUUUGUUACUACAGGAAAUUCAGGUACUUAGCUAGCAUAGACAUCCGAACAUUCUGCAGUAUUAUGUAAGGGAAAUUGUGAGUCACAUUUCCAUAGCAUCUAUGCGUCCCAACUCAAUGGGCGUUCAUUAUUUGACUCACCAAAAUUUCAACAUAUUCAUACAUACUCAGGUUGAGGAUUGGCGUUACAUAUAUCUAGAAUAUGCACAUCACGAUUCAAUAGACGAGUAUAUCCAGGAGCGUCUUGGGACCCUAACAGAAUCGGUUGUCAGCACUUUACCCGCUAUAUUGUGGCUGGAUUGGCUUCCCUGCAUGUUAACAACUCCAUACAUGGGUAAUUCUAAACCAUUGAUCAAGCAUCAUGAGAUGACUUGCAUAUUGGAUUAGGAUGAUUGGACCUUCUUCUUUGUGCCCCCAGACCUGUUAAAACUAUUUGGCUUGUGCAGGGAUUUAAAGGGAGCUAAUUUAUUUGUGGAUGCAUCUGGGAUAUGCAAACUUGCUGACUUUGGGAUUGCUAAACAUGUGAGUUUUUACCUCUUCACUGCAAGACUACUCAGUGCAUGUAGAAAUUCCUUGCUGAUCUGUGGUACAUUCGAAUGUGAAGUCAGGGACCCAGGGUGACUGCAUACUUCUCAUUAUUGGUUUGUGGCAUUUCAUAUGUGCAUAAAUCUAUCAUAGAUGGAUGAAAUGUUAUUAAGUAAUUUUCUUCACUUUUUUUCCCAUUGUUUCAGGUAAAGUUACCAUGUUGCAUGAACGGGAAAAGAUUUCUUGCUGUAAAUAGAUGCCGAAACCUAAUGAGAGUUCCCUUUCUACUGGUUUCUAAAAAGUUCCUAAGAGCGGUAGUGAAUAGAACGCAAUACCUUUGGCAAAAGGUUGUGGUGUUGUUUUUGCUGCUCCUCUGCAUUCCAAAAUAAGGAUAGAACUUAGUCAGAGUAAGUAAGGGCCUCCUUCCUAACAUGAGGUAAAUAAAAGUUUAUGAAUCCAUAGAAUGGAAUUCUGGACAGUAGCCAAGGUGUUGUUGCUCUCUUUUUGAGUUCUCAAGCAUUUGCUGAGGCCAUGUUGUUGAUUGCUUCAUGGUCCUUUUUCUCAGUAAUGAGCUAACAUGAGUUGAAAGUGGUUGAUUCAGUUAUCAAUAUGAUGUAUCUAUGUCUAUAAAGAUGUUGCUAUUUUAUCCGGUGUUCCAUGAACACACCAAGUAGUAUUCAGCUUUACUAAUGCCGUACCAUUUCUUAGCUAACCGGACAAGCAGCUUGCCGCUCUUUGAAGGGAAGUCUAAACUAGAUGGCUCUAGAGGUACUCUGCUUUUGUUAACGUUAAUGCGGCAUACUCAGAGGUCCUCCCCCAUACUCGCCGGAUGAACAGAUUUCUCUCGAAUCUCUUGAGGUAAGCCUUUGCGAUAACAUGAGAAAGCUGCUUACGUAUGAGUGGCUGCUCCAUCUUCGAAAUCUUCAAAGUAUCGAGGUCGCUGAGUGCAAAGGAAUGGUGGAGUUGAUAAGCGGAGCGGGACAAGGCCAAGAAGGAAGCAUAACGACUUCUGUAAACAACACUCCUUCAUCCUUCCAGCCUUCUUCAAUUUCUCUCCCAAAGCUAGAGUGUUUGAAGCUAUGCUAUCUACACCAGCUGAAGAGCAUAUACAAAGCCCCAAUAAGCUGCGAUUUCAUGAAAAGAUUGGACGUGUACGGAUGAUUGACUUAUUUCAAGUGCCAUACGUUGUUGCAAAUGGAUGUUGUACUGUAAAGUUCCAUAUUUACUAAACCAGAAUAAUCACAGGGUCCAUAGAUGUGAUGAAGUACUUGUAUAUCGACGAAAUAAGAUGCAUGUUCCUCUCGCAUGGUUUGACCAGUGUCAUCCUACGAUCUAGGCAAAUUUGACAGUGUUGCUUAAUCUAAACAUUUUGUAUGAAGUACAUUUAUUCAUCAAAAUUGAAUGGUAUUGAUAUGGCUCCAAAUAAGAAACGGAUCAGCAAAACAAAAGUAAUAAAACCCAAGGAAAGACAAAAGUAAUAAAACCCAAGGAAAAAGGAAAAGAAAAAGAAAAUCGAAGUGAUAGUGCAUCAGAAUUCCUGAAUUGGUGGGAGGAACAUUGGCAGGUUUGGCAAACCUGCAACGUCUUAGGACUUGGGAAGUGAAGGGAAAAAUAUCAAAGUUACGGGCAUUGGAGGCUCUUAAUUCUUCCGGACAGACCACAAUGGCUUUUCUCUAUUCACCGGAAAUUGGUGAUGGUGAUGAGGGCCACUCUGAUUGGAGAAAUUUCAUGUAUUUGUUGAGAUCAACGAUGAUGAUGAUCCAAGAUUUGCAACUUUCGAGUGGAGAAAUUUCAUGUAUUUGUUGAGAUCAACGAUGAUGAUGAUCCAAGAUUUGCAAUUUUCGAGAGGAGAAUCAACGUUGAUUGUUGCGAUAAUGCUUGUCAGGGCAGCAGGGAAAAGUUUUUUCCUGGUGGUUUUGCGGCUUUUGCCCCCAAGUGAUGCUGCAAGUUUGCUGGAUUUCCCCCUAACGGUUUUUUGUCAUUUCCCGGAACGUUUUUGGAAUAAUUUUGCAUGUUGUUACAAAGAUCUCAUGCGGUUCGUUUACAGGAUUUUAAUAGGCCUUAUAUUUAUAUAAUUUACCUUCACUUACUCGUUCAAAUAUUUAGGUUGGAUUUUUUCCUAUGUGCAAAUAGCAAUUUUUACGUGAAAUGCAAACUAAACAUGCUUCCUUUUUAUUAUUAUUUUUUCUGCAAUUAAAGUGAUUCCUCUACCCUAAUGCAUACCAGAAAUAUAUUCAAAAGUGUGACAGGAAAAAGAACUCCUUGAAAUUUUGCAAAGUCGGAGGCGCUUUUUAGACCAAGCGAUGUCUCUCGGCUGCAUUGAAAUAUGUCUUCGUUUUCGUUUUCUUUUGUUCUUUUCCUCAAUCUUCAANNNNNNNNNNNNNNNNNNNNNNNNNNNNNNNNNNNNNNNNNNNNNNNNNNNNNNNNNNNNNNNNNNNNNNNNNNNNNNNNNNNNNNNNNNNNNNNNNNNNGCUGUUUUUUUUUUUUUUUUGUGUGUUCUCUGCCCAAACCUUAAUGAAGACUACUAAUUGGUGUUUGGUCUUUCAAAGUGUAGCAUUAUUGAGCAUCAUCAUCAACUCAUCAAGUUCGCUAAACUCAGUCAUCAAUUAACUAACGAUUCUUGUCUAACAGGAACUGCACCAACGUAGCAAGAAAAAGAUAAACAAAAACUCAGGCAAGAACUCAUUCGUUUUCAAGACUCGGUCAUAAAAAUCGAGGAAAAGAAACUAUGAAUAUGUGCCGGAUUUUUCUCUGCUGCCGUGCCCUUUUUAACCUACUUUUGACCCAGAAUUCGACCAUUUACAGCUCUCGGUUCCUUUUGUGUGUUUUCACACUGCUAAUUUCCUUCAUUCACACACGAAGGAAAGUCGUGUUGAAAGUGGCCUCCUUUCGGCCAACCAGGAGGAGGGAACGGAAAGGACUUCACUUCGAAGAGCGGGCACGUCCAAAAUUCUCAUAAGAAUUCCCAUUUAAAUUCGCCUGGAAAUUUAGAGUCGGGUUGUGUAACAGAUUGGUUCACAAUAAUUGCACUCUUAUUAGAAAGGGCAGUACAAUCACAAGAAUGUGAGAUUACAAAUGGAUGUUAUUAUGGGUCAAAUUAUCAGUGUUUUUCUUCGUUAAUUUUUAUGAAGAUGCGAUUGAAACCUUUGAGCUCGUAACAGUAAUUUAACUUAAAAACUAUUGAGUUAUUAUAGUCUUUAAAUCAUUCUUGGGACAUUUUUUUUUUCUUUUGGAUCUGAAGAUCCAAACUACAUAUGAAACGAGUCCCGUGAUUGGGAAAACACGAAUUUAGCAUAUUAUGCUUGCUCCUAAAUAUUUUUAUGUGGAUGCCACAUAACAAGUACCUAUAUAAGUUCAUGCAAAUAGGAUCCAACGAAUUAACAAUCCAAAAUUUGAGAGAAAAUAUGAAGUGAUUUUGUGCAUUUUUGAAACUCUGUUAGUGUACAUUCUUGUAGUUUUUCCUUGUCCAAAUAUACUGAUUUUCAACUUUCACUAAGAUGUUGCAAAUUCAAUUAGAAGCAUAUAAUUAAUAGUCCUAAUUAGCCAAGUCACAAAACCAAUCAUAAGAGAUUCAUUGCGGUUGUCACAAAGUCUUGAAUUGGUGGGAUGGUUAUUCCCAUGGCAAGAGCGGCUAACAUCGCAAACUUCAUCCUCUAGGGAUUAAGUUAAAAUAUUACCUUUGGCACUUAAGGUGUUCUUAUACUCCAUAAUAAAUAUGUUACUUAUUUUAUCAAUUAAUCUACCCUCAAUAAUAUGCUAAUAUUGGUUUAGAUAAUUUGUCGAUUUGGCUAUAACUUGGAAUAAGAGACAAUAACAAUAUAAAUCUAAUAUUGAAAAAAAUUUGUAUGAUUUUUUUUUUCACUUAUUAGUUAUUCUUUUAGCAAUUACCGAAUAACAUCAUUCAAACUGCAUAAUGCCAAAUCUAUUUUUUUUUUCCAAUUACAUUAUGCCAUAAAUGUGCGAAUCAACAUACAUGAUUUCACCUCAAACAAAUGGACUUUUUUUAUGAAUAAAUUUUUUAAAAAAAAAAGAUAGAAAAAUAGCUCAUAUUAGGGCCAUUUACCAGGUAAUGCAAAUUAAAACCAAGUCUUAUUUAUGUCUAUUAAAAAUUUCCAAUGCCAUAUCAUAUCAUUUACACCUAAAAUGCAUAGAAUAUACAUUCGGAGAAGAAGGAAGAUAAGAGAAACUUAAACAAAAGAGCAUUUCUAUCUGUCGUAAGAUAGAAAGUAAACAUCAAAUUUAGAUAAUCUUACUUUAAAUACUUAUGUAGCAAGCACAUUCAUAAAAAUUAGAACAUAAUGUAAGCCUAAACAAUAAUAUAACGAUUGAUUUAUAUAAAGUGUCAAUAUAACAUUAUGCAAAAAAUUUAUACAUGUAAUAUGGGUUCAUAUCAAUAAAUGGAAUUGGAAGUAAAUUUCUGAAUCUGUGCAACCCAUGGGUCUUUGUUUACUACACAUUCUACAAAAAAAUGCAGUCAUAAGUUACAAUUUGAUGGAAUCACCUACCAAUUCUACUCACAUCAUAGGAAAUGUUUUCUAGCAGCUGGAUGGCUUGGAAUAUUUUGGGGCCAGAGAUGGACACAUUUCAUUCAUAUGAGGGUACAGGUCUACUGUAUUGUAUCCUGGCAGCUCCANNNNNNNNNNNNNNNNNNNNNNNNNNNNNNNNNNNNNNNNNNNNNNNNNNNNNNNNNNNNNNNNNNNNNNNNNNNNNNNNNNNNNNNNNNNNNNNNNNNNNNNNNNNNNNNNNNNNNNNNNNNNNNNNNNNNNNNNNNNNNNNNNNNNNNNNNNNNNNNNNNNNNNNNNNNNNNNNNNNNNNNNNNNNNNNNNNNNNNNNNNNNNNNNNNNNNNNNNNNNNNNNNNNNNNNNNNNNNNNNNNNNNNNNNNNNNNNNNNNNNNNNNNUAAAAAAGAUAACCCAACUAGGGUCAAUCAGAUCGCACUUACAGUGAACUCUGUAACAUGAAUGGAGCUAGAAAUUGGAUCAAGAGUCCUGCUGCUUUGUACAUUCAAGAACAAAAGCUACACAAGAGGCGGACUUCCCAUCACUAUAUACCCAAUGGUCUUGCUCUGGAGUGUCAGCAGUUCAGCAAAAGAUGACCCCCUCAUU